AUGAAAGCCAAAUAAAAACUCAGCGUUACUUAAAACUAAUUGCAAAAACAACAAAAAUAAGGAAGGCAUCCCCAAUUGGCAGCCUAAAGGGUGUAAAAGAGGGAGGGUGAAUAAAAGAAGUGCCCAUGAAAUUGUUCGAGAGAUGUGAUGGUCUUUGGAGGCGGGGUUGUGAGAGAGUAUAUGGGGGGAAUCCCCACAGAGAGCACAAGCCCGUACUAUGAGACCAUUCCUGUUAUUGUUUCUUUAGGGCUCGAAGAAGUUGCCGAUGGGCACCCCGCAGAGAACCUGCGGGUAUUUCAGAGCUACCGCUUUUACACAGCUCUCCCCUGUGGCUACAAGCCCCCUUACAAAACCCAAAUCAAAGCAUUGAAAUCGAAAAUAGAAGAAGAAGCCGGAAAAACGAAAAUGUGGAGAAGAAAGAGAACAGAGAGGAGAUGCGGCGGAUGAGUGGAAAACCCUAGCGAGAUAUUCUCUUAAAUGGAGGUCCCAACGGUUUCUUCUAUUAGAAGGACCGAAAUGGCCUUAGCUCUUGCUCUAUGUUGGGCCAAGUCAGUGUCCAGAUAUGGAAUUGGGCCUAGCCCAACUGCAACCCACGACAUUCACAUGGUAACCAAAUCAACAGGGUGUGGUUGAUUUUUUCUUUUUUUUUUUUUCCAUUUCCUGUAUGAAACAUUGAAACUCAAGUUCUCCAUAAUUAGACCAUACAGAAUUUAGACUUAUCAGAUAAAAAAUGGAAGAAAUCCUCUUUGCCAAAUUGGAAAAAUCAGGAUUAAUUGACCCCAGAUCAACUAUGGACAUGAAACCUGUUCAAAAAAGGACAUUGAUAAUGUUGAUUGUCCCAAUUCAAAGAUUUCACUAAUGUUGAUUGUCCCAAUUCAACACCUGGUAUGAUACUAAAAUCCAGUGCAUGAUUCACUAUCAGAUAGUGGCAAAUUCUUUGCAAUGCAAACUCAAAGUUCUGAAGAAAAAGUAAAACAAUUUCCCUACUAGUACAAUUCCGGAGUUCACUGUAGAUUUCUUCUCAUGUUCUAGUAUCAUCAGGCUUCCAUUCUAUGUAAAAUAGCAAGUCCUUCAAAGUUUCUGUUUAGAAUGUUACAUGAAUGAAAGCAAUCAAGCAUGAAUCUCUAUGCCGAAAGCCAUUAAAGCAGCUAAAAGAAUCUCCCUUUUCCUAAAUCAACUUUAUAGGUAGAUGAAUUCAAGGGAAAAGAAGGGGGAAAAGAAAUCCAUAUGAGGAUAUUUAGAGUCUUGACUGCUAACUUUCUGUCCAUGUUGCCCAAGAAAAUCUACAUGUCUGCCUGGCAAUCGGCUUUGCCAUUUGCUUAACUCCUUGGAGAUAAACAAUAGGUGCAUUCGGAGAGGAAGCUCACUCGGGUUACAAGCAAGUCAACAUUUUCAACGUUCCUUGUUUUCUGACUUGCAGAAAGGACUUACAUGAGAAAGAAGGCUCCUAGAGCCCUAAAACAGGAUUAGAUGUCAUAAAGAUCCGCUGAAUCAUAUGACUUGGAAUGCUUCAUUUAGCCCUUGACACAUCAAGCUGAGAAAGGAUUAAAUGCCUUGUAUCUUAAUAAAACAGGAUCAUCGACCUAUAAUCCAUGGCUGACCCUAGUAACUCCAAGAAGCACCAAUUUCCUACCUCAGUACAUAAAAUUAGUUAAUUCUUCUUAAAAACCAAGAGAUGUCAUAAAAACAGCAAAUUGGAUAUUAAAGCAAACUCAGACAAGCAUCGGACAGAAACCAAGAAGAAAGGAAAUCUGCUAAGACCGAAUGCAUAAAAGAUAUACAAUACGAAGCAUGAAAAUGUGCACAGCACUGGUGCUAUGAAAUGUAAUAUUUAGAUUAAAUUUGUACCUUGAGAAUUUGAGUUAUCUUUAGAUAACAGAAAUACUGAAAUCCUCAUUUCACAAGCUCACGUUCUGUACUCUUGAUUACUUAUCUUUCAUAUCAAGUUCAAAUUCUAACAGGUUCGAGAAACUAGAACGAAAGAAAUAAAGAUACAAUCAGAUAAAAAGUAUGCCCAUAAUUCUACAUCAUAUUCUUCCUUUGCAAAGUAAACAUUUCCUUCUCGCAAUUGAUUCCUUCAGUAAUAUAGUGUUCUUAUCCACCACUAUUAUUCUAUGUAGCUCUUGAUCAAAUUCAUGAACAUCGAAAUCAAAAGGUUGAGAAAACAUUUUCCACCUGCAGAUCCCCAUUGUGGAUUUUAAGACCAAAAGCAUCCUAAAACUUAGCUCUUAUUGCAAAUCAAAAACAAACAAGACAUCAUAAACUCAACUACAUGUACUAAUAAAAUUAUGUAUAUGCCAUUUAUUCUUUCAUCCUCUUAGAGAAACCUAUCUCCACGCCAUGUUCUGGCAUAAAACCCAAAUUUUUGUCUGCUACAUUUCCCAAUAACAUUCUGAUCCUGUGACUGGGCAUAAAAAAUUCUGAAAUUCUUCUUCCGAAACUUCUCUACAUGUCGAGGACUCCUAUCAGAGUUGGUAGAUCCUCAGAGCAAAGCAAUAUCAUAUUUAAAUUUCAAAAGUUUUAGCUAGAGUGCUGCUCAGCACAAUCAACAAGGCAUAGUACCUUUCAUGCCAUUGCAUGGCACACCUCUAUGCUAAUACAUGCCAAGAAAUGGCAUGGUGCCCAAUGGCAUAAUAUACAUUGUUCCAAUGCCACAUCAAUACACCACCGGCAUGUAAUACCUCAGUCCAGACAGCAGUAACAAACAAUGGCCUCCUUCAAAUUCUUUAGGCUGCCUCUGGAUCCUUUCCAAAAGUCUGAGCUAACCUCUUAAAGAAUGAUAACAUACAGCUAAAACCAACCAAUAGAAGCCCCUCAAAGCAUAAAUUAUUAACCAGCUCUUCCAUGGGUCAAAUACAUGUUCUCACUAAAGCCACUCUAACAAGCCUUCGGCAAAACUCAAAAAUCCCAGCUUGAGGCCAUAAUUCGGCAAUCCCAAUGUAAGCCUUAUGGUAAACUGCUAGUUUCAUCUGCUUAGAUUCCUAAUUAGUGGUCACCAAAAUUAGUUUCCAAAAUGAUAAGACAUAGUUAUACUAAAUAAAUACAUAGUUAAUGAAAGAUAGUCAUUGUCAAAGCAAUAUUAAGUUUAUAACUACUUCACCAAGUACAAAGCUUUUGCUUGUGUUAUGGCUUAAAAUUGUGUUUCUUCACUUAAAUGUGGAAAGAUUUACCGUUCAUCAUGCAUUUAAAAGUCAAAAGGAUUCAUCCGAGAAGGAUAUUUUGAAUAGAACUGGAAACCAUUACAACUAAAUACUCUUUAUUUGUAAUUUCUAGGGUACCAAUCUCAAGUCUCAACUGCACCAGAUACAGUAGAAUUAUGUUUCCUUGAACCAAAAACGGUGGAAUUCUAAAGUCAAGUCGAUAGGUUUCAAUCCCAAAAGCAAUAGAUAAAACAAUAGCUAAGUUCAAGUAUUGAAAGGGUUUUGGGUUUUAUCUUUUGUAAGAAAUUAAUUAUCACGAAAGAAAGGAAAGGUUUGGACUUUAAAGGGAAAUAUAAAAAAUCGACGCAAAAAAUCCAAAAUUGGGCAUUGGUAACAUAUAUUGGAUUUUCGAAAGAGAUUACAGUACCUUACAAUAGAUUAUAGUAGACCGGUGCUGCAAGAUGUCUCAAACUCUUGGGGACCAAACCUCGAUGGCCAAUUCCCGAUCUCCAUCUUCUCCUCGUCACCUUUCUUUCUUUAGUUCAACACUCGUUCCCGAUUCGUUUCUCCCAUGGCUCCCUCUCCCUGUAGAUCGGGCACAGCUGUUCCACCCAUACGCUCACACAGACCGGUAAGAAAAAGAUUCAAAACCAACAAAGUCUAUCAGGAUACGUGGAGAGUGGCGUCGCCAUGGAUUCGAGAAGAAGAAGAUGAAGGAGAGGUGAAGGAGAGAAGCACGAAUGGGAUCUGGAGCGAGAUAGGAUUAUUUCCCAGCGGAAUGAAGAGAAAAUUAUACAUAGAUACCUGCCAUAAUUAAAAAUUAAUAUAUUCCUUCGUAUGUCAAGUUUCAUGUGAAGAAUAAAUUAUUUGCAGGUCCCCUCUUUGGGCUUAAAUUACUUAAACGUUGCUGACAGAUAAAAUUGAAAAUGUUUCCGGAUAAUUUUUUUUAAGAUCCCCCCCUGCAGUGCUUAAAAUAGUAAAACGCCUGUUUGGAGUAAGUUUCAAGCAUGGAUAGUGAUACUGUUUGCGGUAUGCCGCAGGCAAUCUCUAUGUUAACGUAAUUAAUAAAUUAGUUUAGCUCUUCUUUUUUCUUUGAGAAAAAUUAGGUUACUUCUUCUAAAAAUUAGUUUUAUCUCCACAAACCUUAAGGUAUAUGUUAAACUUAUAGUUCUCAUUUUAACCAAUAUAAAUCUGCAGUCAGGAGCAACUUGACUGAAUCAGCCACCCCUUUAAACAAAGUUAGUUUCCAACUUUGUGUUUGCUUGUGUUUGAGAUGUUAUCUAGAAAAUUGAUGCAGUCCAAUUGGGAAGAAUUAUGUUGAAGACUUUAGACACCUACAAUGGAACAGCAAACCAUGGAUCUUAGGUCAUCACUAGAACUCGCGACCUGAUGGAUGGAUCCUUAGCCAACGCAUCUACUUGUAUUUCAUAAAUUUGACGGGCAAUCACCUUGUGAGUGAUUAUAUACUGCACUGUUACAAGGUGAUGUUUCUUCGAAGCCACGGGAAGCCACAUAUAGCAAUCUAUAGUUUAGUGAUCAGCGAGCCCUUUUCGUAACUAAACUCUUCCUGUUCCAAUGUCCACCCUGUGAAUAACCUUUCAAUCAAUAAAUUAAAUCUUGGGGAAGUGGCUUACUUUCUCCAUUACUCCUAAAAGCCUCUCUAGUUUUUUCUGAUUUGGUUUUUGAUAAAUUGGAAGAGCACUGGGUUCAUCUUGUGGAAGCCAAUCUCUUGACUACUUACAGUGCAAUCAAAAUAACUACAAUUUUAUCUCAUACUUGGUAAUGCAUGUGGUUUAUUUCCAUGCGUGCUAAAGAUGUAUAAAUGAAACUUAGGUUCUAAUUAGAUGGAGUUCUAAGAAUAUCGAGGUUUCUGCAGGCGUUAUUUUGCAGUGCCGAACUUGUUAUGAAGUAGAUGCAGAGGAAGUGCAGUUGUCACUUUUGAGCAUUAAAAUUAUAUCUGAACUCGCAAAAGGGAAGUGCAGUCUGUUUCUACUGACACGAAUACACCCACUACACUUGCUAAGAAAUUGAUUGUUCUUCUGUAUUCGUGAACUGCAUGCAUGGCAUUUUUGUGUGCCUGCCUUUUAACGAAGUCAGCUUUUUCGACUUUCAGGCAUUAAUUUUAAAAAAAAAAAAGUAACUGUUGUACAUUGGCCAUUCAAUCGGUGUUUCAAUCGAAUUUUUCUUUCUUUCUUAGGGCUGUUGGAAGGUUAGCAAAUAGCAAAUCUGGCUACUGAAUCUUGAAUCAUGAAUUCAUGGUGAGAAAUGCUUCAGCAGCACAAUAUCCGACAUAAAAAAAAAUAGAAGGGUGAUCCAUAACUUUCCUGCUGUGGCCAAGAUUAUCACUCGGUGCAUCUGGUGCAAGAUUGUAUAAUGAGCUUGCACCGCAUUUGAACUAAGUUAAACAUGUAUGAAAAUUUUGUACCAUCUUAAUUACUAACUUAUCUACAGUUAUCACAUUAUGGUAAGUGGACAACUAUUAUGGUAAAUUGGAGAUAAUAGCGUCGAAGCACAUCCGCAUUUUCAGGCACACUACUCCCUAUCAAAUCCCCACAUGCCCUGCAUUAAACAUGGCCUUGGUUUGAUGAUAACAGACUUGACCCAAGCAAUGACUGAUUCCACUUGGAUCAGAAGAGAGUAUCGACAGAAUACCAUGCAUCAAGACAUGAGAUGCAGGAUUGUAAUAUAUACAUCACAUAGCACAAGCAACAAUGUGCUACACAUGCCAUGCAUCUUGAUGUGCAAUACCUGGUAAUGUUGCAUUUGACCAUCCAAUGAUUCAAGCCCAGUCCUCACCUAUUCCCAUCUACAUUGGCCAAGCACAUAUGACCAUUGGGCAUUGGAUAUUCCAAUUAGGAUCUAAAAGGCACCAAAAAAAGAGUCUCCUAGAGAAUUCUACUACACUUCCUACAUGACAACAUUUAUCCAUCUAUUAUUAAUAGCAAACUUCCUGGAUAAACAGCCUAUCUCACACUCCCACUUUCUUUUCUGAUAUCCCGCUUCCACCCACUUCUAUAUAUGCUCCUAUCUUACAUAAUUACCACCUGAUUGGCUUGUUGACCUCUCCUCUAUAAUAGACAGAGAGAAGGGAGGUGCAUCAGCCAAAAAGACAGUAUAUUUAUCAGAAACAUGUGAACUAAAUGAAAAUCCCAGCCAUUUGUGCUCAUAACUCUCAGCAUCCAUUCAUGCUUCCUUUCACAUGUGGUGCAUGUCCCAACAAUGUACAUAUGUUGGACAUAUACUAAUAUUUAUCAUUGCACAACUCAUUACCAAUGGAUCUGCUCAAAUGAGGCUCACUUCAUGGGGGCCAUAGAUUGGAGGCUAACUCAUUGCCAAUCUAUCUGGUUAGAUAAUUUCUCAAGUGUGGCUGACUUCAUGGGACCAUGGAUUGGAGGGCAACUCCCAUGCGAUGGCCUCUCACUUGCGCCUUUCAAAUGCCAUGGAAGAAUCCAAUGCUCGCAAAAGCGCUGACACAGUGACACACAGUGACCAAUUCAGCAAGCAGACAAAGCCGGACCCAACGUUAUGGGCCCAAAAACCCCACAUUUUGCUGCCGCCACCUUGCAGUCCGAUCACGCGCCCGCGCUCGCGUCCAUUACGAGCAGAUGCCGAGCGGCAGUCACGCGCAAGGAGUGAGGAAUUAAAAAGGCCAGUACGCUGGUGGAAAGCUAAUAGGAACUCAUCGAAAGCUCCACUCAUUUACCACUUUGAUGUUGAGGGCUUGCUCAUAAAGACUAAAGUGUGAAACUUUAGCCCCACCCUUUAAUUAUUCUCUCUCUCUCUACAAAAAAAAAAGCAAAAGUCUACACCCUUUAAUUAUGCCCUCUUCGAAGGCCUCGCUCCACCAGCUUUCUCGGCAUCAGUGUAUUGGGCUCUGCAGUUCAUUCCAUUCUUCAAGGACUCCUAGCUUGGAUUUGGAGCGCCUUAAUUGCUUUUAUUAAGAAGUUUCAAUGCCUCUUGUUCCUUUUUCUUACUGUUUUUCACAGAGUCAGAGGGAGGGAAAAAAGAGGGCCAUGGAAAAUGGGGUUGAGACUCCAAUAAAGGCAUCAGACGCAAUGCAAAUGCUAGAGGGUGGAGACCGGAGAAUAAGUUGACUCCACAUACUGUGAGAUGGAGAUGUUAUUGUUGUGCUCUUUUUUGUCCUACUAGUGAGUUCAAGAAACAAUCAUAUAAGCUCAUGAGUCAUGAGGGACAUUGGAACUCAGUUGUGAUUGGUAUUUUCUUACUCUUCGAUAGAAUUGAUGGCUUCAGAAUGAUAGCGAGUCAAUUGCUUACAGCAAGUCGUACGCUUGGCCUUUUGUCGUUCGGUGCUGCGAUGUCUGAGAGCUGGUAAAGAUAUUGUAUGCUAUACUAUACUUCUGUCCUUCUAUUUGGUUUUAAGGUUCCAAUGGAAUGCCAGCUCCAGGCUUGACCGAAAUCUUAAAAGGAUGGAAGGUGUGGUAGAACCUGUGUGUAAGGUGAUAACCUCUCCGUAAUGGCUGUUGACCAAUAGCUGAAACAUUUGUCUUGGAGUCAUGAACAUAUCACGAGAACCACAGCAUCCAUUUCAGAGCACGGCCUCAAAAUAAGAUUUAUAUAUGAUGGGGUUGUCCGAUAUUUGAACAGAAAAUACCUCGAAUAAGUGGGUCAAGUUGGAUCAGAAUCAGUAAAAUAUCAAUUUUGUAGAUCCAUCAAGUUUUUUAGGUCAAAUUGCUUCAAUAAUAAUCCUCACACAUGUGAUAAUAAAUAUAUAAAUUUGUUAUCAAAUUAUAUCUUGAACACGUAUACAAUAAAAGAGUAUAUAAUUUGUAUAUAUCAUCAAAAAUAUAUUUUACAUAAUAUUAGAUUCAUAAUCUCGUGCAGCUAAAAUUUUAUAACUCAGAUUAUUGAAUGAAAAGUAUAUAAUAAAUAAAAAAAUUAAUUUCUCGCAUUCAAGUAGGAAUCUAAGUAUCUAAGAUUGAUUCAACUCAAUUCAAGUCCAUGUUAGGAAUUUAAUAAUCCAAAACAAAUCCAUAUUGAAAGCAAGUUACCCUUUUGAUUCCAAAAUUAAUCCAAAUAACUUUGGCUCAGGCUGGAAAGAAUUAAUUUUGAAUCAGAUUUAGAUCUAUAGUACGUUAAACCGAUCCACUUGGCUGAUUGUACUUAGUAAAACAUAUAAAGUAAAAGAAAAAGUUUACAUUUUAAUAUUGCUUUCACCUCUUUCACGUACUCCAUUAAAGAAGCAAGUUUAUAUUUUUACAUUCACCUACCAAGUUACCACCAUCUCCCAAUGAUAAAUACCAUCAUAUGCACCACACCCAAAAUCCAUCCAGGCCUACAUACACCAAGUAUCAAAAUCCUCGCAACCCCUCAGCCCCGUAGCCAAGCCAGGUCUCCACAACCCCCAACCCUUUUUGGCCCUUCUUCCUUUCUCCCUCCCCAAUGCCCUCUCCAUCAAAAGCUAAAGCCUAAAGUAUAUUUUUUCUCUAAAGCCAAAAGGGAAAGCUAAAAAUAAGCCCCCCAACAUCACUCCCUCCCCUCCAAUCCCCCCAAAUUAAAGCAACCAUCACAACGAGCAUCAGUGAGCGUGAGAAAGAGAGAGAGAGAGUGAGAGAGAGUGAGAGAGACAGAAGAAACAAUGCUGGCCCAAAUCCCUCUCCUUCUCCUCCUGCUCUUCGGCCAAAUGUCUCUCCUGCCCGGCCUGCCCGUCCUGCCCGACCCCGACCCUGCCGCCAUCCAGCCGUCACUCAUCUUCCCCACCUCCUCCCCGCCCGCCACCAUCCCGGCGUUCCCCGAGCAGUCCGACGUCGCCGGCGCGGCCUGCCCCCUCGACCUUCCCGACGACCUCCUCCCCGCCGUCUCCGCCGCCUGCUCCGCCUCCGCCGCCGGCCGCCUCGCCUCCCGCUCCCGCUGCUGCCCGGCCCUUGCCGCCUGGCUCUACGCCGCCUACUCCGCCACCGCCCUCGCCGCGCGCCCCAUGCCCGCGCCACCCGCCCUCGAUCUCCCCAUACUGCCCGACGACUCCGAAGCUUGCAUCGGUGGCGUCGAGCGCGCCCUCCGCGACCGUGGCGUCCGCCUUCCUAGCGUCAACGGCACGUGCGACGCGGCGUACUGCUACUGCGGCAUCCGCCUCCGGAGGCUCACGUGCGCCGGGGGAGCGUCCGGCGCGGAGGGGCGGUGGGUACCCCCGGGAGACGCCUCGCGCCGCCUGGAGCGGUACUGCAGCCGGCCCGGCCUUGCCGGGUGCUCCCGCUGUCUUCGGACCCUGAACCAGGUGAGUCCACUCGCUCUCUUUUUCCCUAAAACGGCUCCUGUGGUUCCGUUAAGUAUAUAUUUCUCGUAAACUAGAUUAGUACGUAUUAAAUACUAGCUUUGGAUUCCUGGGUUUUGGUAUUGUUGCGUUACGAUGCGUGUUGUGUGGGUAAUGGUUGGUGGAUGAUGCGACUAGGACAGUUUUUAUGCGGUGGGCCAUUUGGCUCGAGAGGAUUUUGCCUGCAGCGCGUGCACCAGCGUGGCUGUGCACGCAGCGUAUGACGGGUGCUGGUUCCUGCGGUGGUGCACCGCGAUGCGCGCGUGAUGGAUGGGGCCCACACGAACCAGCGGCCGCUCCUGGUCUAGCCACGCUGGUGCACGCAGUUUUUUCUCGUUUGGCUCUGGGGUGGGAACUGGUAACGGGGACAAGAAGCCGUUGGGUCCUGAAGCUUUUGGGCUUUCGGCCGGCCCUUUUUCUUCCCCCUUUCCCGUACAUCCAAUAAUCUUUCUCUAUCUACUUAGCAACCCGGUCUACUCACAUUAUGUGAUACUUCGAACUGCUUUAAAAACAGUAGUUCCCCGAGUGGUUCUUAAAAUGUGGUCGUUUUGGUAAACGAAGUAGCGAAUUUUCACCCCAUUCUACAAUUUUCCUGGACAAAUAAUCCAAACUUGAAAAGAAAUCAUCCAUAAAUUUAGAAAAAUAUUUCCUUAAUUUCUUCUCUCAUAUUCUGUAAUUUGUCUUAGUUAACAGUUAAAAGUUUGCACUCAUGCGGUGAUUUCUCUUUUUCUUAUCAUGUAUGUACUAAUGUUGUGGUGGGUUUGCAGCUGAAGAACAAAGUGGAGGGGGGUGGUAACGUGACCAAUGUAGGCAAGAGAGGGGCCGGGACUCGGAACCAGGAGUGCCAGCUCAUGGGGGUAACGUGGCUCUUGUCGAAGAAUCGGACCCGCUACCUCCCCGCCGUCACCUCCGUCCUCCGCGCCCUCAUGGCCGCCGACGCCACCGGCGCCGCCUCCGACCCCACGUCCUGCUCCCUCCCCCACGAUUCCAUGCCUCUGGCCGUCGACUCUGCCCAGAUCGACGGCCAGGCCGCCUCCUCCGCUGUCUUCCAAUCCCCGUUAACGUCGAACCCUCUCCGUCUCCUCAUAAUAAUUCCCUUAAUCCUCUCAUCUUUCUUCUAAUACUAAUGUCGUACCUCCAAAAAGAGAGAGAGAAAAAAAAAAACACUCGUCCUCUGUAAUUAUAUGUAAUCUAUUUUGUUGUAGGUCAUUAAAUCUCCCUUUCGAUUGCUAGUUAUCAUGGUUUCAUGUUCUAAGAAUCUUUGUAGGGUGACUGGGGCCUGCCAACAUGGGAUGUGGGGCCUCCUUGGUGGGUGCCUUGUGGAGUGCGAGUUGGUGGUGUGCACUGUUUUCGUAGACUUGGCAACCUUUUGGCAGACGCUUUGAGUGUUAUUGUUGGGUGGAGUUGGAUCUCAAUUCUGGGCUCUUUCGGCUGCUGCUUGAAAGGACAUGCCAUUUUAUAUUUGCUAGUAUCCGAGACUGGGUCCCUUGAAAUGUCCUGGACUUCAAUUUUUAAUUACGUGGGGACAUACCAAGUUGUUAUAUGUUGGUUUUCCAGUAUCAUGUUGCAUGCAGCAUGCAUUUGUAAUUACUCAGUACUGCAUGCCAUGCCAGUUGCAGUACGUCUAUUGGAUUGAUGAACCAAACAAAAUUUGCACCUGGAAAACCCGUGACUUUCAUUUGAAUGAUGCCUUUGUUGGCAUGAUGUCAGCCAUUUUCCACAAUUAUAUGAUUGCUAUGGCUCAACUUGAGCAUGGGGAAAGAUUUAGAUGACCAGGUAUUGCAAUUACAUGAUGUGUCCCAAAUGUGGCUGAUGAAUGAUGAAUUUGAAGAUGCAUGAUGGAAAUAUAUGUGGAUGAUCAAAUUAAGAUGGAGAUAUUUUGAGCCAGAAAGAAUUUGAUCUCCUCCUAAUUUAUAUGUAUUACACCCUCCAGUGGUGGCAAGUUGUUCAACUCAUGUUAAAAGGCUGUGUGGCAUCCUAUUCCAUCUUUCGUCUUAAUGAUGAUUUCUUGUUUAGUUGUUAGCUCUUAAUUUUUUAGAUGACUUGGGUACCUAGUCACUUGAGCUUGUACUUGCUAUAGAUUUUGUGUUGGUGGAGAUUUCAGGUUAUGUUACCUUGUUUUGAUCUCUUUCCUUUCUUUUAUGCCUCUAUUGAUUCUGAGUUGGAGUCCAUGUAUUAAUAAGGAUAUAAAUGAUACUUUAUGAUCUGAUCUACACACCCCUUUAUUAAAAAAUGAGUAGCCUGGAUCAUAUAACUAGAAUUGAUAUGGUUAUUAGGUCAAAAUUGGAUUUCGCUGAUGUUUUAUCACUAGUUAUCAAUCAGUAUGUAUUGUUUUUUCAAUUGAGUAAUUUCAUCCACACGCACCCAGCAUGGUGAAAUGGCACCAUAUAUCAAGAGGUAUCUCAUGAUAAAAAACCAGACUCACAUGUAGGUAGUCCACUUGGGAAACAAAAGCCGACAUCAUAGUUUUGUUUUUUUGAUGAUAAGCCGACAUCAUAGUGAGCGAAUGCUUAGUGCAUCCAUCUGAAAAAAAUGAUGAUAUAAUGUUAGUAUGGUUAUGAAGGCCGCGAAUAUGUUAAUAGUGUUUCAUACCACUUAACCUGGGAUAAUGAGCUGAUUGACCACUUUAAGGGAGUUAAAUUCUUUGAAUCGUGGGUGUGAGUGGAGACCUAUGUACUCGGGUCUUAUGGGGGCCCAUUAGAUGCCACGUGUUUGGGCUUAGGCCCAGCUCUCUCCUCAACGCCUUCGUUCACCUUUUCUUCCAUUCUCUCCCCUCUUUUCUUCCCUUCUCUCCCACUAGUGUUUUUAUCAUUUCAUAAAUCAUAAUGAAAUGGCGGAGCAUUCUGGCAGUGCUUCCUCGAAUAAAAAUGGAGCUGAUUUUACAUUAUUGCCAUCACCUAUGUAUGUUUUGUUAUUUGCUACAACUUUGUAGGCUUCGUGAGUAUUGUAAUUUUGGUUAGGCUUGAUGAUUUAGGGCUACAAUCUGGACAAUAUCCAUCCAUCAAAUUGAGUUGAGAUACAUUAUAAUCAGUCUUGUCUAUAAUUGAUAGAAACACUACAAAGAAUCUACCUUGAAUAGCCCAAAAAUUGUUUCCUUAUGCCCUAUUGUGUGAUGAUUCUUGUUCCAAAUCAAUCCUGUGGUUUUAAUUAACAUGGAAUUGAUAACUUAGGACUCAUAAAUAAUUAAAAGUAAAAGUGGGGUUCUAGAAAUAUUUUACCUGAACAGAUAUUCUACAAAAAUCAUAUAAGGCGGGUAUUAAAGAAAAAAUUAUAUGGAGAGCUUCAUAGUUUGCCAUAUUUUUCUUUACACAUAUUACUAUAAGGCUCAAAAUCUGGAGUAGAACGGAUUGAAUUGAAAGGACUGGGCUGGAGUGACCCUUGCCGAUCUGGUGGAAAUUCUUUCAAUCUGUAAAAUCAGUCAAAAAACCAGAUGGGGAUCCUUCGGUUCUUGACCUUCCAAUACUUAAGUCAGUUCGAGUCUUGAGAACAGGCAUAGAAAAAAGUAAAAAACUUAGAGAGAUUGAAUUGAACUGGAGGAGGACUGGAUAGAUGCCAAAAUUCUGGCCUAGUUUCCUACCGGCAGAGUCUCCCUUAAUUUCAGAGAACAAAACUUACCGAUGGAGGAUCCUUGGUCCUCUAUUUAUAGAAGGGUUAAGGAGGUCGUUCUAGAGUUUGUUAGGCCGUUAGAGAAAUUUGUUAGAUGGUUAGAGAGCCACUUAUAAGUAAGCUGGCGUACAGCUGUGCAUAUGAGCUGGACAUAAGAUUAUAUCUGACUGUAUCUGCCAACUAUAUAUAAGAUCGUGGCCAGCUAUGGCUUGGUUGCAGAAGCCACCGCGGGCACUUACAGAACAAUUAAGUCCGUCAAUAUAAUAGUUUACUUCAGUAGAUGAUCAGAGUAAAAUAGAGACUAGUCAUAAUAAUCAUCUCGGAUGUAAGAGGCAUCGCGAUUUAAACCAAUAAAUAUCCAAUCAGAAUAUUUCUUAUCAUCUCGAACUUAGAAUACCAGAAGAUUUUAUCUCCAUAUUUAUUUUUUGGUCUGAUUUUUCAUCAAUCAGGAGAUCUUAUCUCCGUAUUUACUUUUUAACUAUAUUUAUCGAUCAGGAGAUCUUAUCUCCAUACUUAUUUUUUGAUCCGAUUUUUCACCGACUUGGAGAUCUUAUCUCCAUAUUUGCUUUUUGGCUCAAUUUUUUAUGGACCAAGAGAUCUUAUCUCUAUACUUGCUUUUUGAUCCAAUUUUUCAUCGGUUAGGAGAUCUUAUCUCCAUAUUUGCUUUUUAGCCUGAUUUUUUAUUGAUCUAGAGAUCUUAUCUCCAUACUUAUUUUUUGAUCUAAUUUUUUAUUGAUCAAAAAAUCUUCUGUAUUUAUUUUUUGACUCGAUUUUUUAUUGAUCAGGAUAUCUUAUCUCCAUACUUGCUUUUUGGUCUAAUUUUCUAUCGAUUAGGAGAUCUUAUCUCCGUAUUUGCUUUUUGAUCUGAUUUUUUACCAACUAGAAGAUUUUAUCUGUGUAUUUGCUUUUUGAUCCGAUUUUUUAUCGAUCAGGAGAUCUUAUCUCCAUAUUUACUUUUUCGCUCAGUUUUUUACCGAUUAUGAGAUCUUAUAUUUGUACUUACUUUUUAGAUCGAUUCUUCAUCGAUCAAAAGAUCUUAUCUCUGUAUUUACUCUUUGGCUCGAUUUUUUUUCGAUUAGGAGAUCUUAUCUCCAUACUUACUUUUUUAUCUAAUUUUUCACUGACUAAGAGAUCAUAUCUCCGUAUUUAUUUUUUGGUUUGAUUUUUUAUCGAUCAAGAGAUCUUAUAUCUGUACUUACUUUUUGAUCCAAUUUUCUAUCGAUCAGGAGAUUUUAUCUCCAUAUUUGCUUUUUGACUUGAUUUUUUAUCGAUGAGGAGAUCCUAUCUCUAUAUUUGCUCUUUGGUCUGGUUUUCCAUCGGUCAAGAGAUCUUAUCUCCAUAUUCAUUUUUUGAUUCGAUUUUUUACCGAUCAGAAGAUCUUAUCUUUGUAUUUGCUUUUUGACUCGAUUUUUUAUCGAUCAGAAGAUCUUAUCUCCAUACUUACUUUUUUAUCUGAUUUUUCACUGAUCAGAAAAUUUUAUCUCUGUAUUUAUUUUUUGGCUGAAUUUUUUAUCAAUCAGGAGAUUUCAUCUUCAUACUUACUUUUUUGUCCGAUUUUCCACCGACCAGGAGAUGUUAUCUUAAUAUUUAUUUUUUUAUUUGAUUUUUUACCGAUCAGAAGAUCUUAUGUCUAUACUUGCUUUUUGAUCUGAUUUUUCACCAACUAGGAGAUCUUAUCUCCAUAUUUUAUCUUGAGAUUUUUCGGACUGGUAUUGUCAUCAUCUGAAAUAAAUGUGUCGAGCCUCAAGAAUAUCAAAAUUAGUUAUUUGAUUAAAAAAUGAAGUGAUUUGAUCUUUAAGAAAAUGAUUCACCAUAUCUUUUCACCAUGAUUGCCUGAAAAGGUAUUUUUAAAAAUAUUCAAUGAGGGUACGCGAAAUGUCGAUGCUAGAAUUGCCCAUUAGCUCGACCAUGAAUCAGAUUGUCAUAGCAGCACUUAUGGGGGGUAUGCCUAACCACCGCCUGACAAAGCUACCGGAUUGGCGCCAUGUGUCAUAAAUUGAUCAUGGGGCUAGUUAAUCUAGGUCGUUGGUUUGCCUAUAAACAGUCUUUGCCCCCCUGUCACUAUUCAUUUUCACUAUUUUUUCUGAGGAGGCUCAGCCAGAUUUCCUCUCCUCUCGAAGAAAAAAUUCAAAGAAAAAAUUCUCAAAAGUGGAUUUGCUUCCUACUGCAUCGGAUACGAGGACAGCCGAGAUGCGAUCGAUAAAUUAUAUCCAGACUUAGACUUGAGUAGCAUCGUUCUUCCUGCUUCGGAAGAAGAAGCUGCUGAAGAGGGCACCAUGCCAGCCGAAGAUGAUGCACCGACUGCACCAGGACCUGCUCCAGCUAUUGAAGCUGUGUCGGAGCAAGAAGAUGAAGAAAACGACUGAUGAUCGGUGUAGCAUUUUCACUUUCUUUUGUAAUUAGAUAAAUUUUGUAAUCAUACUUUGGUCUAAUUUUUGUAACUUUUCCUCCAAUGAAUGAAAAAAAAUUUAAAUACAAUUUUUUUUCUUUUUGUGUACUUUCAAUAUCGUAGAAUCAUAGUCGGAUAACCGAAUACCAAUCGAUGAAUCGAAUGUUUAGUAAUAACUAUUAUAGAAUUUAUCCGUUAGUCGAAUAUUGAUCGACAUACUUUAUCUUUUAGGUAUUUGGAUAGACGAUGAUAAAUUGAAUAUCCUUCAAUUGACUAUAGUCAGUCGGUAUAUCUAGAUAUUUGAUAAACGAUGGUAAGCCGAAUAUCUUUCGACUGACUGUAGUCAAGUCGGUGUGUUUUCGAUUCGAUCAGGAUCGAAUCGGUAUAAUAUUCUGCUUAGUUAAACUAAGUUGGCAUAAGUAGUUGUUCAACUAGAGUCAGUUUUUACAGUAAAAAUUGAAAUAUAGUUGGUGUGUCAAUUUUUACAGUAAAAAAUCAAGAUACAAUCGAUAAAAAUUAAUCAUUCAUUUAUCGGUCUACUGUCAUUUUAUAGUUGGCUGAAGCUUUCAUGAUUCUGAAAUUCAAUAUUUCAUUCUGAACAUUAUACAUAUGAACAACUUUAUUGAUAAUACAUCUUCAAAUUGUCAGUAUUUCAGGUCUAAAGAAUAGUUGUUCCAUCAAGAGUUUCUAGCCGAUAUGCAUCCGAUUGAAGUAUCUCGGUUAUUCUGUAGGGUCCUUCUCAAUUUGAAGAUAAUUUUUUCUAGUUCAGAAGUUUUGAGACUUCUAUUUUUCUUAGGAUCAGAUCUUUCGGAUGGAAAACCUUCGAUUUAACUUUUGUAUUAUAAUAUCAGGCUACUCUUUGCCGAUAUACUGCCAUUCAAACUUUAGCUUGCUAUCGGACUUUCGGAAGUAAGUCUAAAUCGGCUCUCCGACAUUCUGAAUUGCUCAAUUUAUUGUAUGUUCCAUCUUUACUGAUGGUAACCCGAUAUCAAGUGGGAUCAUCGCUUUUGUUCCGUAGGCUAGAUUGAAUGACGAUUCUCCCGUUGGUAUGCGAGGAGUUGUUCGAUAUGCCAUAGGAUCGGAUACAGUUCUUCUAUCCAGAGGUCUUUAACUUCAUUCAGCCUGAUUUUGAGAUCAUGUAGGAUUAUUCGGUUUGUUACCUCCACCUCUUCAUUGAAUUAUGAAUGACCGACUGAUGUGAGUUUGUGCGUAAUGUGAAAUUUCGUACAAAACUCUUUAAAAUUUUGAUUGUCAAAUUAUCGAUCAUUAUCAGUGAUGAUGGUGUGUGGUAGACCAAAUCUGCAUAUGAUCGAUUUUUGAAUAAAAUCUUCCAUCUUACUUUUAGUGAUUUAUGCCAAAAAUUUUGCUUCCACUCAUUUGGUGAAAUAAUCAAUAGCAACUACUAUAAAUUUUUUUUUUAUCAGAUGUCGAAGGAAAAUAACACAGUAUGUCUAUUUUUCAUUAUGCGAAGGGCCAUGGUGCAACAAUUGAUGUCAGCUGGCUGGUCGGUUAAUGUUGUAUAUUUGUAUACUUCUGACAUGGUUCACAUUUUCGGACAAGUUCAGCUGUAUCUUUUUUCAUGAUGGGCUAAUAAUAUCCUUGUCGUAAGACUUUGUAAGUCAAAGAUUUGUCCUCUAAGUGAUUUUCACAAAUCUUUUCAUAAACUUCUUGGAGUGCAUAGUCAACAUCUGCUGGUCUCAAACACUUCAAUAAGGAAAGAGAAAAUGACCUUUUAUAAAGUUGGCCAUUCAUCAAAAUAUAUUGCGAGACCGUCCAUCUGAAUCGUUUGGCUUCUAAAGGAUCUGUUAGUAGGAUUCUAUCAGUCAAAUAUUGGAUGAUUGGAUCCAUCCAGUUUGGCUCAUCAUUGACUUGUAGCACUUCUUCGACUUUAUCAAUAAUCGACUAUUCAAGGCAUUCGACGAAUGUCCGACCCAGCAAGUUGAAUGAAGUAGUCGCGAGUCGGAAAAGUAUAUCGACUCGAGUAUUUUUUGUUCUCAAAAUAUGAGAGAUCUCAAAAUAUUUUAGUGUUGAUACGAGAUCUCUCAUCUUCUGAAGAUACUUCGUCAUAAUGGGGUCUCGGGUUUCGAACUCAUCCUUAAUCUAUUUAGUAAUCAACUGUGAGUCGAUGAAGACCUUCAGAUUGUCAAUGUCAAGCUUCUUGGCAAGUUUCAAGCCGACUAAGAGAGCUUCAUACUCGAUUUGGUUAUUUGAAGCUUUAAAAUUGAAUCGAAUGACAUAUUCGAUUACAAUCCCUUCAGAAUCAGUGAGGAUGAGACCGACUCUACUGUCUUGUGCAUUAAAUACUCCAUCAAUAUGUAGCACCCACACCGAUGUUAAAUCAGGCUCGAGAGUUGUAACUUGCUUUAUUUUGUUAUUGGAUUCAUCCUCAAGAUUAUUGUCUGGUCUAGUACACUCGGUGAUGAAGUCGGUCAAAACUUAUGCCUUUAUCGAUGGACGUAGACGAUAUUGUAUAUCAAACUCGUUGAGUUUUAUUAUCCACUUUGCUAUUCGAUCCGAGGUAUCCGAUCGGUAUAAAAUUAUCUUCAACGACUGAUCUGUCAAGACAACAAUGGGAUAUGCUUGGAAGUAUGGACGAAGUCACUAUGAUGAUAUGAUUAGAGCGCAGAUCAUCUUCUCCACUCUUGAAUAUCUUAUUUCAACAUUGUGAAGUAUCUUGCUAGUGUAGUAAAUAGGUUAUUGAAUUCGAUUUUCAUCCUCUUGGAUAAGUACCGAACUAAUUGCUUAUGUUGAAGUUGCCAAAUAGAGAUACAAAAUUUUUCUGAUCUUUGAUUUUAUAAGUAGCGAUGGACAUGCCAGAUAUUAUUUUAGAUCUUCGAAUGACUAUCGAUACUCGUCUGACCAUGUGAAGUCCUUUGUUUGUCUCAAAAUUUUGAAGAAAGGCAAGCAUCUUUCUGCCGAUCUUGAGAUGAAUCAGUUGAAUACGGUGAUCCUUUCAUUAAGCUUUUAUAUCUCUUUCUUCAAGCUUGGAUGCUUCAUAUUAAUGAUAGCUUUUAUUUUUUCAGGAUUGGCUUCAAUUUCUUGUUGUGACAUAAGAAAUUCAAAAAAAAAUUCAGAAGUUAUUUCGAAUGCACACUUAGUCGGAUUUAACUUCAUCUGAUGUCAUCGAAGUGUGCUGAAGGCUUCUUCCAAAUUUCGAAUAUGAUCAAUAGUUUGAGGACUUUUCAUCAGUAUAUCAUCCACGUAACCUUCUAUAUUUCGUCCAAUUUAUACCUUGAAUAUUUUGUUGACUAGUCAUUGGUAAGUAGUUUCAGCAUUUUUUAAACCGAACAGCAUUACUUUGUAACAGUAUAUGCCUUUGUCGGUUAUGAAGGUUGUGUGCUCCUCAUCUUCAGUCAUCAUUCAAAUCUGAUUAUAUCCUGCAAAGGUGUCCAUGAAGCUUAAGAGUCAGUGUCCCGAAGUCGCAUCAACUAGUUGGUCAAUUUUUGGCAAAGAAAAAUUAUCCUUUGGACAGGUUUCAUUUAGAUUUGUAUAGUCGAUGCGGAUUCUUCAUUUUUUAUUUGUCUUUCUCACCAUCACUACAUUGGCAAGCUAAUCAAGAUAAUUAGCUUCUCUGAUGAAGCCAACUGUGAGGAGCUUGUCAACUUCUUUGUCGAUGAUCUUCUGUCUUUCAGGAGCAAAAGACCUUUUCUUUUGUCUUACUUGUCUAACUUUUGACUCAAUAUUUAGUCAGUGGAUUAUUAUCUCUGAAGGAAUGCCUGGCAUAUCAGUAGCCGACCAAGCAAAAAUAUCGAUAUUUGCUCUUAGUAGAUUUAUUAGUUGUCGCUGCUCCAGAUCAGGCAGUUGCGAUCCGAUUUGGACCGUCUUCUUAAGAUUUUCUUCUUUUAGCGAGAUGAAAAUCAGUUGUUCGAUUGAUUUAUCCCUUUCUUCAUUUUCUCUUUGGUCUAAUUUAUCGACGGAUAAAGAGUCUUCAGAUUUAUUAUUUUGUGUGGAGACGAGAAAGCAGCAUCAAGCAAGCUGUUGAUCUCCACGUAUUUCUCUGACUCCACUUCUUGUUAGAAAUCAGACCAGCAAUUAGUAUAUAAACUACUGCUCUCAAGACAUUAAGUCCAGGUCAUCCAAGUAUGGUAUUAUAAGUCGAGAAAACUCAAAUGAUUGUGAAUGUUAAGAUAAAAGUACUCUAUUGUGGAUCUAUUUCUGUAGUUAGUGGAAGAGUAAUUUCUUCUUCUACAGUAAUUGCAUCUCCAGUGAAAUCGAUUAAUGACAUCGAGACUCUUUUGAGUUGAUCAGUCGGUAGUCACAUUCGAAAGAAAGUUGAGUAAAAAAGAAUAUUUGUUGAGCUUUCAUUAUCAACUAAAUUUUUUUUUACAUCAUAAUUUACUAUCGUCACCAAGACAACGACAGCAUCAUCAUGGAGAAUUUGUAUUCUUUGAACAUCAUCUUUCAAAAAAAUAAUUACAUUAUCGAGUCAUCAUUUCUUCAUCGAUUCUUCUUCGAAAGUUGCCUCCCAGUUCUUUGGUUGUCUGGAGAUCAUGUUGAUUACUCCCAUCGUUGGUCGAUUGUUAAUUGUCUCCUCAGCUUGCGGCUGAGGUUGUUGGUCGGUGGGAGGUUGAGUCGGACGAUCGCGUUAGAAUUUUCUUAGGUAGCUUCAUCGAUUCAAGACCUCUAUCUCAUCUCUGAGCUGGAUACAUUGUUCGGUAUCGUGACUGUGAUCAUAAUGGAACAGACAGUACUUCUUUCUAUUAUAGCUCCUCGAUGGUGCUUUCAUUGGCAGGGGGUGUCGAAGAUACUCCUCUCUCUUGAUCUCCAUCAAGAUCUGCACAUGGAGAGUAGAAAGAGGAGUAUAGGAGUCAUACUUGUCAUAACUAUUCGAUUUCAGACUCCAUCAUUGAGGUGAAGCUCGCUUAUUGGUAGUCGGCGUACUUGAUUCGGCUAGUGCUCCAUUUUUCUUUUGUUUCUUUUUCUAAUCUUUUUCAUCUGUUUGGCACCGAUUAGAAGCAUCUUCAUCCACACGGAUAUACUUAUAUGCAUGCUCUAAAAGUUCAGUAUAGGUCCGAAGGAGAGUCUUGUCCAGAGAAUAGGUGAAUUUGGAUCCCCUCAAAUUUUUCUUCAUGGUCAAUAUGGCCAUAUCAUCAUUGAGAUCCCUGACCUCAAGUGUCGUCGCAUUGAAACGAGCCAUAAAAUCUCUUAAUAUCUCUAUCUUGCCCUACUUAAUAGAGAAGAGACUGUCUGAUGUCCGUGGCACCUUUCGGCUAGUCUGAAAUGGACCACGAAAGAAUGCUUGAGCUGCUCGAAGGAGUUAAUACUCUCCAACUGAAGCUCGAAAUACCAGGCUCGAGCAGUCUUCUGAAUAGUUGUCGGAAAGUCGAUGCAUAAGAGGACGUUGAUUGCCCUUUGAAUCAUUAUGAGAGCCUUAUAGCUCUCCAAAUAGUCGAUUGGAUCGGUGGAGCCAUCGUAUGGCUCCAUCUGUGGUAUUUUAAAUCGAGAUGGAAUCAAUUCAUUUAAGAUAUGCUGAGAGAGAGGUUGGAUAGUGCAAAAAUUAUAUCACUAAAAGAUUUUCGACCUUCCACCUGAAGGCGGGCAAGCUGGCGGUCGAUCUCUUUGAACUUACAUUCAUAGUCAUCAAGCCACUGUUAUCGAGAUAAUCCGAGGGUAGAACCCCCCAAAGAAUUUGAGAAUGGAGAAGCAAAAGGUGUACGCGACCUUUUUCUUUUUGUGAUACUAUAUACAUGGGGAGGAGAAGGAGAAUACCGUGAAGAGUGGGCGGUACGAUGAGAGUGCUGAGAAUGUGGUUGUCCAUCUCGAUGAGAGUGUCGAGAUGGUCAUUGCUCUGGAGAUGAAGAGGACGAGCAUCGUGGUGGACGGCGGCUGUGCCUAGAUGGCAUUGAAUGAGCCACCGGCUCCUCCACCGACGGUUGUUGCUGCCAUUGUGUUUGUUGCUGUUGGAGACUUUGGACCGUCUCCAUUAAUACCUUCAUUUGCUGCAUUAAUGCAGCAAUUUAUAUGCCUGUGGUAAUCACAGAACGCGAAGAGCUGGGCUCUGUCAUUGGAGAUAGGGGAGGAACAUCUUCUCAACGGAAAGACUAUCUCACAAAUUCUAUUGAAUGUUGAACUCUGAUUUUUGGCAUAGUUGCUUAUAUCCUUUCCCUACCUGGCACGUCAAUUUGUUGCGGCCAAUCUCCCAUUGCACUUGUCGUCAGUGAAGAGCGCCUGCAAAAUGAAGUCCACACUGAUCAAAAUUGUGUCCGGCGGAGACCCUCUGAUGCUUAAGUCAGUGGAGAGUGGUGAACAACAGAUGAAGAAUAUUUAAAAUGGCAGAGUCUCAGCCCAAAAUUAUUUUAUCAAUGUAUUCAUUUACCUCACUUUUAUAGGUGAUUCAGAUGUAACCAUCGAGUAUAUAAUUCCGCAUCUUAUGGCACUAAAUUAUCGAACCAUAUUCAUAGAGUUAAUGGACUGUUUAUACCCACUAAUGAUUUGACAUGUAGUUGAUAAUCAUUUAUAAUGGUUAGACAUGUAGGUUCUGUAUAUUCCAGCAUUAUGUGAUCGUGAAAAGAUAAGCCGACUAUAUAUCGGUAGUUGUGAAGAUCUGAAUGAGCAUCGGUCGGUAACUCUAAUAUGUUGAUGAUCAUCGAUCAGAUAUUAAUUGAGUUAUCAUGGUUGUCUGUUGAUGGAUGAGAAUAGCUGACUAUCGCUCGGUCAACUGAUUGUGAGUCGGCAUACUGUAUUUAUGAAGCCGAUCUAUAGUCGAAAUUGGGGGUCGGUUGAAUUGUCCCAACAGUUACAAAACUUUCAAUAUAUGGAGUUCUAUUCUCAUGUGUAGUGUGUUUUUUUUUUUUAAUUAUAAGCCAUAGAUGGGAGAGUCUAGAAACCUUCUGGUUUGGAUUCCAAAAGUAGAGGAAAAAUCAGGGAAAAACAUAGGAAGGCAAUGGCAGAGAUGAUAGGGAAGAAGGCAAUGGCGGAGAUCGACGGAAGGGGUGGUGGGGAGAGCAAGAGGAGGUCAACGUCUCUCUUUUUCGGAGAUCUGAGGAAGAUUGGAUGGGGAAAGCUGAUGUGGGUGAUGAUGGGAAGGAAGGCAAUGGUGGAAACCGGUGGGAGGUCGUGGGGAGGAGAGGAGGAGAUGGGCAUAAUUCUUUGCAGACCUCGAAGCCAGGAACAUAAAUUUGGCAACUUCUAGUAAGUCCAUAUGAAAUAUCAAAUUUUGGGACCAUAAGUGAUGAACGCUCCCUCGAAGAGCUGUAAUCAAAUUUACAACAGUAAGUCGACACGAAAUUUGAUGACUUCACUUCAAAUUCAUAACAUCUGCGCUGAUAAGUAACUAGAAGAAUGGAAGGAGUGCUUUUUCUAAUUAAUUUUAAAAAAAAUUUAUUUACAUAAAUAAUUUAAUUUUUAACUUAUUUACCAGAUUGAUGUAAAAAUGAUAAAAUGCCAUUUUGAAUGGUAUUUUAUUAUCGCCACGUCACCCUCCAUUUUUUACGUAGAUGAUGCCAAAAAAAAUAAUAAAUAAUAAAAUCAACGAAUAAUAUGGCAUUUUUAAAAAUGCCAUUUGAAAUGGUAUUUUUAAAAAUGCCAUUCCAAAUGGCAUUUUUAAAAACGUCAUAUUAUUUGGCGAUUUUAUUUUUUUUCAAAAAAAAGAGAAAAAAUGGUAAAAAAUAAAAAAAUAAAAAUUUUAAAUUUAUAAAAAAUAAAAAUUUUAAUUUUGAUAAAAAUAAAAAUUAUCUUUUAAAAUUAGUAUCUCCAUUUCAAAUUAUCUUUUUAAAAAAAUAUCUGAAAAAAAUUAUUAUAAAAAAAUUAAAAAUAUCAUUAAAAAAUUAAAAAAGAAAUAAAAAUUAUAAUCAUAAAUUUUAAGAAAAUAAAAAUUUUAAUUUUAAUUCAAAUAAAAGUCAUCAUUUGAAAUUACAAUCUCCUUUUCAAAUUAAUUUUUUUAAAAAAAAUCAUAAAAGAAGAAAAAAUAAAAAUUAUAAUUUUGAAUGAAUUUUAAAGAAUAAAAAUUAUAAUUUUAAUUCAAAUAAAAAAGAUAAUUUUAAAUUAUUUUGUCUAUUUAAAAUUAUUUUUUUAAAAAAAAUAUCUCAAAGAAAAUAUUAAAAAAUUUAAAAAAUAAGAAAUACCAAAAUAAAGAAAAAAAUGAGAAAGAAAUGAAAAAAAAUAUAAAUUAUAAUUUUGAAUUUAAAAAAUAAAAAUUUUAAUUUUAGUUGAAACAAAAAUAAUCAUUUCAAAAUACUUUCCCCAUUUUAAAUUAAUUUUUUUAAAAAAAUAUGUCAAAAAAAUAAAAAAUAAAAAAAAAGUGCCAUAAAAAAGCAAAAUAUUUAAAAAAAUAGAAAAAAUAAAAAUUUUAAUUUUAAUUUUAAAAAAAUAAAAUUUUUAAUUUUAAUUAAAAUAAAAAUACCAUUUCAAAUUUCUUUCCUCAUUUCAAAUUAUUUUUUUAAAAUAUUCCAAACAAAGAAGUAAAAAUAAAAAAUAAAAAUUAUAAAUUUAAAUUUUAAAAAUAAAAAUUUUAAUUUUAAUUAAAAUAAAAAAGAUAAUUUCAAAUUAUUUUUCCAUUCAAAAUUAAUNNNNNNNNNNNNNNNNNNNNUAAAAAAUAAAAAAUAAAAAUUAUAAAUUUAAAUUUUAAAAAAUAAAAAUUUUAAUUUUAAUUAAAAUAAAAAAGAUAAUUUCAAAUUAUUUUUUCCAUUCAAAAUUAAUUUUUUUUUAAAAAUAUCCCAAAAGAAAUUUUAAAAAAUUUAAAAAUAAAAUAUACCAUAAAAAAAGUAAAAAUGAGAAAGAAAUGAGAAAAAAGCAUAUAAGGUGGGUAUUAGAGAAAAAAUUAUGUGGAGAGCUUCAUAGUUUGCCAUAUUUUUCAUUACACAAGUUACUGUAAAGCUCAAAAUCUGAAGUAGGACAGAUCGAAUUGAAGAGACUGGGCUGGAGUGAUCUUUGCGAUCCGAUAAAAAUUCUUUCAAUCUACAAAAUCAGUCAAGAAAUCGGAUGGGGAUCCUUUGGUUCUUGACCUUCCAAUACUUAAGUCAGUUCGAGCCUUGAGAACAGAGAUAGAAAAAAGUGAAAAACCAAGAGAGAUCGAAUUGAACUGGAGGAGGACUGGAUAGAUGCCAAGAUUCUAGCCUAGUUUUCUACUGGCAGAGUCUCCCCUAAUUUCAGAGAGCAAAACUUACCAAUGGAGGAUCCUUGGUCCUCUAUUUAUAGAAGGGUUAAGGAGGCCGUUCUAGAUUUUGUUAGGCCAUUAGAAGAAUUUGUUAGGUGAUUAGAAAACCACCUGUAAGUGAGCUGGCGUACAGCUAUGCAUAUGAGCUAGACAUGAGAUUAUAUCUGGCUAUAUCUGUCAAUUAUAUAUGAGAUCGUGGCCAGCUAUGGCUUGGUUGUAGAAGCCACCACAGGCGCUUACGGAAUAAUUAAGUCCGUCAAUAUAAUAGUUUACUUCAGUAGAUGACCAGAGUAAAAUAGAGACUAGUCAUAAUAAUCAUCUUAGAUGUAAGAGGCAUCGAGAUUUAGACCGAUAAAUACCCUAUCAGAAUAUUUCUUUAUCAGCUGAGACUUAUCAUCUCGAACCAAGAGUACCAGGGUGUCUCCUAUUCAGAUCGAUAAAAUACCAGGGUGUCUCUUAUCUCCACGUUGGUUUUUUGGUCUGAUUUUUAUCGGUCAGAAAAUCUUAUCUUCGUAUUUACUGUUUGACCCAAUUUUUUACUGAUCAGGAGGUCUUAUCUCCACACUUGCCUUUUGGUCUGAUUUUCCACCAGUCAGGAGAUCUUAUCUCCGUAUUUACUUUUUGACUCGAUUUUUUAUCGAUCAGGAGAUCUUAUCUCCAUAUUUACUUUUUGAUCCGAUUUUUCAUCGGUCAGAAGAUCUUAUCUUCAUAUUUAUUUUUUUUGAUCGAUUUUUUAUCGAUCAAGAGAUCUUAUCUCCAUACUUGCUUUUUUUGAUCCAAUUUUUCACUGAUCAGAAGAUCUUAUCUUCGUAUUUGCUUUUUGAUCUAAUUUUUUAUCGAUCAGAAAAUCUUAUCUUCGUAUUUGCUAUUUGAUCUGAUUUUCCAUCAGUCAGAAAAUCUUAUCUCUAUAUUUAUUUUUUGGCUUGAUUUUUUAUCGACCAAGAGAUUUUAUCUUCGCACUUACUUUUUGGGUCGAUUCUUCAUCGACCAAGAGAUCUUAUCUCUAUAUUUGCUCUUUGACUCGAUUUUUUACCGAUCAGAAGAUCUUAUCUCCAUACUUACUUUUUGAUCUAAUUUUUUAUCGAUCAAGAAAUCUUAUCUUCAUACUUGCUUUUUAGUCUGAUUUUUCACCGAUCAGAAGAUUUUAUCUCUGUAUAUACUUUCUAGCUCAAUUUUUUAUCAAUCAAAAGAUCUUAUCUCCAUACUUAUUUUUUGGUCCAAUAUUUUAUCGAUCAGGAGAUCUUAUCUCCAUACAUAUUUUUUGGUCCGAUUUUUCACCAACCAGGAGAUUUUAUCUCCGUAUUUGCUAUUUAGCUCAAUUUUUUACCGAUCAAGAGAUCUUAUCUUUGCACUUACUUUUUGGAUUGAUUCUUUACCAACUAGGAGAUCUUAUCUCCGUAUUUACUUUUUGUCUCAAUUUUUUAUCGAUCAAAAGAUCUUAUCUUUAUUCUUGUUUUUUGGUUUGAUUUUUCACAGACCAGAAGAUCUUAUCUUCAUAUUUGCUCUUUGGCUUGAUUUUUUAUCGAUCAGAAGAUCUUAUCUCCAUGCUUGCUUUUUGAAUCGGUGCUUCAUUGAUCAGGAGAUCUUAUCUCUAUAUUUAUUUUUUGGUUCGAUUUAUCGAUCAGGAGAUCUUAUCUUCAUACUUGCUUUUUGAUCUGAUUUUUCAUCGACUAGAAGAUCUUAUCUCCAUAUUUACUUUUUGACUUGAUUUUUUACCGAUCAGGAGAUCUUAUCUUCAUACUUGCUUGUUGGUCUGAUUUUUCAUUAUUUUGGAGAUCUUAUCUCCAUAUUUACUUUUGGAUCUGAUUUUUUACCAACCAGGAGAUCUUAUCUCCAUAUUUAUUUUUUUGGUUUGAUUUUCCAUUGGUCAGAAGAUCUUAUCUCCGUAUUUACUUUUUGGCUCUAUUUUUUAUCAAUCAGGAGAUUUUAUCUCUACACUUACUUUUUGGAUCGAUUCUUUACCGAUCAGGAGAUUUUAUCUCAAUAUUUGCUUUUUGACUUGAUAUUUUACUGACCAGGAGAUCUUAGCUCCAUACUUGCUUUUUGAUCCGAUUUUUCAUCGGUCAGAAGAUCUUAUCUUCAUAUUUGCUUUUUGGCUCGAUUUUUUAUCAAUCAAAAGAUCUUAUCUUCAUACUUAUUUUUUGAUCCAAUUUUUUACCAGCCAAAAGAUUUUAUCUCCAUAUUUACUUUUUGGCUCUAUUACGGGGGAUACCGUGAGCAUCUCAGAUCGGUAUUGCAUCGUAAGGUAUUUCAGACUCUCGGAUCGUCAAUACGAUCGCUGAUUGUCGUAUGAGCUGAGAAAUCAGUCUUCCUGCUGAGCUAAGAUGUCCAUGAAGCUUGAUCUAUGCAUAAACUACCUCAGCCGAUUUAUCCCUUCAUUGUGUGUGACAACUGUCCAUCUCGAACAGAUAAAAAUACGGUGUAACAGUCUUUUCUGAUCUCGUAGGAGCCAUCAAGGGCUGAAUUAUCUCACCCACUAUGAUAAUUUCAACGGUCCGAUAAUCUCGAGAUAGUACGAUCAUACAGCUAUGCAACCAACUGUCUGAUAUCCUUCUAUAUAAGCAACCAGAGCUUUGAGGAUCCAAGUAAGUCAAAUCAAAUCCCUCUCAGUGAACUCGUUGCGCUUCCUUUGUUCUCUAUUUUUCUGACCAGAGCGUCGGAGGAUCCUCACCGAAGCCACAACCUCUAGUUUGGGACUUAUUUUGUAGGUCUCUCCAAUGCCAGCAUCCCUGCAUUAGGAUCAAGCAUCUGAUUUCCGACUUCAAAUGUCCAUGUUCCGACCUCGACUGAUUUGAGCAGCAACAGAUAAAGCAAGGGUCUACAUUCACAUUCAUGACUUCGAGACAGACAUCUUCUUAACUUUUCAAUGCCGUCGCUUUCUGACAGGCGACCAGCCAGGCUGAUAAUCAAGCUCAACUACUAGCACCGAAAGUUCCUCCACUGGCUCAACCGAUCCUCCCAGCGUCAGUCACGGCUGAUCAAUUUGGUCAGCUCUCUCAACAAGUUCAACAUCUGACGAUCAUAAUUCAGGUGGUCCAUACCUUUCUCGUAUCCUUCCAAGCGAUGCUACAGCCUCCCCAAGCUGUCCCUGCACCCCCACAGUGGUGCAUCACAUGGUUCCCUUAGUGGUGCCGCUUGUGCCUUCUGCAGCAAUGCCUCCAUAAAACCCUACUUCAAUUGUGGCUCUGCAACUGUCACUUCAACUAAAGCCUCCAAUGCCUCCUCAAAGUUCGGAGAGGAGGCUGACUCAUCAGAGUCAUCCUAAGGCCCAGCAACCGGCUCGAUGGCGAUCUUCAAGCCCACAAUCGGGCCAUGACUCAACUCCCGAACGUCGAUCUUCUCUAUUUUUUGAGGUUGGUACCAUCCGUGAGGUCGACUUCGAAAGAUGAUUCCAGGAGCUCGACCAGCAAUUAGGCCAAAAAUAAAAAAAACCUUCAAUAAUAAUGGCUCCUCGGCAUUGUCCUACGAAGGGUAUAACAGUCAGCCACCCUUCGUUCCAAAGAUUGUGCAGGAAUCGCUCCCUCUGCACUUUAAGUUGCCUCAGCUGGAGAUCUACGAUGGGACCACCGACCCCAUCGACCAUGUGGAGAUCUUCAAGACAGUAAUGCUCCUUUAAGGGGCAUCAGACGUAAUCCUCUAUCGAGCAUUCCCUCCAACCCUCAAGGGGGCCGCUCAAUAGUGGUACUCGAGUCUGAGACCGGCAUUAAUCCAUUUCUUUGAAGAUCUGUGCUAAUCUUUCAUCGAAUAUUUUAUUAGCAGUCGAUGAUAGCAGAAGUGGUUCGACUAUCUCCAUACCAUCAAGCAAAAGGAGGACGAGUCGAUCCACUUCUUCAUGAAUAGAUUCAAGUUGGCAAUUUUGGAGGUCUAAAGUUUCGAUCAGUCGAUCGUGAUGGCCGUAAUGAUGAGCGAUCUGCUGAAGAACGACUUAAAAAAAUUGUUAAUAAAAACUUAUCCUCGAAAUCUCUCAGAUAUGCUAAUCCAUGUAGAGAAGUAUGCCCGUAUGAAAGAGAUCUUUAUCGAUGAUACUCCUGCCAAUUCAGCCACGAUAGGACCUAGCAAGAAGCACCAUCCGAGGUGAAUAGAGAAAAGCUGCCUGCGCUCUCGAUCUCCACCUCUGAGGUGGAAUAAUGAGGGUCAAGGUCAUCGAUCUUAGAGUCCCCUAAGAAGGGUUCGAUGACUAUCACCGCCUAGAUAGUAUGAUAACUACACGUCCCUCACUAUCCCUCAGAGCAAGGUGCUUUAACAAGUGGGGCCUGAGUUACCUGCACCUCAACUGAUGAGAAUGAAGUCGAAAUAUUGUUGGGACCCAACUAAAUAUUGCUUUUAUCAUCGUGACCUGGCUACGAUACUGAAGACUGCCAUUAGCUUCGCAACGAGAUCGAGAGGCUCGUUAGGCAAAGACGGCUGAAUCAUUUUGUCCGAAGAGUGCCCCCUCAACAUCGAGCUUCGAAAGCUUCGCAGUCACCUCCUAUGCCUCAGCAGCCUCUCCCUUUGCCACAACCACAGCAAGCACCAGCUCGAUAAGAGCGGCAUCAGGUCGGAGAGUAGGUGGUGGAAGAAGAGCAACCCAUCUGAGGAGAAAUCUACAUGAUUAUUGGAAGGUCAUCUGGGGCCCCCGAUGGGCCUAGAUUUUAGAGAAGGCCUGGUUGAUGAGUACCCCCAACUAGCUGAGGAAGAGAAUCUGAGUUGGAUGGUGAAACUUGGCUCACGUCUAUGUGAGAUAACCAAAUACCGACUAAUUUAUCUUUCACAGGAGAAUGUGGAUCUUUUUACUUGGAUUGCUGCAAACAUGCCCGACAUCAACACUGAAGUGAUAUCCCAUCACCUAAAGGCGGAUCCAACUUGUUGACCUAAAAAGCGAAAAAGGCAGAAUCUCACCUUGAAAUGUCAGGAGGCUAUAGCUGAGGAAGCUAAAGCAGCUCGACAGAACUUUAAUUUAAAUUCGACAAACCUCUGCAUGUAUUACCAAUGAUGUAAUAAUGCUUAUUAUGAAAAUAAAACUUGCAGGGCCACCAGUUUAUGAUGGGCACCUGAGUUUUUCAAGAACUGCUUCCUUCUCUUACUUGAAAUUCUGAAUCACAAUGAUGGUCAACUAACAUAAAGGAUAACUUAUCAGACCCUUAGAAGGCCAUCGAGAGUGCAUACCACUGCACGAGCUCGCUGCCGGCACAAAAUAUCUCUCGCGUGAAGAUGAGAAGUGCUAGAUGCCGCAAGUAUAAGAUCAUCACAGGUACACAAAGUCACUCAUGAGGAAUAACUUAUCAGACCCUCAGAAGGCCGCUGAGAGUGCUUGCCAUAGGCACAAGCUCUCCACCGGCACAUAAUGCCUCUCACACGAAGAUGAGAAGUGCUAGAUGCCGCAGGCACAUAAUGUCACUUGUAAGGGAUAACUUAUCAGACCCUCAAAAGGCCGUCAAGAGUGAAUGUCACAAGCACAAGCUCACCAUCGGCACAUAAUGCCUCUCACGCAAAGACAAGAAGUGCUAGAUGCUGCAGGCACAAGAUCGCCGCAGGCGCAUAAAGCCACUCAUGAGGGAUAACUUAUCAUAUCCUCAGAAGACUAUCGAGAGUGUAUGCCACAGGCAUAAGCUCGCCAUCGGUACAUAAUGCCUCUCAUAAGAAGACAAGAAGUGCUAGAUGUUGCAGGCACAAGAUCACCGCAGGCACACAAAGUCACUAGUGAGGGAUAACUUAUCAGACCCUCCAAAGGCCAUCGAGAGUGCAUGCUACAGGCACAAGCUCGCCACCGGCACAUAAUAUCUCUUGCGUGAAGACGAGAAGUGCCAGAUACUGCAGGCAUAAGAUCGUCGUAGGCACACAAAGUCACUCAUGAGGGAUAAUUUAUCAGACUCUCAGAAGGCCACCGAGAGUGCAUGCCAUAGGCAUAAACUCACCACCGGCACAUAAUACCUCUCGUGCGAAGAUGAGAAGUACUAGAUAUCGCAAGCACAAGAUCGCCGUAGGCACACGAAGCCACUAAUAAGGGAUAACUAAUCAGUCCCUUAGAAGGUCGUCGAGAGUGCAUUCUACAGGCACAAGCUCACCACCGACACAUAAUACCUCUCAUGCAAAGAUGAGAAGUGCUAGAUGCUGCAGGCACAAGAUCACUGCAAGCACACAAAGUCACUCGUGAGGGCUAACUUACCAGACCCUUGAGAAGACCUCGACGACUCCGAGGCAGGAUUAACUUAUAAGACCCAUGUAAAGUUCGAGUCGUUCAAAAAGCGGAGGAAGAUCCUUAGAAAAUCUCUGGAGGGAUAACUAAUCAGACUCUUAGAAGGUCGUCAAGAGUGCAAGAUGCCACAGACAUAAGCUCGCGGCUGGCACACACUACCUCUCACGUGAAGAUGAGAGUGCAAGAUGCCACAGGCACAAACUCACCAUUGGCACACACUGUCUCUCACAUGAAGACGAGAAGAGCUAGAUGCCAUAGGCACACAAUGCCACUCAUAAGAAAUAGCUAAUCAGGUGUUAGAGGAAGAAUAAAAAAAGACAAUAUAUGGCCAGAGUAAUCAUCUCAACAGCAUUCCUUCCAUCUGAAGCAUUGUCUCAGACUCAAGAAUACGGGGAUAGUGUUGAGAUGGCUAUUAUGAUGCCUCAGUUAUACUAAAGCUGAGCUACUUAGAACUUCACUCAUAUUGAGCUGAACAGUACUGAUCUAAGCAUUUGACUGUGCUAAUCUUUAUGAGCCGAGCAAAGCACAGACUGCGCUAUUCUCUAUGAGCUGAGUAAGAUUCAUACAGAAUUCAUAAAUUCAAAUUUAAAGACAAAAGUAAAGCAAUUCAUUUUAUUAAAGUCUUUGCAAAGAAAAAGCUUAUACAUGCUUUACAAAGAGAUGAUAAUUGCUCCAAACAAUGCCUUACAAACAAGAGAAGAAAAUGAGAAAGGUAAGAAGAAGAGGAGGGGGAUGGGAGAAGAUGGAGAGGAAGAUAAAAAAGGAGGAUGAGGAGGGAUAUCCCACUAUAAUCGACAGAACAUCAGAUUGGCCAAGAGAGCUGGUUCAAUUUUUGUCUACUAGGGACCUCGCCUCCACACCGUCCAAGUGAGCUGUUUCAAUCUUCAUCCAUCGAGGCCUUCACCUCUUCAUCGGUGUCGCCAGCUUCUAUGUCGUGAAGUUUUAGAUACGGCAUUAUUUUCUGCAGAUGGACCUUACAAUCAUCGAAGCCCUAGAUAAAAGCGACGGCGGUGACAUCGAGCAUCUCCCUUCUGAACACUAUAAAAUUUCAAAACUCUGCAAUGCAGCACUCCUGAAUUGCAGGCAGGAUGUGCUCGGGCGGAGGGGGAAGCAUAGCCGUAGGAGACAAAGGAUGGAGAGCCCCACGGGAGGAGGAUGCGCCAGCCCAUCUAGCUCUCUCCCUUUCAUGAGCUAAAUAUCUCCGACGGGCAUCCCUUGCAAAGGUAUUCUGCUCUCUUACUCAUUACUUGAUUUGCUCCAAGGAUGGCAGAUUCGAAGGCAAAGACAUAGCAGCAGUCAAAGAAAAAGACUUCUUGCCACAGAAGGAGAAGUGGAGAUCCCUUUGCUUUUUGGUUCUCUAUUUAUAAGCACUAGCAACCGCAUCAAUCAUCAAUCAGUGCUUCCCAAGAGUUAAUGCCCAAACUGUUAAUGAUGCACUUCCUCUAGAAUAGGAAUAAAUCCCUGUGAUGCUUCGCAAAACAAAAUAGACCCACAUGGCAUGUUUUCUUAGGCCCCGUGCCAUUUUCCAGGCAUAAUCUUAUCGGACGAAGUUAUCAGCUGCCAUUCUCUAUAAUCAUCUGCAUUUAAGUAAGCAAAACAAGGUUAUCAUUCAAAAUUAAAUUACCUCAAAUUAAAUUACCUCAGAUCGAUGUAAGUAAAUCUGCUAGCUGAGGUAUUUUAUUCCUUUCAAAUUUUCUUACAAAUAAUCUCAAAGGGAUAAAAAAAAAUACAUAAAUUAUGAGGUAGGCCUGGAUCUGAGAUGCCGGUCAUUGAGACAUCCACUACGAUAGGAUUGCAAAUUUCAUCAAGAAAAUUCAAAUCCAGAUCUAGAUAUUUGACGAUAACUUGGGCUCGAAUAGACUGCCUUCCAGCAUCAUAGGCGUCGGUGGAGUAUUCAACCCUUUCUUCUUCAUAUUUUUUAAAAGCCCAGAAGUCCUCCAUAGCCUGAGAAGCGGCCUUGGCUGUUCGCUUCUCUUCAGCCCCCAGACAGACCUUCAGCUCUUUUAUUUUCUCAAACAGUCGAGAAUUUUCCUCGACAGCCUUCCUUAAUGCCGCCUUGACAUCUUCGACUCUCCUCUUGAUAAUGUCAGCUCUCAUGGAGACUUCAUCGAUCUUCUUCUUGACCUUCUCUCUUGCUCUUUUGAGUAUCUCAGCUUCAAGCCCAGACUUCUUUGCCUCUUCGGCCAAUUCAUGGGAACUUUCAACAUAUCCAUUCAGAAAAUAGAUGAGCUGGCAAGUAGAGAAAAAUUCAUAAGUAAAAAAUGAGCAUACAGUACGUGCUAAAUGAGAAAAUUCCAACAUACCCGGAUAAAGCAAUCUACGGCUCCUCUCCUCAUCUCCCUUCGAGGGACACCCAAUAGCUCGUUCGCAUCAGUAAGGAGGAGCAGUCUGAAAAGUAGCUUGCUCAUCAACAUGGGAUCCCUCAGUAUCGAGGCCUCAAGCUUCAAUCCAGAUAGUGCAAUUCCAGACACGUUGGCAACCUCAACGGGAGCCUCGUCCGAUAAAGGCUCGAUUACGGGUGAAGCUCAUCGAGUCAGAGAACUGGAAGGAGCGGAUAAGAUUAGAAUCACCCCCUCCAGGUCUUGCUCUGCGUGACCCACUCAGUAACAUGUAGCGUCAGAGAUGGUAGGCAAAUCCUCUCUCACUUGCACAAUCUCAUGACCCUUUGAAGGGGAGGGUUCGACUCCCUGAUCUCCAGGUCGGUUGCGCAGGAUCUCCAACUUUAACCCGGAGGUUCCGCCCGUCAGUGAGCUUGGCACCUCUUUUCCAUAGAAUUUUUCUCUCUCUCUUUAACGGGCUCGAGCUUUUUCCAGCUUUCAAUUCUACAAUCAUCAUGGAGAUUUGAUUGUAAGAUGAACAAAGCUAGAAGAAUUAAGAUCAGAAUAGCUUACUUGCAUACCUUGAGGAGCAACUGGGCUGAUAUCGUCAUUAAACAACGUCUGAGCCGACAGCAGCUCUUUCGACUCUGAAAUUUUGAAAUCCCAUAGAGCUGCCAUCUCCUGCUCCAAAGUCUUGUUCAUUGAAGGCUCCUUUAACGAAGCCUGUUGAGGUUCAUCCUAGGCAGUAAAGUUCCAGUCUUCACCUGACGUUUAUGAGAUUAAGAAAAAUCUUGGCUUCCAGUCGUGCACAGCGGAUGGCAUACCCGAAAAUAUCAAGCAAAAGCCAUCUUUUUUUCUCCACGGAGUCACAUACCACCACCCGCGUGAGUCAGGAUGCCGCUUGAGGUUGAGGAGAAAGCGAAAGAAUGUGACGUUCGGCACAACCUCAGUCAGCACACAUACUGCGAUGAAUCUGCAGAUAUGCUGCCAUGCAUUUGGGACCACCAUGCACAGUGAUAUUUUGAAGUAUUGAAGAAGUAUCACAAAAAAUAGGUGGAGAGGAAGCCUUAGCCCAGUCCAGAAGCACUCUUCAUAGAAGCCCAUACAUCCUAGAGGGAGAUGGUAAACUCGAUCAUCUGGUCCCGAAACUUCAAGCUGAAAUAUGAGAGGUAUUUGAUACUGCUCAAGUAGCAUAAUUAUGUCUUGCUCUGUCAUUUCUGACUGAAAGCUCAGCAGUGCAAAGUUAGACUCCGUGGUAGCUAUAUCUCUCUCUCGUGCAAGAAAGCCACAAAAAGAUGAAGAAGAGAGGAAUUCGCAAUGGAAGGAAAAGGUAACCGCAACUCUAUAAGGUUCAUGUCUCGUCCUAUUUGAAGAUUUUAAAUAACCUCAUACUCAAAUGAGACCAUCAAAAGUUGCACUCCGUCUGUGCAUUAAUUGCAGGUGACGUACACUGUCGGAGGACUAGCAUACAUGCGAUGCGCGGAAACUAUGAAUGGACAUGAUUGCUACCGCUGAUAUGGUAGUUAAUGCCAGCAGCAGAUGAAUCAUACUUUAUGUCAUUUUCGAAGGAGUGCAUACAGACAUGCACCAGCUGCUCCCAUGUGGAGGCAAUUCGAAUUCCAACCUUUGACAGGUAUGAAAAUUCACCCUGGAUCAUAAUGAAAAUUAUAAUCUCUUGCAAUUCUAAUCACAACUCAAGUUAGCUUAGAUUUUAGCCCUACCUUCAGCUCGGCUCGUGCCUUGCUUAAAGCAUAACAAGCUAGGUAUUCGCCUGGACUAUGACUCUAAUUUUUGUAGUUAUAGUCGAGGACCGAGCACACAUUAAAUUUUUUCACAUAUUUAAAAAAAAGUAUGAUUCAUAUUUGUCAAUAGAAGAAGAUUACAUUUGUUCCUAUAAAGAUUUUAUUACAAGACCAGGAACCUUGGAUCACACAAAAAAAAAUAAAAGAAGAGGAGAGCAUAAAUCAUUCUUCAAGGGGAUUGCCAGGAUAGUCGUUUGUAGGAUGGUAUUCCUUAACACAGACGAUGCCUUCAACCUAGACGGCUGCAUCGAUCUUGUCCAUCUCAUAUAGAAAGUAGGAUAUCAUCGUAAACCUUAAUAAGUUAUCAAACAACACCGCCUACAAAUCCUCAUCCAAACAAUCAGUUCGAAGCUGCUGAAUGAAGUCAAGAGGAAGGUGCACUUGGGCAACGGUCUUGCACUUCUCAAAGCCCGUGAAGAAUUCUGUUAUGCAAGCUUGGGCUAUAACCUUCGCUCCUCCUUUCUCCAACUGCUUUCUCCUGCUUUCAGUAUGUUUAAAUAAAAUUUUGUCAUCUAUAAAUUUAUCUUAGAGAAGCUUGUGAUUUACCUUUCUCUCUUCCAACUUUUUCUUCAAGUGCUCCACCUCCGAUCUAGCUUCCUGGAUUUUCGAGAGUAGUUCUGAGGAGGUCUGAACUCCCUUAGAAGUAGAACAUCCAUCUCCUUGAGGAACUCUCUCUCCAUGGCUCAUACCCUCGAAAGUCUUGGACUUCUUGGAUGAACCCCCACUGGAGCACCUUCAAGGGUGAGUUUCAAGAUGAGAAGAGUCUCUUCUCCCUUCAGGUACCCUCCUCAGAUGCUCCAAGUCACCACAGGCCCGAUGAUAGUCUCUCUCAGCCUCAGAUUUUUAUUUUUCGAGAGUUCUAAUACACUUCUCGAGACCUUCGAUCUUCUUAUCAUCCUUGAAUUUCAGCCCCUCGAAGGCUACGAUCUUCUUUUCGACCCGCCUCAGUUCUUUAUCCCGACAAAAGAUUGACUCCUAGGCCUCCUUGAGAGCCUCCUUAAUAAAAUUGAGUUUCUUGACCAACUCGGCAUUGUUUCUCCCUAGCUACUCUGAUCGGUACUUCAGCAAUUCGAUUUCUUCCUUCUCCAUUACCGGAACAUCGAGAUUGAAACUUGUAAGGCUCAUUAAAUAAUGGCCCAUAUGUGCAAGAGACCUUGAAGCAUCAACAAAUCGCUUCUCUCCCCUUUGAUCGUUGAGGCACAGCCUCUUGACUGGUGGUAGGAGAUUUCUCAGGUACUCCACCAUGGAUUAGAGUUUCUCUCCUAUAGACGAAGCAUGAAGCAUCGGAUCUGAAAGACCCACAAAAGAAGUGGCUACAGGAAGGUGCCAAGCAGUAGUCGCUGUCUCCAGAGACCUCCUAGUUUCUGUUGCCAUCAUCAGAUCCUUCUCUGAAUUGACAACCGCCUUCUCUAUCUGCAAUAUCUCAGUCAGAUCCUCUUUGAAACAUCCUAUGACGCUCGUUUCCAGUGUUGUCUCCAACAGUGCCCCAUCGAUCGAAACUUUUUCUGAUAAAUUCUGUACCAUAACUUUCGAUGAUGGAGACGUGGGCUUGAUGGUAGGAGCGGCAUGAUCUUCUUUCCUGAUCGUGGGUUCUACUUCAGCAACUAGAAACACAACCUGUCUCCUUCGAGCCAGAAUCUGCUCUAGCCUCUUCACGUGCUGUGGAUCCAUCUGCCCCAAGGAAGUGAUAAAAAAUCAACACAAGAAAAUCUAUGGAUACCCGUUCUUUAAAAGCAUGAAUUUAAAGGAGGAAGAAAAUAAAAAGCCACCGCAAAAUAAUUAAAACCUCGAGAGGACCAUCGUCUGAGUGGUCCCAUCAGUUAUGCCCAUCCACGUCGGCCGUAUCAAGCUGACAUCACGAGCCUUAAAUGUGGAAGACAGGCGUGAAGGCAGGAAUGCCCGACAUCAGGUCCGAGGUACUUUUGGCAUACUUCCUUCACCUGAUUCUCAAACUCAAGAGUGGGGGUAGUGUUGCGGGGGAUACCAUGAGCACCUCGGAUCGACAUUGCAUCGUAAGGCAUUUCAAGCUCUCAGGUCGUCAAUACGAUCGUUGAUUGUCGUAUGAGCUAAGGAGACAGUCUUCCUACUCAGUUGAGGCAUCCUAAAGUCUGACCUGUGCAUAAGCUACCUCAGUCGAUUUAUUCUUUCAUCGUGUGCGACAGCUGUCCAUCCCAAAUAGAUAAAAAUACAAUGUAACAGUCUCCCCUGAUCUCGUUGGAGCCAUCAAAGGCUAAAUUAUCUCAUCCACUAUGGCAAUUUCAACGGUCCAACAAUCUCAUCUCCUGAUUUUUUACUGAUCAGAAAAUCUUAUCUCUGUAUUUAUUUUUUGACUCAAUUUUUUACCGAUCAAGAGAAUUUAUCUCCGUACUUGCUUUUUGAUCCGAUUUUCCACCGACUAGGAGAUGUUAUCUCAAUAUUUACUUUUUUAUUUGAUUUUUUACUGAUCAAAAGAUCUUAUGUCCAUACUUACUUUUUGAUCUGAUUUUUCACCAGCUAGGAGAUCUUAUCUCCAUAUUUUAUCUUAAAGUUUUUUGGACUGGUAUUAUCAUCAUCUGAAAUAAAUGUGUCGGGCCUCGAGAAUAUCAAAAUUAAUUAUUUGAUCGAAAAAUGAAGUGAUUUGACAUUUAAAAAAAUGAUUCACCAUAUCUUUUCACCAUGAUUGCCUGAAAAGAUAUUUUUAAAAAUAUCCAAUUGGGGUGUGCUAAAUGUCGAUGCUGAAAUUGCCCAUUAGCUCGGCCAUGGAUCAAAUUGUGGUGGCAGCACUUGCAGGGGGUAUGCCUAACUGCCACUUGACAAAGCUACUGGAUUGAUGCCAUGUGUCGUAAAUUGAUCAUGGGGCCAGUUAAUCAGGAUCAUUGAUUUGCCUAUAAAUAGUCUUUGCCCCCUAUCACUAUUCAUUUUCAUUAUUUUUUCUAAGGAGGCUCAGCCGGAUUUUCUCUUCUCUCGAAGUCUUCCUGCUUUCAACAUCCAUCAAAGGGAGGCCAUCGGCAAGAAUUUGCCAAAAUUGGAGAAGAAGGGCCUUUGUUCUCAUCUUUAGGAGAGGUUUCGUCUAUUAGCUUUAGGUAUUGACCUUCUCAUCUCAAUUUUAUUUGAGUCAUCGAAUAGCUUCCUUUUGCUUCUUUCUUCUCAUUGCAUUUCUUCCCAUCCUGUCUCUUUCAUCAGCCUUUAGAAAAUCUUUUAAGGAAAAUAUGCUUACCAGAGGGAGAAAGGGGAAGAGGAUUGUAGAUGACCCCUAGAUUAGGUCGACUCAGUCCCUAUUGGCUAUUGAGAUAGAGAGUUCAGCUCGAAAGAACCUUGAUAUUGGUCUCGUAGGUGAGAAAAGUUUGGACAAUAGCGCAAAAUCUCUUGUGCGUGGUCUCACAGAUUUCUUCGGCCCUAAAAUGGAGGGAUCAGUUUUGUUCGAGGAGAAUCUCAUGAACCUUAGAGAGAGAUAUGAUGUACUCAAUGAGCAUGAGAUGUUGGUGUCCGAUCCGAAAGAUCGAGUUUCUGAGCCCCUGAGGGUUGCAUCGCCUUCUAUGAUGAAGCUCUCUGAUCUGAUCUAUGAUUUUCAUUGCAUCAUUUUUUCAAUAAUGUUUUCGAUUUCUAUAGAGUUCAUCCUAUCCAAAUAACUUCGAAUGCCAUCAGGAUAAUCAUAGUAUUUAUAAUUAUGUGUAAAUUUCUCCAUAUAGAACUUAGAAUCUUCUUGUUUAGGUCUCUGAUCUUUUUGAAAAGGCAUCCAAGUGAGAGAGGUUGGUGGUACUUCUCACCUCAAAAAAAUUAUAAAUCUGGAUCUGGUUUUUCUUCUUCAAUUCAUGGCUAGAAAGUCUGUUUCUUCUUUGUUCGAGCUCCCAUUCUAUGGAAUUUUAGGACUUCCUGGGGGCAUCUGGACAUCAAGCAUAAUUCCAAUGAUAAAAUUCUCUCCGAGGAUAAGGUGGCUCAUUCAGCCCUAAUUACCACCAGAAUGCCCAAGCUAUAUUUCUUGGUUACUGAUCAGGUGUUGUAUGAUGCUGACAUCAGUCUGUACUCUUCUCGAGGUAAGAUCGAAGUAUUUUCUCUUGUCUUGCUUUCUUUCUUUUGUAUCAUAUAUCUUUUCUUGAAUGCAUAAUUCUUUUGACACAGAAAUGAGGUUUAAUCUGAAUAAACUGAAGAAGAAGAAAAGAAAGGACCAACCAAAGCCAUCUAACACUAAUCCUGCAUCAAAAAGAGUCAAAGGUGUAGAUCCUCUUCCUACUCGGGUGCCAUACUGAUCUUCUACCACCCCUUCUCCAACUAGUUCGGGGAGAAAUGAUACUCCUCAAGGUUUCGAGGAAAAAUGAUACUCCUCGAGGUCCCCAAAAUACUCCCCGGAUGGUAUCAUCGAGCCUUUACCUCAUCAGUCAAUCGAGAUGAGAAAGAAGGACAAUAGCCGGCCUGUGCCCCCUCCCAAGGACCCAAGCCAACCACCACCCCAUCCACUUCGGCUGAGGGAGACGCCAUGGGGUGGAUGUCCCUUUUAAGGCGAGCAUGGUUGGGUCAUGACCUGCUUGAAUCGAUGCUUCUAAUUAUUGACCUGGAGGCCCAUCGGAAGAACAAACUGGUGGAGACUGCCAAUCACACUUUUGAGCAUCUCAUACAUGUGAGUCUCCUCACUAUUUCUUCUCUUCUAUUUUUUUCUUUUUUCUUUUUCUUUUUUUUUUGGUUCGUUGAGUGACUGAGCUGAAUUUUUGCCUCAAAGGUUGCUGUCGAUCUCAAGAUUAUGUAUGAAAAUGUGGCCUAUUUGCUGACAAAUAAGAAGGCGAUGGAUGCCAACCUACUGAUUCUCCAAGAGAAGAAGGAGUCUGAACUCAUGGUAGGACUCAAAAAUCAACUUAAUGAGAAGUUAAAGUUGCUGAAGGAGAAAAAUCAAAAUCUUUUGGACCUUCAAGAGAAAUAUAAUGACUAAGAGAAAUAGGUUUUUGAGCUAUACACCCAAGCCAAGGAGAACAAAGAACUGGAGUCGAGGCUUAAAGAGGCGGAGAAGGCCAAUGAAUCUCAUGAAAAAACUAUCGAAGCGCUUAAAAAGUACCUUAAACAGGAGCAAGAUAGGGUGGCAAGGGCAGCUGAGUUAUACAAAGCCUUUGAGGAAUUCGAGGAGGAAGUAUCAGAGAGCUUCGAGGACACAUAUGAUUAUGUAUUCAGUCAGUGCUGUAAUUUAAUCAAGAAAUUAUAUCCUAAGGUAGAUAUCUCUAAGGUUACUCCGAAGGUGACCAUUGAGAUGGGCAUAAAGAGGAAUCUCAAGCCGCCCACUGAAGCGGCGAAGGAGCCAGCUGAGGAGUCAGGCCAGAAGUUUAUCGAAGUGAAUAUAACUGAUGCCACCAUCAUGGAGCCUAUAUCUGCUGUACAUCUUGCUGAGACUAAGGUUCCCAAGGUCGUUAAGAAAUUGAAGUCCACUAUAGCUGCAGGGCCCACUACCAUCGAUGUUGCUGGAGAGUCAGAGCAGACUAAAGAGGAAUCAACACAGAAGAAAUUCAACGCUCCAGUAGAUAUAUUGUAAUAUUUUUUUUCGAAAUGUAUAGACCCGAUAGGAUUUUCGUAAUCUGCAAUGACCCACUGAGGGUCUUUCUUUUUCCAAAUGCAAUGAUCCACUAGGGAUCUUUUCUUUUGUCUUUACUUUUUAUAUCAAUAAAGGAGACAUUAUCUCAUAUGCCAUUAUAUGAUGUGUAUGUUUCUAUUAUUUGGCAGAUUUGAUAACUUACUAAAAUAAAGUAAUGACAUAUAUCUAAUAGUUCAACAGAACUAAAAGUUUUAAUAAUUUAAAUCUUAACAGUCAUUAAUUAAUUAAACGUCAAGAUUUAGAUGUACCUUUGCUUGAACGGUCUUGACUAGACCAGGCUCAAGAUUCGAUCCUAAGAUCGACAUUUUUGAAAGAAUCCAAAGAUGACCUCACUCCAGAGAUCAAUAUAGUAUCACACUGGUUCGAGACUAGUGUAAGAUCACUACGGUCUUGUGGUUGGCAUAAGACACAUUGGCUAAUGGGGGAUCAAGCCCUUCGGGGUUAUGCCAGACUGAAAUCCAGAAAAACAUCUACAUCCUCCGGGCUCAUGCCGAACGGAAAUCCAGAGUAAUAUUUGCAUCCUUUGGAGCCAUACCGGGCUAAAAUCUAAAUCAAUAUUUUGUGUACUUCGAAAUUUUAUCAGACUGAAAUUUGGAUUAAUAUUUGUGCCCUUCGGAGCUCUACCGAACUAAAAUUUAGAUUAAUAUCCAUGCCUUUCAGGGCUUUAUCAGACUAAAAUUCAGAUUAAUAUUUAUAUCCUUUGGGGCUUUACUAAUUCAGAGAUUGGGUUUGAGGGAUCUUAUCUCCAUUCGUGCCUCUUGGGGUUGUAUUGGACUGAAAUUUGGAUUACUAUUUGUACCCUUCGGGGUUCUAUCGAUCUGAAAUAUGGAUUAAUAUUUGUGCCCUCUAGGGCUUUACCAAUUUGAAGAUUGGGUUUAGGAGAUUUUAUCUUCAUUCAUGCCUCUCAGGGCUUCACCGAUCUGAGGGCCGAAUCUAGAUAAAUGAAAAAAUACGAUGUAUAAGAAAGGGCUUAUUAGAGUAUUUUUAUUGAUAAUAUUUUUUGAAAUUUUUAGAAUUUUAAAUAUAGAGAAUAACAAAUCCGUCUAGAUUCUCAAUUCUAUAAGCUUCUAGGUGAAUUAUAUCGGUGAUUCGAUAAGGUCCUUCCCAAUUGGGAGUUAAUUUAUCUUAUUCAGUAGAUUUUGAAACUUCUGCUCAUCUCAGGAUGAGAUCAUCCUUUUGAAAUGACUUCGAUUUUACUCAGACAUUAUAAUACUUAACAAUUCUCUACUUAUUGGCCGCCAUUCUAAUAUGGGUUUGUUUCUUUACUUCGUCAAAAAAAUCCAGAUCAAUUCUCAACCGAUCAGGAUUGGUUGCCUCAUAAAAAUUUCUAACUCUAUCAGAUGAUAGAUCGAUCUCAAUUGGAAUUACAGUUUCAGUCCUAUAGAUCAGCCUGAAAGGAGUUUCUUCUGUCGAAAUCGAUAUGUGAUUCGAUAUGCCCAUAGUAUACUAUGUAGCUCUUUAGCCCACAACCCUUUUACUUCAGUGAGCCUUGUCUUCAAAUCCUGAAGGAUGGCUCUAUUGGUUACUUCAGCUUCACCAUUUAACUGUAGAUGUCCAACAGAAAUGAGUCGAUGAUCAAUAUGAAGCUUGGAGUAGAAUUUUCUGAACUUGGGAUUGUCAAACUGCCGAUCAUUAUCAAUGAUGAUUAUCCGAGAUAAACCAAACUGGUAUAUCUAAGAUUUCAGAUAAAAUUCUAUAUCUUUUUUUCUGUGAUCUGGGCUAGAGGUUCCACCUCUACCCAUUUGGUGAAAUAGUCAAUGGUUACCAUCAGUAAAUUUUUUUGUCCUACUGCUACUGGGAAGGGCCCCAGUAUAUCCAUCUCCUAAAUUGCAAAAGACCAAGGGGUAGUAAUAAAAAUAAGCUCAGCAGCACGUUGAUGUUGGAUGUUAGCAUACUUCUAGCAUUGGUUGUAUUAUUGACAAGAUCAGUCGCAUCCUUUUGAAUAGUUGGUCAGUAGUAACUCUGUCAGAUUACUUUAUAAGCAAGUGACCUACUUCUCAGAUGAUUUCCACAUAUUCUUUUAUGCAUUUUUCAGAGCGCAUAGUCAGCUUCAGAUAGUGUCAGACACUGAAGUAAAGGAAGAGACUAAGACUUUUUAUAUAGAUGACCUUUUUGAAAAAUGUACCAUGAGGCUUGUCUUUUAAUACUUCUGAUUUUGAUUGGAUCACUGGACAGAAUUUCUUUAGAUAUAUAAUCUACGAGGGGAUCAAUCCAGCUCUGCUCAUGAUCGACCUGACACAUAGAAAGCAUCUCAAUACUAGGCCUAUCUAACUGUUCAAUCAGUACCUUUUGAUUUAGUUCGAGAAAGCUCGAAGUGGCGAGGUGCGAGAGAGCGUCAGUCCGGGUAUUUUUCGACCUUGAAAUUUAGAGUACUUCAAGCUUUUUAAAAUUUUUGGAUAGCUACUUGGCAUUCUACAAAUAACGAGUCAAUAUAGAAUCCGUGGCUUCAAAUUGAUCCCGUACUUAGUCGAUGACAAGUUAUAAGUCGGUAAAAACCCUUAACCUUCUGACCCCGAGCUUUUUUACCAUCUUAAGAUCCACCGUUAGGGCUUCAUAUUCAGCACUAUUAUUAAAAGUAUUGAAAUUGAACCUCAGGACCUACUCAGUUACGAACCCUUCAGAAUUUGAGGCUCCAUCUAUAUAUAGGAUCCUAAAUAAAUCAUCACUUUCAGGACUUGCUGGGAUUGAUCCAUCAUCAGGGACAAUACACUCUGUAAUAAAAUCAGCUAGUAUCUGACCUUUAACUACAGUUCGAGGUCGGUAGUGGAUAUCAAAUUUACUGAGUUCAAUAACUCAUUGACAAUCCGAUCUGAAGUAUCAACUUUUUAUAAUAUCGAUCUAAGCUGCUGGUCUGUCAAUACUGUAAUGAUAUGAGCUUAGAAGUAAGGCCUGAGCCUCCGGACUGCCCUGAUCAAAGUAUAUAUCAUCUUUUCGAUCUUUUUAUAUUGAGUCUCUACGUCUCGCAACAAUUUACUGGUGAGUAGAUAUGCCUUUGAAUGCUUAUUUCUUCCCAGAUAAGAACCGAGCUAAUUGCAUAGGGUGAGAUGAAAAUGUACAUAUACAGUUCUUCACCUUUGAUCGGCUUAGAAAGAAGAGAUGGAGAGCCAAGAUAUUUUUUAAGAUCUUCAAAAGCAAUCUAGCAUUCUUCUGUCUAGCUGAAAUUCUUAAUAUUUCUUAAUAUUUUAAAGAAUAGAAGGCAUCCUUCAGCGGGUCUAGAAAUAAAUCGACUGAGAGCUGCCACCCAUCCUGUGAGUUUCUGGAUUUUUUUGAUGGAUGUCAGGUGCUUCAUUUUCAGUAGUACUCGAAUCUUUUUAGGAUAUGCUUCUAUUCCUCUCUGAUUAAUAAAAAAGUCAAGAAAUUUAUCUGAACCAACUCCAAAGGAGCAUUUGAUAGGAUUGAGCUUCAUCCAGUGCUUUCUAGGUUCUCCAAAUAUUUCUUUCAGAUUGGUAAUAUAUCGAUCCUCUUUAGUGCUCUUUACUAUCAUGUCAUCAAUAUAGAUCUCUAUAUUUCAGCCAAUUUGCUAUUUGAAAAUUUUGUUGACGAGGUGUUGGAAUAUAGCACCUGUAUUUUUAAGAUCAAAUGGCAUCAUUUUAUAACAAUACAAAUCUCUUUCAGUGAUGAAGGCAAUAUUUUCUUCAUCUUUUAGAGCCAUUUUGAUCUGAUUAUAGCCUGAGAAAGCAUCCAUAAAGUUGAGGAGCUUGUGAUCUGAGGUGACAUCUACUAGCUGAUCAAUCUUCGAUAAAGAAAAACUAUCCUUCGGACAGACUUUAUUGAGAUCUUUAUAGUCGAUGCAUAUCUUCCAUUUACCAUUGACUUCUUGAUCAUGAUAAUAUUGGCUAUCCAUUUCGGAUAAUGAGCUUUCUUAAUAAAUCUUGCUUUUAAAAGCUUAUCAACUUCCUUAUCGAUGGCUUUAAUUUAUUUUCUUCUGCUGAACUAGCUUCAAAUAUGGAUCCAUAUUUAGUUUAUGAACAAAUACAUCGGCAGGGAUGUCAGGUAUAUCAGAGGCCGACCAAGCAAAGAUGUUAGCAUUUGCCUAUAGAAACUUGAUCAUUUUAAACCAGACUUGAGAUUUCGAACCAUUUUUUUUAGAUCAUGUCCCAAAGAAAUUGCUUCAAGCUUUUUUAUCGAUUCACCUCAGAUUUUUUCGAGCUCAUCCAAUGCAUCCGGUACGUCAACUGGCAUAGUUUUUGUCAGUUAUUUUAUUUUAGCAAAAAUCAUAAAAUACUAUCAAGCCACCAUCUGGUCACCAUGUAUUUCAUCAAUUUCUUCCUUAGUUAGGAAUCGCACUAGUAGAUGAUAAGUAGAGACUAUGGCUUUAAGAGCAUUGACACCAGUUUGAAUUCCAUUUACAUCAUUCUCAGAAAAUGAAAUAAUAUCUUCAGUUCUCCACCUCCUGGAUAAUGGGUCAUCGGUGCCAAAUAGGACAUCGAAUAUCAUGUUGAUAACACCAAUAGUCGGUCGGUUGUGCUCCUCAAAAGCUUCUUUUGCUGGAAGCCUGUACUCCACGAUUUUAGCCAAUUUGACAUAUUUGCCGAGGUAGCUCUAGUGCACCAAGACUUCUAUCUCAUCUUGCAGCUGCCUACAUUUUUUGAUGUCAUGGCCAUGGUCUCGAUAGAAGUAGUAGUAUUUUUACUUGUCUCUCUUCUCUAAAAGAGCCUUCAAAGGAUCAGAUCUUCGGAGUUAUCUUUUUCUUACAAUUUUCAUCAGAAUCUGAGCUUGAGGGGCGGAUAGAGGGGCAUAAGAAUCAAAGCACCGAGGUGGACUUCUUGACCUCAAAUUUUUUCGAGGUCAAUUUGAGUUUUUAGUAUAUUGUACUUCAUUAUUCUCCAUCGACCAUUUCUUUUCAUUUUUAUCCUUCCUUGCCUACUUUAAGAUGACUUUCUCCUCCUCGACCUAAGCAUACUUAUGCAUCUGAUUGAGCAUCUCGUUACAGGUGUCCAAGAAGUUCUAUUCAGAGAAAAGACUAGAUGGUUGCUUCGGAGUCUCUUUUUCAAAGCAGAUAUGACAACUGAUUCAUUAAAAUUUUUUACUUUCAGGAUAGCAGCAUUGAAACAAACCACAUAAUUUCGAAGGUUCUCUCGUUCCUAUUGCUCAACAAAGAAAAUACUAUGCACAUGCCUCAAAUGAGGUCGGUUAGUACCAAAGUAGAUAAUGAACAGCCUCUCAAGCUGCUCAAAAGAAGAGAUGGACUCUUGCAGGAGUCUGAAAAAUCACACCCUUGCUAUCUUCUUGAGGGUUGCAGGAAAAGCAAUGCAUAAUAAACAUCGAAAGUCCCUUGUAAAGCUAUGAGGGCUCUAUAACCCUCGAUGUAAUCCAUCGAAUCAGCAGUGCCAUCAAAAUGGCAGGCAUUUUGAACCGAUUUGAAAUUGAUUCACUCAAAUUUUCAUGAGAAAAAGAAGAUUGAAUAUUGAAACUAUCUUUAUUAUGAGAUCGACCUCCUACCUGGAUCUCCAUUAGACACCUUUCAAGAUUCAGAACUUUAGGCUCCAGAUCACCCCCUCUUUAAACUUUCAAAGUACUGAGGGCAAAUUCACUGUUAGCCUCAUCAAUAUGGUGUUCAUCUUGAUGGACUAGUUGGGUGCUGUGUUGAGACAAAGUAUUCGGAGGAGGAGCUUCCUUCGACUGUCGCUCCUCUUUUUAAAGCUAUUGAACAGCUGCUGUCUGGACUUAGACUUGUUGAAUAAGAAAGCUGAACUAUUGAGGAUCAACAGUAAUUGGUUGCUGUGGUGGCACCUCAGAUACUUCUUCUUCUAAAACGGAGGGAGAGGGAUGCUGAGCUCGUGCCUUGACUAUCUUUUCGAUAAAAAAAAUUAAAGAUCCUUUCUCUAGCAUCAAUCUAUUAUUGCAAGGCUUAAAAUUUAGAGUAGAACAGAUCAAAUCGAAUGAGACUGGACUGGAGCGACCCUUGUGAUUCGAUAGGAAUUCUUUCAGAUUGCAAAAUCAGUCAAAAAAUCGAACGAAGAUCCUGUGGUUCUUGACCCUCUGAUGCUUAAGUCAGUUUGAGUUUUAAGAACAGAAAUAAAAAAGAGUGGGAAAGCAAGAGAGAUUGAAUGGAACUGGAGGAGGACUGGAUUGGUACCAAGAUUCUGGCCUAAUUUCCUACAGGCAAAGUCUCUUCUGAUUUCAGAGAGUAGAACUUAUCGAUGGAGGAUCUUUGGUUUUUUAUUUAUAAAGGGAUUAAGAAGACCAUUUUAGAAUUUGUUAGGCCAUUAGAGAAGUUUGUCAGAUGGUUAAAAAGCCAUCUAUAAGUGAUCUGGCGUACAGCUGUACAUACGAGCUGGAUAUGAGAUCAUACCUGACUGUAUCUGCCAACUGUAUGUGAGAUCGUGGUCAGCUAUAGCUUGAUUACAGAAGCAACCACAGGCACUGACAAAAUGAUUAAGUCCGUCAAUAUAAUAGUUCACUUCAAUAGAUGAUCGGGGUGAAAUAGAGACUAGUCAUAAUAAUCAUCUCGGAUGAAAGAGGUACUGAGAUUUAGGUCAGAAAAUAUCCAACCUAAAUAUUUUUUUAUCAGCUGAGACUUGUCAUCUCGGACCUAAAAUAUCAGGAUGUCUCGUAUUCAGGUCGGUAAAAUACUGACCUGAAUCUGCUUAUCAAUAAGUUGAUCUAUUAUAACUUGAUGCUUUGAUAUUGAUAUCUCUUUGAUCUUAUAUGAUGAUGCCACAUAUUUUAAAGUUGGUUUAGUGCACCAACAACACCAAUCUUAAAGAAUAAACCUAAAAGAUAAUCUUUUUCUACUAAUGGAGUCAUUAGUCCGGUGAUUAAAAAAAUAUGGAGUUCUCUUUCUUUCAUAUUUUUAGCACAUGCUUUUUAUCAGAAAUACAUGGGUAUAUGAUAUACACUAAACAACUUAGUCAACAAACAAGUCAAUACACAUAUUCAAAUAAAUUGAUAUAUAAUUUUUAGAAUAUGAAAUUCACUAAUCUACUUUGUAUGAUCAGACGAUACAUACUUAGCAAAUUAGUCAUCUAGCAAUUUAAUACACACCUCCAACUAAAUUGAUAUAUGAUUUUCAGGAUAUUAUGUUAAUUAGUACAUAUUAUAUGGUGGGGUGAUACACACUUGUCGACUUUCUGAUAUAUAUUGUAAGCUUCUUUGAUGCAUAUCCAAUAGUGAUCCAAUACAUAUCUCUAAGUAAAAUUCAUGUUUUGGAAAUAGUGUGUCGAUUUAUCUAAAUAUUACAAAAGAUCAUUACUAAGCAUAUAUCAAAAAAACUUGUAAUUAUAUCAAAAAAUCAAUGAGUGUGUAUCAUCAGACCAUAUAUUAUAUAUCAGUAAACAUAAUAUUCUAAAAACUAUGUAUCAAUUUAUUUAGAGGUGUAUAUUAGGUUGAUAGAUAACUAACUAAGUGUAUAUCACUUUGUCAUGUAUUAUAUAUUGAUAAACUCUAUAUUUUAAAACUUAUGUAUUAAUUUUUUCUGAAGAUAUGUAUUGGAUUAUUACUAGGCAUAUACUAAGAAAGCUUGUAGUAUGUAUUAGAAAGUCGAUGAGUAUAUAUCAACAUACCAUAUGAUGUUUAUUGGUAAACAUAAUGUUUUGAAAACUAAAUAUCAAUUUACUAGAAAGUGUGUAUUGGGCUGCUAGAUGACUAAUUUACUAAGUAUGUAUCAUCUGACCGUAUACUAUAUAUUAGUGAAUUUUACAUUCUAGACAUUAUAUAUCAAUUUAUCUAAAGUUGUGUUAACCUGCUAGAUGAUUAAUUUAUUUAGUGUAUAUUACUUAACUAUGUAGUAUGUAUAAAUAAAAGACAUUACAGAAAUAAAGAAGAAAGAGAAUACUAUGCUUUUUGGUUUUUAACUACAAAAUUAACGACUCCAUUAAUAGAAGUCUUUGACUUUUAGAUUUCUUCUUUAAGAUUAGUAUUAGAAGAAAUGUGACAAAUUAUAAAGCUCAUCCUAUAAUUUCUUCUUUGAUGCCCACCUUGUACAAUUUUUGUUCACGGAUGUUACUUGUCUAUAACAAAGGGAAUCCAGUCUAAUCAUUCCCUUACAAUAAGAUAUUUGCAGUCACUUUUCUUUAAUACUAGUAUGCAAUCUACACUUUGGGACAGGCUUAGCUGAAAUCAAAGAUAAGCUUCCAAAGAUUUUAUCAUUAUAUAGAUUUUUUGUACAAUAUAAUAUAUAGUAUUUUUAUUAUUUAAUAAACUUAUAUUCAUGGUAAUCUUCAUCCUUCAUAAUCUUUUCAUUUAAUUUGAAAAUAUAAAUACUAAAAAAUUUAUUAAAGUACUAUUGAAUUGAGAAGGUUCUAUAACAAAGUAUGAAUCAAAAUGAUUGAAGAAAUAAACUGUAAUAUUUGAAACUAAAUUACCUUCAACAGAAUAAAAAAGAAAAGAAAAAAAACUAAUAAUUUAGAUAUGUUACCAGAUUAUGUUAGGCAAUUUUUAAGAAGCUACCUAUUAAAAAAUUCAAUAUGAAUUCAUUUUUUAGGAGUUAAAAUAAUAAAUUUUUAUUGAACCUUAGAUGAAAAAGAUUCAAAGCCAAAAUUUUUUGAUAAAUUAUUAAGCCAAGAUUCAUUUUCUAAAAAUAUGUUAGUGACCUUCAAAGUAUUCAUGCUAUAAUUGAAAUUUUGUGAACCAAAUAUGACCUAAAAUAUGUAAAUAUGAUUGAGGAUAUUUUUGAUAACAACUAGUAGACUAAAUCUAUCACAUUUUGUGUCCAUUACAAGAUUAAGUGCUAGAACGUUAAUUAGUUGUUGAGCUAAUUUUUUAAAAAAUUAUAAAGAUUAUUGUUGGGGGAUAUUCCUUCUUGGGCCGAAGACAGGGGUAGGCAGUUAGUUAUGGGUUGAUGAACGCAAUAAGACGGUCCGAUCCAAGCUUCGGCCCAUAAUGAUACUUAAACCUAAUCCUUAGUCUUGAGCACAAUUCAAGGAUCAGUCAUUCCUAAUUUCCUCAUCAUAUUUACUUCUGCCUUCACAGCGACCAGCAUUCAAUAUUGAUGACUGCAAAUGACGGGAUACUUAGGCAUACCGGGGCUAACUUUGGCAUACCGAUCCUCAUCUCGCUAGGAGAAAUCCAACUCGGCCAUUUCCUCCCCUUAGCAUCUAUCUCCAUCAAAUUACACUGAACCCUCAACUAAAGUGGUAGGGCCGAUCUCACCUACAUCUUAAUUCAAAAUUUGAAAUCACCCACAACUUUCAAUUGAUUUUGGAAUGAAAAAAGAAGGUGCAAUAACCACCCGAUAGAUCUCGACCUGGAGUCUCGCCAUAUUGCACCUGAAUCACCCCCAUGAUCUCUCUUGACAGUUAUACGAUUUCAUCCUACAAAAAGAUCUAUAGGGGACCUCUCAAAGUACGCAAUCAUAAUCUCAUCAACACUCUUUCUCAUCUAUUUUCUUAUGAUCUAACUUGAGCAUCGGAGGAUUGCUACCGGAGUCAACUCUGGUUAGAACUUGCUUGCAGAUUUUUCAGUUAGGAGGAUGCACCACCACUCCAGCUUCUUUUGACUAUGAUCUGAAUUUCGAUGACAAUAGAUUGGCACUAGAGGAAGGGGCCUGACCUAAUUUGAGAAGGAGCACCAAACAACGAUUAUGGCAUCACGACGAGCAUCCACUUGGAGAUCUGGUACAGCUGCCACCUCCCAACCCAUAGAGAAUGCGGUGGUUCAGCAAGUUUCGAUGUAGCCGCAGUCGAAAGUCCAGCAACCACCUCCCCCACAGGCAGUGACUGUCAAUGCAGAACAGUUUCAAUUACUAUUCCAGCAAGUCCAAACCUUGAUCACUACUGUGCAGACGAUGUAGCAGUUGUACGCAGUAUCCCUGGAGGUGGCACCAGCAAUGACAGCUACGGUCGCACCUCCACCGAUCAGUUCGAUAUCGAUGGUGAAUCCAUCUUUGGUAAUUCCUCCACAACAGCCUGCAGUAGCACCACAAGCACAACCUCCACUCUCCCCUCAAAGCCCUGAGCAGGGAAGGUAGACUCAUUACAGUCGACCUCAGAGUUUUGAACCUAGAAGAUGACGAUCGGCGAGUUCCCAUUCUAGGCAGGACUCAAUGUCUCGUUGGUGAUUCCCCCCAUAAUGUUCUGAAAAUCAUACUGCUAUCGACAUUGAUCGUAAAUUUUGAGAGAUGUAUGAGCAGAUCGAGGCGAUCCAUCAUCAUGCAUCGGCUCUUAACGAUGGGUACAAUACUAACCCAUCAUUCGAUGAUCAAAUAAUGCAAGAGCCACUCUCUCUGAAUUUCAAGAUGCCACAACUUGAGAGCUACCAUGGGAUCACUGAUCUUGUGGACCAUCAAGAGAGUUUCAAAUCUUCGAUGCUCAUCCAUAGGGCAACCGAUGCCAUCCUUUGCCGUACCUUUCUACCUACUUUGAAGGGUAUAGCCAGGCAUUUGUAUACCAGUUUGAAGCCUCAGACGAUCCAUUUUUUUGAUCAAAUGGGCAGGCUAUUCAUUGAUCAUUUUGUGAGUAGCCAGAGGUAGCAAAAAGGAUCGGACUAACUAAUGAACGUGAAGUAGAGAGAAGGAGAGUCCAUCAGAUCUUAUCUCAACUAUUUUAAUACGAUUGUACUAGAAGUGCGCAAUCUAGAUCAAUCGAUUACGAUGGCCGCCCUGAAGGGUGGAUUACUGAAGAACGAUCUUCGUUAUUCUCUAGAGAAGAUCUAUCCUCGAGACUUUAUCAAUAUGCUAGCCCAAGCAGAGAAAUACACUAAGGUGGAUGAGGUGUUUGAAGGUGAGCCCCCAAUGGUUCUUGUCGAAGACAAGAGGAAAAAAAGGCCGAGUCUCCAUCAAGAAGCUAGCAGCACCCUAAUUCUCCUCCUAGAUGUCGAAGAUCCUGAACUCCCUCAUGAAACUCUCGACAGAGGGACAACUCUCAAUGGGAUCGGUGCAUGCCUCUAACUAGGAGGUUCACCGAUUACACCACUUUGAAUGUCAUCCAAUCCUAGGUGCUUAUGGAGAUCAGAGAUCAGAUCCCAAGAGUGCCAAAGUUGAAGUCUGGUCCUGAUCGGUGGAAUCCAAAUAAAUAUUAUCUUCAUCACCACAACCAUGGCCAUGACACUGAAGAGUACAUCCAGCUUCGAGAUAAAAUUGAAAAGCUUAUUCGAUGUGAUUGCUUGGAUCUAUUCAUCUGACGUCGAUAAGAUCAGCAGGAGGAGCAAUGAAGGUUACUGACCCCGCCUGAACCGUAGCAAAGGGAGCCUUCUAGGGAUCGGCCUCCUGUAGAUGUAAUCAAUGCAAUAAUUGAGGGAUCCCAUGAAAGGUCGGAGGAAGCAGCCGAACCAUCCAAGAAGCUGAAGGUUGAAGAGUUCCUUGCUUUUAUUGAGGAGGAUGCCUAAGAGAUUCAAUUUCUAUAUAAUGACGUGAUGGUUGUAACUCUAAAUAUUAUAAAUUAUGAUAUAUGUUGCAUCUUAAUUGAUAAUAAAAAUUCAGCCGAUGUUUUAUGUUGUGAUGCUUUCUCUCAAAUGGGCGUAUCAUCAAAAUGAAUGGGAUGGAUAGACACCCCUCUUAUGGGGUUUACUGGGGAUAUAGUGCCAGUCGAGUGGGUAAUAAGUCUUCCUAUAAUGGUUGGGUGAUCUUCUCGACGAUCUAAAAUCCAGGUGGAUUUUCUAAUAGUCCGAACGCCUUCAGCCUACAACACAAUCCUCGAAUGUCCAGAACUCAAUGCACUCCAGGCCAUUGUAUCUAUUUAUCACUUGAAGAUGAAGUUCCCCAUGAACUCCGGAGUUGGUGAAGUGCGUUGGGAUCAGGCCUUAGCACGAUAAUGUUAUAAUAUUAUACUUCGUAAAUCGGGGCCAUCCGAAGCUUACCCAGUCGAUCGGUUGGACACUCGUGAUGAUUUGUCUGAAGAAAGAGAAAAAUCGAUGGAGGACUUGGAGAUGAUUCCACUUGGAGAUGGCAACAAGAAGCAUACCAUCCAGAUGGAUCAAAUCUCGAUCGAAUAAUCAAGAAAAGACUUAUCUUUUUUUUGUAGGCGCAUGCUGAUGUAUUCGCUUGGGCACCGACUGACAUGUCCGGUAUCGAUCCAGAGGUGAUAAUGCACCGACUAAGCAUCAACCCGAAGCACAAGUCUAUCAAGCAGAAGAAAAGAAGCUUCAUACCUGAACGGUAAAAGGUGAUAGCUGAAGAAGUAAAUAAGUUGCUAGAUGCAGACUUUAUUUGGAAAGUUAACUACCCCAGUUGGAUCGCGAACGUGGUCCUUGUGAAAAAGAUGAAUGACAAGUAGAGGGUCUGCAUCGACUUCACAAAUCUUAAUGAAGCAUGCUCGAAAGAUAGCUUUUCCUUGCCUUCUAUUGAUCAAUUGGUGGAUGCAACUUUGGGCCAUGAGCUCUUCACUUUCAUAGAUGCCUUUUUCAGAUAUAACCAAAUCCGAAUGACCCCUGAAGAUGAGGAAAAAAUGACCUUUAUUACUGACUGAGGUCUCUUUUUUAUUAUAGGAUGAUAUCUUUUGAUUUAAAAAAUAUAGGUACAACUUACCAGCACCUAAUCAACAAGAUUUUUCAAGGCCAAAUUGGUCAAAAUAUAGAUAUUUAUGUGGAUGACAUGCUUGUCAAAAGCAAGGCCUCCCAGACCCACAUUGAAGACCUUAAAGAGACUUUUGCAAUAUUGAGAAAGUACAAAAUGAAGCUAAAUUUAACUAAGUAUACUUUUGGAGUGACUUCAAACAAAUUCUUAGGCUUCAUGGUGUCCUAUCAGAGGAUAGAAGUCAAUCUAGAGAAGAUUCGGGCUAUAAUAAAGAUGAGCCCGUCAAGAAAUAUAAAAGAGGUUCAACGUCUCACUGAUUGAGUGGCAGCUUUAAUAGAUUUAUCUCAAGAUCAGCCAAACACUGCCUUCUAAUUUUUUAAACUUUGAAGCAACCGAAGAAUUUUCAAUGGACCGACAAGUGCCAACAAGCCUUUGGGGUGCUAAAGAAAUAUUUGAGUUCGACGCCACUCCUUAGCAAGCCAAACAUAGGCGAGCAACUUUGUUUGUACCUGAUGGUAUCUCCAGUAGCAAUAAGCGUUGUACUGGUUUAUGAGCAGGAUAAUAUUCAGAAGCCAAUCUACUGCACCAGUCGAGUCUUACAUAAUGCAGAGAUCAGGUAUACAAAGUUGGAGAAACUAAUUUUUGCGCUCAUUGUCGCAGCUAGAAAACUUCAACCAUAUUUUCUUGCACAUCCAAUUGCAGUGUUGAUGGACCAGCCACUCAAAACUAUUUUGCAUCAUCCCGACACCUCUGAUCAACUGGCGAAAUAGGCCAUUAACUUACAAAAUUUGAAACUCAAUACCGACCUCGGCCUUCCAUCAAAGCAUAGAUCCUGACAAACUUUAUUGUGAAAUGUACUAUCCCAGAUGACUUGGAGAUGUCUGAACCUAUUCAAGAGGAUGUAAUAGAAGAACCAGAGUCAUCAAAAUCGAAAAACUCCUAGGUAAUAUAUGUAGAUGGCUCCUCCAAUGCCACAGGAUUAGGAGCUGGGUUACUACUGCUUGGACCUGGGAGGUUUACUGCUAAAUAUGCCCUGAGAUUCAGCUUUCCAGCUAUCAAUAAUGAAGUGGAGUAUGAAGCACUUCUGACAAAGCUAAGGAUUGCCAAAGAGCUUGGAGUGUCAAGGCUUAAGAUCUGCACUGAUUUCCAAUUGGUGAUAGGACAAGUAAGAGGAGACUUCGAAGUCCAGGAAGAAAAUAUGAAAAAAUACCUACAGAAGAUGAAGGAUCUGAUAUCGUAAGUCCCAGACUUCGACAUCCAGCAAGUAUCUUAGGCCAAAAAUUCAAAAGCUGAUCUGCUAUCAAAACUGGCAACACUUACACUAGGAGAUCUUCCACAGCAAUCAUUUUUUGAAGUCUUGAAAAGGUUAAGCAUAAAAGAUUCGGCCCAAUUUCUGCAAGUUGAUGACAAACUCUAUUGGAUGAAUCCCUUUGUUCGCUUCUUAAGGGAUGGAGUGCUGCCUGAAGAUUCAAAGGAAGUCAGAAAGAUCAGAUUUUAAGUCGUUCGCUACAUCUUCUACAAUGCGAGACUCUACAAGCGAUCCUUCUCUCUACCACUCUUGAGAUGUUUUCACCCAUCGAAGUUGAAUAUGCUCUUUGAGAGGUGCAUAAAGGAAUGUGCGGCAACCACCUCGCUGGCAAAUCCUUAGCAUACAAACUACUUUGGUAUGGAUAUUAUUGGCCUAAGAUGUAGGAUGAAGCAGCUGACUUCAUUAAGCGGUGUGACUAAUGCCAGCGGAAUGCCAAUGUUCAACAUCUUCCAUUUGUGCCACUCACUCCAAUUGCUGCCCCUUGGUCAUUUGCUCCGUGGAGAAUGGAUAUCUUAGGUCCUUUUCCACCAGCAUCAAAUCAAAAAAAAUUUUGUUAGUGGCCAUCGACUACUUUACUAAAUGGAUGAAAGCUGAGCCCCUCACCAAGAUUACUGAAGUCAAAGUGACUAACUUUGUUUUGAAGGCUAUUAUUUGCAGAUUCGAUCUUCCUCGGAUGAUCAUUACAAACAACAGUCGUAAAUUCAUACGUUCGAGAUUUGCUGAAUUCUACCAAGAUCGCGGCAUCUCCCAGCAUUUCCCUACGGUGGGCCAUCCUCAAGCCAUCGGAGAAAUCAAAGUUACCAACUAAACCAUUUUGCAAGGGCUGAAAGCUAAGAUCGACCGAGCCAAGGGAGCCUGGGUCGAUGAGCUGUACAAUAUUCUAUGGGUCUACCGAACCAUCUAGAGAACUCCAACAAGAGAGACUCCUUUUAUCCUCUCCUUUGGAACUGAAGCUGUCAUCCCUAUAGAACUCGAACUCCCUUCACAUCGGAUCGAAAAUUAUGACAACCAAAGUAAUGAAGAAUGGCUUUGAGCAAAUUUGAAUCUGCUUGAAGAAACCUGUGAGAAGACAAGAGUGAGGAUGGCGGCCUAUCGACAGAAGGUGGUGUGGUACUAUAAUUUUCGUGUCAGAGGUAAAGAGUGAGCUAGUCCUGCGGCAAGCCGAAGCUUCUCAACCCACGGAGCAUGAAAAGUUGAGUCUUAACUGGGAAGGCCCCUAUCAGGUGAAUGAAGUUAUCUGAUCAAGGACCUAUUGUCUUAAGCAAUUGGAUGAGACACUUCUGUCUCAGCCCUGAAACUCUAAUAACUUGCAGAUGUAUUAUCGAUGAUGUUAUUCACCCAUUGAAUAUUAUAUUUUUCUAAAUACAUUGUUAUUUUCUCUAUCUUUCGAUGCUAUUCUGAUAAAAUAAUUUUUUUUUGGAGAUUAACCGACUAAUAUACUAUGAAGGCAAUUAAUAAAAGAAAAAAAGAGAAGAAUACCAAGAAAAGACAAAAAUCAUAGAAAAGGUACACAUAAACACUCAUUUCUUUUUUUUCAUUACUUCAAACAUUUACAAACAGAGGACAGGAAGACAGACAAUAACAAAAAUACAAAGAAAAAAAGAAAAAAAAAAGAACAAGGACUCCUCCAGGAUCAUAAUUCUUUGGCCGCAUCAAGACCAAGAUCCAGGAUAUGGAGGAUUCAAUCCUCGUCCAAAGAAAAUAUCCCAAUCUCAUCACUACUGCUCUCAGAGUGAAGGCGAUGCAGAUCUAGCUACGGCAUUAGGUGCUUGAUGUGGGCCUUGCAAUUCUCAAUGUUCUGCACAAAUCCAGCCAUGGAGGCAUCAAGAAAUUUCCCCCUUAAAGGCCUCAGAGGCCUUGAAGUCGGUGACCCAGCGAGGUGAGCCUCUGAAAAGGCCUCCUCAGUGGUCCCAGGGUGGAGUGCAACACCAGCUGAGGAGCCCUCACCAGGAGCCCUUGGAGGGUGCUCGUUGGGUGUCGUCCGUGCCCUCUUGGUGGAGCCCUUCCUACGAAGGAACUCCAUUUUUUUCUUGGCAACCUCUUUGAUUUGAUAGGGAGCAAGCUCCAGGGUCUCAGGAAGGGGAAAAGAAAAAGCGAUAAGAGGGAAGGAGUUUGUGAGUACACUAGUGGCAGGAAGGGGCAACUUAUAGAAGAUCCGAAUGAAAGUGUGUCCAUGCGAGAGCCAAUCUGGAUCCCCCACAUGUCAUGUUUUGAAAUUUCAACCAUCGUCGCUAUUUACUGUGCUUCUCUCCCAUCAAAGUGAAGUUAGUGGAGCGCUUCAAAGGCCACCCUGAUUUGCUACGUGGUAAUCGAAAAGCGGCCUAGAGAAGAUCGUCAGUUGAUUUUCUUGGAAAAUUCUACCUGCCAUUAAAGUAGAAAGAGUCCCAUGGCAUGCCAUGAAUGGACGUUUCGAUUUCAAGAAGGCAUCUGAUCAAUCGCGAUAAUUCUUCUCCCAAUGAGUAGUAGAAACCUCCGUCACUAAGAAGCAGGAGCUAACCCUUGAAGAUCCCUGAAGACCGAACACGCUCUUCAGCGGGUCAAUGCCCAAGAAUACUUUAGCAAUCAGUAGAAGCGAGGGGUAACCAACAAGGACCCUCGAAGCCCAUCGACAUUCGUCUGGACCAAAGAUCGGAAUCUACAAGUGGUGGGUAACCAACGUGAACCCCCAAAGUCCAUCGACAUUCGUUCAGGCCAACGAUCAGAAUCUACAAGUGGGGGUUACCAAUGAGAACCUCCGAAGCCCGUCUACAAUCGUUCGGAUCAAAAAUCAGGAUCCACAAGUAAAGGCUAAUCCAAGAGGACCCUCUAGUCAUCAGCUUUAGCCAAACGCUAAGCCGAAGCUAAUGACAUGGCCACUCGACAGAUGUCAAGGUAAGCUGUCCCAGUAUGGAAAUAAUUUAUCCAAAUUAUAAGUCCUACUCAUGAGAUGACAUACUUAUGCAAUGACAAAGUAACACUGAAGGUUCAAAUCUUAUUUCUUAUCAAAAAAUUUCUUAGAACAGUUACAAGAUGGAUGAUUACAAAAGAUAAAAGAAGAAAAUGCAGGGUUGAAAGAUCAAUCUUUGGCUGGUGAAGCUUCGACAUCCGAUAUUCCCACUAGGUCUGAAACUGAAAGGUGAGAAUCAACCUUUGAAAAAAGUCUCCUGACUAAGCUUCGACAUUCUUCAAAGUCAAGAUCUAUCACCUGAGCUGACACAUCAUCGAUUGCGACAAUCAUAUCAUGCAAUAUCGAAGCAAGCCGAUCCUCCAAUAAUCUGACAGUUGCUUUAGCAUGCUCAGUCACAACCGUCUAUUUCGCAAGCUGAAUUUGGAGUUUGAUUAAUGCAGAUCUAUCCUGAUGAAGGGCUCCAAAGAGAUAAACAACUGUUGUCCUAGUCUUGACUAAUUCACUUCGAACAUCAUCAACUACUGACUUCUUCGCAUCUAAUGAGCGAUAAAGAUUUCUUAUUUCACCCCUAGCCAAAUAAAGUUCUUCUUUAAGCUUAUCAAUUUCUUACUUGACUUCAUCAUCGAUCCUACAUGAGGUCAAGUCAUAUUUCAGUCUUGAAAUCUCAUUUCAGACCUUUUGAAGCUGCUCAUUGAGAAAAAAAAAAUUUCUCACCCAUUUUCUAACUAGUAUUCCCAGCGGACUUGGCAAUUUCAUCGUGCUCCACAAUCAACCUACAUUUUUUGGAGGAGUAUUUUUUGCUUGUCUCCUCCAAACGCUUUUGCAGACUACUUUUCUGCAUCGCCGCCUAGUCAUUACUUAUCUCAAGCCUCCAAAGUUUCGCUUUAGCUUCGGCAAUGUCCUGUUGGGCCUGAUGUAAGUUUCUCUUAAGAUUUUUGAUUCAAAUUAUUAAAGAUGAGGCUCUCGAAAGAUGCUUAACCCGAUAUUGAGUAAACAUGCGAUCGAAACAGUCACAUCAGAUCAACUGAGGAGAGCAUCAUAUACAAAUAAGUCUAAAAAUACAGGUAAAACUUUUUUUUCAUUAAUUUCAAAAGUCAAUUUUUAUAUUGAUUAACGAAAGAAAAAAUAAAAAGAAAUACAAGUUUAGUUAUGUUUGACUUUGGCAUAAGGAUCAGUCGAUGAUGGAUUGGAUGAAACCACGAUCAGUUGCUCCAAUACUUGUAGGGGCGGUGCAACCUCGAUGGAGAUGAAUGCAGGGACAACCUUUGAAGGUGUGGUAGCUUCAGACGAUCCCCCUCUUGCCUCGAUGAUCGAAGUCCCUCCAGUGACAUCUUCCUCUUUCUCCUCUCUUAGGUGGUAUAAAAAGUCCCAAUCUAUGUUUGAAAAGUGAUCCCUCACUUUCUUACGGCAAAUAUCCAGACCAGUGUUGAAGGCAUCUUGACUAAAGGCAAAUUUUUUGUUCGAAUAUUCGAUGGAUGUACAAAAGGCUUCUACAACUGCAUGGCCUGCUUCAGCAGCUUGUUCCUGGGCUUUCUUUUCAACGUUGAUAGCCUUAGCUUGUGGUUUUAACUUUUCUUUUUCUUUGAAGCGAACACGGCUUUAUUCUUCUUCAACUUAUUCUUCAAUUGGACAACCUCAGCUUCAGCCGCUUCUACCCUCGAUUUGGCCUUGGCCUUUGCAGCUUCGGUCGACUUGUAUUUCUUGUCUACUUUGGCCAACUCUUUUUCAGCAUCAUUUAUUUUGGUGAUAAUGGUUGCCACAUAGUGUCCUACCUACAUUUAUAAGAUAGAGAGUGAGUAAAAAAAAGAAACAGAAGCAGAUUCACCUUCACAAAAGUGGAGAUCAUCUGUCUCUGUUGAUUCACACCAUCUUCUUUCUCGAUCUCCUUCAGACCAUCAUUGAGGAGCAUAUUCUUGAAAGUAUGGUUGGAGUUUUUCCAACUAUUGAAAACCCCCUUGGUGGUGGACAAACCCUAACCUUGCUCUUGAUUCAUCAGUUCUCCAGUAGAAUCCAACUCCGUCAAUACCGAACCAACUUGGGAGGCAGGGAGCAUGGCAGGUUUCGGAAGCUAGCUUCGAGAGAGAAAAGCUGAAAUAGCUCCCUCUUGAGCCGAAGUCAAAGGAGCCCUCUCUUUUUCGCUUUUAUCCAAAGCUUUGGGUUUCUUCAGAACUCUAACGGAUGAAGAAGGUGCUAUCCUUUCGAUGAUCCUCUCAGCAACUUCUUUACUUCUUUGAGCUUUAUCAUUGCUGUGAAAAGGUUCAACUUCAACGAAAGACUACAAAAGAGGUAUCGAGAGGAGGGAUAAAGAUCUUCUCACCUCUGAGAUCGGUUGGACUAACAUCAGUGUUAAAGAGAGACUGCUCUGAUAGCAACUUUUUUAGCCAAAAAACUUUAUAUCCCCUCAAAGUCUCAAAAUGCUCUUGAUCUUCAUCUCUCAGUUUUGAGAUUCAGAAGUUAGAAUCCCUUAGCCGACCUCAGUGUGGACAACCACACUUUUCUACAAAAGGAUCAGAAAUGAAAAAGAAUUGAACCUUCUAAUUAUACACUGAAGAUGGAGCCCUCUUUAUCAACAUAGAGAUUCUUCUCGGUGGAGACACAUACCACCAAUCUUUGGUAUACCUCUUCAUGGUAUAGAAAGAUCGAAAAAAAGGUAUAGAAGGUUGGACCCUGACUCUAGAGCAAAGAACCAAAAAACUAAUGAUAAAAUAGAAGAAGUUUGGAAUAACAAAGCAUAAAAAAAGAUUGAAGAAGCAAAAAAUCUCGACAAUAAAAGGAUGAAUAGGGAGUCUAAGUCUGACUUUAAAAGCUUCUUUACAAACUUAUCCUACCAGGAGGAGGAUUGCUUACUCUACUGCUGCGACCAGAAGACUCUAAUUCAAAGAUUGAUAGAAUUCUAUAGCAAACACAAAUGCGAUUCAACUCCUUCACACCCAACUUAGACUCAAUCUGGUUUGGGAUGAAAGACGUGGCACCAUGUUCCUCACCUCUGCUAAUAAAAAUACUCUCAGAAGAAGAAAAAAGUGAUUUAGAAGAACAAUUUUCGCUGUGAUUCCUAGGGUCUGCCAUUAAAGAUGCUGGGGACAACUAAAUCAAGAAGAUAAAAAGGAAGCAGAAAGAGGAGAGAAAGGAAACUAACUUACUGUGGCACAAUAAGAAGAGAGAAGAUGGCAAUUCUUCAAGAAGAUGAAGGCAAUUGCUUGAAGAAAAACUAUCGAGGAACCAAAAAAAACUCUCAUGAAGAAAGGCAAGAAGAGAAGAAAGAAAGUCUGAGAAUGUAUGAGAAAAGUCAGAGGCUGCCUCCUUUUUAAACACAAAAAAUCAAAACUAUCCAGAUACUGAAUCCUAUCCGACCAUUCGAUGAUCGACACGUAGUGCAAUUCACAUAUAGCAAAGAGACGUCAGUCGGCCAAUGAAUGAUAUGCAUGGAAACGAGGCACACCAUUCUCUUGAUUCUGCCAAUUGCCCCAUGGUCAUGAUUGCAGUUCGAAAAGGCCCCGUGAUUCACUCAAGAAGCAUAUGCACCAUUUUUAUGUGAAGGAUGAUGCAUCUUCACCCAAUCAAAAUUCUGAUACUCCCUUCACUCAAAUUGAAUUCGGGAGUAAGGAGCAUGUGUUGGGAGAUAUUUCCUCGGGCUGAAGAUAGGGACAGACGGUUUGUUAUGAGUUUAUGAAUGCAGUAAGACGGUCCGAUCCGAGCUUUGACUCAUAAUGAUACUUGAACCUAAACUGCAGUCCUGAGCAGAUUCAAGGAUCGAUCAUUCCUAAUUUCAUCAUCAUAUUUACUUCUGCCUUCACAGCGACCAGCAUUCAAUAUUGACGACUGCAGAUGGCAGGAUACUUAGGCAUACCAAACUUUGACUUUGGCUAUACUGAUCCUCAUCUCGCUGGGAGAAAUCCAACUCGACCAUUUCCUUCCCUUAGCACCUACCUCCAUCAAAUUACACUGAACCCUCAACUAAAGUGAUGUGCCGAUCUCAUCUACACUUUAAUUCAAAAUUCGAAAUCACUCACAACUUUCAGUUGAUUCUAGAAUGGAAAAGGAAGGUGCAAUAAUCACCUCAUCGAUCUCGACUGGGAGUCUCACCACGUUACACCUGAAUCAUCCCCACGAUCUGUCUCAAUGGUUAUAUGAUUUCAUCCUACAAAAAGAUCUAUAGAGGACCUCCUAAGGCAUGCAAUCAUAAUCUCAUCAACACUCAUUCUCGAUUUUUUUUUUGUAAUCUAACUUGAGUGUCGAAGGAUCUCCAUUGGAGCCAACUCCGGUUAGAACUUGCUUGCAGAUUUUUCAAUCGGGAGGAUGCGCCACCACUCCAGCUUCUUCUGACCGUGAUCUGGAUUUCAGUGGCAACAAUUACUAUAUCGGUUUCAUCUUCAACAGUAUUACUUAAUUUAUACCUUAAGAUAAUAAAUAUAUUAAAAUUAUUUUUUAAAUAAAAAUAUUUAUUUUUAGAAAAUAAAAUGUGGUAUUAAAAAAUAUAUUACAAUUUUAUCAUGGUACAAAAGAUUGAUUAUUUUUACUGUAUUGGUUGCACUAAAAAAGCAUCAUGAUAAAUUUUUAUUAUAACUCUGUAACUAUAAUGUACUUUAUAGCACCAAUCAUAGAAGAUGAUAAUUGAUUUUAAACUAACCUCGCAAGCGAAUUUAUCCUCUAAAAAAAUAAUUAUAUAAUUUAAUUUUUUUUACAUAAGUAAAUUAUUGGAUAUAAUGAAAUACUAUCCCAUAUCUGAAAUAUUAUCAUUCCAACCCUAAAUCAAUCUAAUAGAACCAACAAUAUACAUAAACUCAAUUUAAAAAAAUAAAUGAAAUUUAUAUUUUAAUACAAUUUUGAUCACUGAUUUUUCAAGCCUAAUCUCUUGUAUAAUACAAAACCGAUCUGGCCUAAUAUGUCCCAAAUAGACCCAAGCCCAUAAACAAAUUAUUUUUUAUUAAAUAUUAAAUCUUAAAAUCAACCAAUAAAUAUUAUCCAUAAUUUUAAAUUUUUAUUUUAAAUAUCAAAAUUACUAAAACUAUAUAUAUAUANNNNNNNNNNNNNNNNNNNNNNNNNNNNNNNNNNNNNNNNNNNNNNNNNNNNNNNNNNNNNNNNNNNNNNNNNNNNNNNNNNNNNNNNNNNNNNNNNNNNNNNNNNNNNNNNNNNNNNNNNNNNNNNNNNNNNNNNNNNNNNNNNNNNNNNNNNNNNNNNNNNNNNNNNNNNNNNNNNNNNNNNNNNNNNNNNNNNNNNNNNNNNNNNNNNNNNNNNNNNNNNNNNNNNNNNNNNNNNNNNNNNNNNNNNNNNNNNNNNNNNNNNNNNNNNNNNNNNNNNNNNNNNNNNNNNNNNNNNNNNNNNNNNNNNNNNNNNNNNNNNNNNNNNNNNNNNNNNNUAUNUAUAUAUAUAUAUAUAUAUAUAUAUAUAUAUAUUGGCCUGACUACUAUCUUAAUCAAUAAAAUUAUAUCUAUUUUUAAAUUAAUUCAUAAUAUAUUUAUAUCCUUUAAACUUUUAUAUGUAACUAUCAACAUAAAACCCUCGCCACCAUCUAAACUUUCCUAUUUGGCUGUGCCAAGCCUCCAUAUUGCGUGCAACAGGUGUAGUGGACCAUGUAAAUCCCACAGUGUUUAACACGCCAUGCGACCCCUUGUAUUUCAUCGAUUUUUUAUUGCGCUCUCUCCACUGUGCAUAUGCUCUGAGAUUUGCCCUGAUUCAUUUACACCUAGGCAUGCAAUAAUUUCUCCUCCCACAGUCCCACUCAAUUGAGACUGAGAACAGGAAAAACAGAGGAAGCACGAAAGAAAUUAAAAAGAUUUUUUAUAUGUAUACUCUCCCAAAUAUUCAAAUUUACAUAAAUACUCUUUCAAAAUUGAUAUCUGCAUAUAUACCCUCAUAAAAUAUCUUUUUUUACCUUUGUACCCAUAUCAUCAACAUCGUUAAAAAUUAACAGUUUAAAAUAAAAAUGACUAAAAUAUCUCUAUGGAUAGAUGUGCAAAAAAGAAAAAAUUAUAAGAAUAUAUAUAUAAAUAGUAAUUUUAUGAAGAUAUUCAUUCAAAUUUGAAUAUUUGGAAGGGUAUAUAUACAAAAAAAUUUUAACAUAAAUACACCUCUCUUGGUUCAUUAGUUUUUUUUAAUUUUUUUUGCAUAUUUAUCCAUAAAGAUAUUUUAAUCAUUUAAAUUUUAAACUAUUAAUUUUUUAAUGACAUUAAAUGAUAUGGAUACAUAUGCAAAAAAAAAUGAUAUACAUACAAAAUAAGUAUUUUAUGAGGAUAUGCAUACAAAUAUCAAUUUUGAAAGGAUAUUCAUGUAAAUUUGGAUAUUUAGAAGGAUAUACAUGCAAAAUAUUCAAAUUAAAAGUUGAACUUUUUUUUGCCUGAGAUUUGAUCAUUUCUUUUUCUUUUCACUUCAUUUUCUUUUUUCUUUUUUUUUGAAGAUCAGUGGGAAGGAGAGCACUUGAGGGAGAUUGGAGGGGUUUCUUGGGUUCUGAUUUGGGUUUUCUCAUAUGGGAUUUUGUGCAAGUAGCGACGGUAUGAGUUGGUCCCUUGAGGUUUCAAAAGCUUAAUCUUGGUAGAAGCAUCUUAUUUUAUCUAGUUCGAGGAUUUUGUAUUGAAAAAAUUCUUCUUUGGUUACUGUUGCGGCCAAUCCUCUAUUGCGCCUGUUGUCAGUGAAGAGCACUUGUAAAAUGAAGUCCACACUGAUCGAAAUUAUGUCCGCACAGAGAUUCUCCGAUGCUUAAGUCGGUGGAGAGUGAUGAACAAUAGAUGAAGAAUAUUUGAAAUGAUAGUCUUAUUCGAAAAUUAUCUUACCAAUGCUAUCAUUUACCUCCUAUUUAUAGGUGAUUCGGAUGUAACCGUCGAGCACAUGGUCCCACAUCUUAUGACACUAAAUUAUCAAACCAUAAUCAUGAAGUUAAUGGGCUAUUUAUGCCCACUAAUGAUCGUGACACGUAGUUGAUAACUAUUUAUAAUGGUUAGAUAUAUAGGUUCCAUACAUUUCGGCAUCAUGUGAUCAUAGAAAGAUAAGCCAACUAUAUGUCCGUAAUCGUGAAGAUCCAAAUGAGCAUCAAUCGGUAACUCUAGUAUGCCGAUGGUCAUCAGUCAGAUAUUAACUGAGUUAUCAUGGUUGUCUGUUGAUGGCUGAAAAUAGCCGACUGUCGGUCGGUCAACUGAUUGUGAGUCGACAUACUAUAUUUAUGAAGUCGAUCUAUAGUCAGAAAUGGAGAUCGAUUGAAUUAUCCCAACAGUUGCCCUCCACUCCCAAGUCCAAAGUGGCUCGACGUGCAUAUCGUCAUGUGAUCUGUCACAUUGGAUGGAGAGAGUUGUCACGUCAUGUGCUGCUUCGAACCCCGAUUCAGCUGCUGGUUUUAAUAAUUUUUUGAAAUAUGAGAGAUCUCCAGUUAUUUUAUUGUUUCGAUAACUGUGAGAUCAUCAUUGAACUAUCAUUUUGAAAAGAUAAUUCAAUGUCCAAAAAAUUCGGAUGAUUUGAUUAGAUCUUGGCCACGUGUCCAAAUAUCAUUAGCUCUGAGCUGUUCACGCAGAUAAUAGUGAGGUGACAUAAUCUGGGAGUAGGUGCAUCGAACCAUGUGAUCAAUGGUUGGUUUCGAUGACGCCACGUAUCAACAUCUGAAGAGAUCCUGAUUUAACUGAUUUCACCUGGACCAUUGAGGGGUCAUAUAUAUAUAAAGUCACUUUCAUCCAGGCUUUACUUUUGUAUUUGUCGUCUCUCUGCAAUAGAAGGUUCUGUUGUCCCAGUACCAGGAGCUUUCUGGGUUCAGUCCUUCACACCAUCUUUGGCCUCAGGUCGAGUUUCCCUUCUUUCUCUUAGGGCUUUUUCUCUUAGGAUUUCUUCUCUUAGGAUUUUCGUUCAUUUUUCUUUAGUUUUUUAUUUUUAUGGCCAGUAAGAAGGCUUCAUCUUCUUGGGAUAGUCGGUCGGAGAAUCUGACCGAUGACUCUCUUUCAGAUCCGAAAAUAAAAGUUUCUUCCUUAUCCGAGCCCAAUAUUGAAUGGCUCCGAAAAUAGUACCGUAUCUCAAAACAGUAUCAGCUUUCUGCUCCUGGACUGGAUGGUUGAGUGAACUCUCCUCCUCUGGUCAGAUCGUAUUUUAUGUCGAAGACCUUCGGGCCGAUCUUCGAUUUUCAAUUUUAAAGUUCAUUCAGAAUCUUCUUGAUUACUAUGGUCUCUGUCCUGCUCAGCUGGCUCCGAAUGCUAUCCGAUUGAUCAUUAGCUUUGCUUUGUUAUGUCGGCUUAUCCUGACUGAACCUCAUCCUUCUCUUUUUUAAUCUUUUUUUAUUCUUCGUCCUCAUCCCAAGGCCAAGGGUUGGUGGUUCUUCAAUCCGAGAAAAGACCUUUCUUUCAUCUCCGAUCUUCCAUCGUUCAUUCAUGGAUGGAAGAAAUAAUUUUUCUUUGUUUCUUCUUCUGCUUCUUGGGGCUUCCCUUCAUGUUGGGGCGAUUCGAGAACUGGCCUCAGUGAGAAUAGUCGGGUAGAGAUUGCUGAUUGAGAAGACUUCUUUCGACUAAAGGAUAUGGAAGUCCUACCACAGCGAGAGCUGAUGAUCGAACAAGCUCUCUACGAUGCUGGACUUAGUUCGGUAACUUCCUUAGGUAUAACAUAGUCAGUCAUUUCAUUUUUUUUUGUUUGUUUCUGAGUUUUGUACUGAUCUUUUUAUUUUGAUUGCAGCUAUAGGGAAAAGGGCAUGAGUGUCAGCCAUCGACAUCUGCUCACAUGCUGCCAAGAAGAAGGCAACAAUUGAAGCUGGACCUUCCCGACCGCUGAAGAAGAGUUGGGUUGCUACUCUAUCGGUACCGACAAGAGAAUCUGACAUUCUGUCGAAGACAGUUCUUGAGCUGGUCCUAGCAUUGUCGGCCCCGACAACGCUUCUUCCGACUGAGGUGCCAUCUGCUAAAGCUGGGAUGGUGAGAGAUGAAGGAGCUGCGGCAGAACCAUCGAUGGCUCCAUCAGUGGGGGUUCAGGCCGGAUCAGUUGCGAUCGAACCUCAGUAGUCUGCGGCUGUACCGGUUGUUCCUCCAGUAAAAUGAUCUCGGACGCAGUCAAGUAUUGAUUUUUCGACGAUCUCAAUCAUGCAACUGUCGAUUGGAGAUCGAGGGAAGGCACCAGCAACUUUGACCGAUGAUGGGUCAUCUGUGGGCCUCUCCACGCUCUUCGAUAUCAGGAUCUCCGAAGGUGAGUCAGCCUUGGCCAAUCCGGCAUUGGCCAAGUGGCUCAUUAAAGCUACUCUUCUCCUGACUCAUAGGAAAAAUAGGAAAAGUCGGACGGUGGCUGAAAUAUUCUCUUCCUUCUAUCCGACGAUACUUGAGAUAAUUUUUCGACAUUUCUCUCUCUUUUUUUUUAUCUGACUUGACUUGUCUUCUGUCUUCAGUGGGCGUACGAUAUGCACGCUUUGAAGAGCGAAUAUUGAAAGAUCGUAGGCUUUUGCCAGUCUUGGAUGGAUAAGGUGACGGCUGCCAAUGCUGAGAAGACUGUUGCCGUCGAACAACUUCAGGUAGCAACUGAAUAGGAGGCAAAGCUUCAAGAAGAAAUCUCCUAUCUGACUGUCGAUCUUCAAUCUUCCAAAGUCGAGCUUGAGUCGGCUCAUCAAAAUAUCACAUCUCUCGAAUCUCAAAUUAAGAGUAAGAAGCACUCCAUCCAUCGGCUCCGGAGAGAAAAGGAUGGAUGUAUUGAAGAGCUGGAAGCGGAAUGCGAAAGACAUCGGGCUAUCCUGGAAAGACUGGCGGCCUCUGAAGGGAAGCGUGGUGGGUGAUGUGCAUGUAUUUUCAAAAUUUUAUAGCAAAAUAUAUAUAAAUUAAAUAAUUUAAUCUAGAAUAUAUGUAUAGAUCAAAUCUAAAAUCACCAUACAGGAUCUAUGACAUAAACUAAUAUGCAUAUAUGUACAUCUGAAAUCUAAAAUUCAGCAAGUAUAGACAUAUUUAAUUUAUAUUUAGAUUACAUCUAAAUAUUAAUUGAGAUCAAAACCUCAUAUCUGAGUGUGGAUAGUAGAUCACCGCAUCCGAAAUCCAUAAUAGAUGGUUCUUCAUGAUGCUUGGCAGCCACAUAUGCAUCCGGCUUCUACGGAUAUCCACACGAAGUCCUUGUGCUGAUCGAUCUCUUCGGGAGUGCUAGCUCACGAAGACAUCAUCCUUUCACUAAUCUGAGAGGAACAUGAUGGAGAUAAAAAAUAAGAAGAUCUCUUUUUCUUCCUAGAUUCAUGCAUCUGAUCUCUACAAUAGAGAUCAAGAGAAGAAUCUUUUCUUCUCAAUUUUUCAUACAUAAGAUAGAACCUUUCUCUCUUCCUUUCACGUCUUUAAGAAAAUUUUUUUUUUUGAUUUUUUAUGAUAAAAAUUAGAUCUAAUCUGAUUGCUCAUACUAAAAAUUAUAUAAAAUCUUGAGAUCUAGAAAAAAUCAAAAGAGGGAUCCAAGAGAAGAACCAUUUUUUUCUCUUCUUCCCCCUUUUUCUUCUUGAUUUAGAACUCUAGGAUGCCCCAAACACCCAACCAAAUUUUUUUGCUAUUUCUCUUCUAAAUUUUUAUAUUAAAAAUUAAAUCUAAUCUAAUUUUUAUCUUAGAAAAAAAAAAAAAAANNNNNNNNNNNNNNNNNNNNNNNNNNNNNNNNNNNNNNNNNNNNNNNNNNNNNNNNNNNNNNNNNNNNNNNNNNNNNNNNNNNNNNNNNNNNNNNNNNNNNNNNNNNNNNNNNNNNNNNNNNNNNNNNNNNNNNNNNNNNNNNNNNNNNNNNNNNNNNNNNNNNNNNNNNNNNNNNNNNNNNNNNNNNNNNNNNNNNNNNNNNNNNNNNNNNNNNNNNNNNNNNNNNNNNNNNNNNNNNNNNNNNNNNNNNNNNNNNNNNNNNNNNNNNNNCCCAGGAUGAGUGGUCCACAUUGUGUCUCAAUCUCAAAAAUCCUGUGACUCCUCACUAGGACUACUUUGGCCAAAGUUUUACUAAAUUGAAAUACAGUGAUGCAUCAUCUCCAAUUUUACUUGGAGCAGUUAAUCCUAUCUUGACUUGUAUUUAGACUUCACAAGUACUUGACUGUAUCCAGAAACCUUCCAUCAUCGAAUUAAAAUUUCGGAUAGUCCGACACCAAAGCACAAUGAAUUGCUUGCAAGUCACCGAGACAACCUCAGGUCCGAGGGACACUUAGCAAUCCUUAACAGCAGAGUACUUCGAAAGUGGUCAUGUUCAAUGAAAUAUACUCCUAUAAAUUACCCAUGCGCCAUACCCGUGUCAUCACACGUCUUGAUUAUGAGGACAAUCAAUCAAUAUAGUAUACAAUGACCUACACUCGAUACAAUUAUCGUCCUUGUAACAAUUGUAUCAUUUGGUCACGAGCAGGAUUUAAGAACUACAUAAUAAAUCUUUCUUUAUCAUUUUAGAAGCAGCUCCAAGGACUUCAUCAUAAUAUAUGAGUUCUAUUUAGGAAGAUUUAUUCCUUAUGAUGGAUCUUGCCAAAUAAUAUUUAUCAUUUUAUAAUUUAUAUACAUACAUAGAGCACAAUCAUCUACAACCUAGAUGAUUGGCUUUAGGACACAAUUUCCAAUAGCCUCUACAAGAGUGGAAGCUGAGUCGGCAAGGGAUGAUCUAAGUCCGACCAUCGAGAACUUCAAAAAUUCAAAAAAUUCAAAGAAAAAAUUCUCAAAGGUGGAUCUACUUCCUACUGCAUCGGAUAUGAAGGUGGUCGAGAUGCAAUCGGUAAAUUGUAUCCAAAUUUGGACUUGAGCAGCAUCGUUCCUCCUACUUCAGAAGAAGAAGCUGCUGAAGAGGGCACUGCACCAGCUGAAGAUGAUGCACCGACUGCACCAGGACCUGCUCCAGCUAUUGAACCCGUGUCAGGGCAAGAUAAUGAAGAAAAUGACUAGUGAUUGGUGUAGCAUUUUCACUUUCUUUUGUAAUUAGAUAAAUUUUGUAAUCAGAUUUUGAUCCAAUUUUUAUAACUUUUCCUUCAAUGAAUAAAAAAAAAUUUAAAUACAAAUUCUUUCUCUUUUUUGUGUACUUCCAAUAUCAUAGAAUCAUAGUCACAUAAUCGAAUACCAAUCAACGAAUUGAAUGUUUAGUAAUAACUAUUGUAGAAUUUAUCUGUUAGUCGAAUAUCGAUUGACAUAAUUUAUCUUUUAGGUAUUUGGAUAGACAGUGAUAAGCUGAAUAUCCUUCGAUUGACCGUAGUCAAAUCGAUAUGUCUAGAUAUUUGAUAAAUGAUGGUAAAUCGAAUAUCUUUCGACCGACCAUAGUCAAUUCGGUGUGUUUUCAAUUCGAUCGGGAUUGAAUCAAUAUAAUAUUCCACUUAGUUAAACUAAAUCGGUAUAAGUAGUUAUUCGACUAGAGUCAGUUUUUAUAGUAAAAAUUGAAAUAUAGUCGGUGUGUCGAUUUUUACGGUGAAAAAUCGAGAUACAGUCGAUAGGAAUUAACCGUUCAUUUAUCGGUCCACUGUCAUUUUAUAGUUAGCUGAAGCUUUUAUGAUUCUGAAAUUUAAUAUUUCAUUCUGAAUAUUGUACAUAUGAACAACUUUAUUGAUAAUACAUCUUCAAAUUAUCAGUAUUUUAGAUCCGAAGAAUAGUUGUUCCAUCAAGAGUUUCCAGCCGAUAUGCGUCCGAUUGAAGUGUCUCAAUUAUUCUGUAGGAUCCUUCUCAAUUUGAAGAUAAUUUUUCCUAGUUUAGAGGUUUCGAGACUUCUAUCUUUUUAAGAUCAGAUCUUUUAGAUGGAAGACAUUCGAUUUAACUUUUGCAUUAUAAUAUCGGGCUACUCUUUGCUGAUAUGCUACCAUUCAAACUUUAGCUUGCUGUCAGACUUUCGAAAGUAAGUCUAGAUUGACUUUUCGAUAUUCUGAAUUGCUUGACUCAUUGUAUGUUCUAUCUUUAUUGAUGGUAAUCCGAUCUCAAGUGGGAUCAUCGCUUUUGUUCUGUAGGCUAGAUUGAAUGGCGAUUCUUCCAUUGGUAUGCGAGGAGUUAUUCGAUAUGUCCAUAGGAUCGGAUACAGUUCUUCUAUCCAGAAGCCUUUAGCUUCAUUCAGCCUAAUUUUGAGAUCAUGCAAGAUUGUUCGGUUUGUUAUCUUCACCUCUCUGUUGGAUUAUGAAUGGCCGACUGAUGUGAGUUUGUGCAUAAUGUAAAAUUUUGCACAAAACUCUUUGAAGUUUUGAUUGUUGAAUUGUCAAUCAUUGUCAGUGCUGAUGGUGUGUGGUAGACCAAAUCUGCAUAUGAUCGAUUUCUGAAUGAAAUCUUCCAUCUUACUUUCAUUGAUUUGUGUCAAAAGUUCUGCCUCUACCCAUUUGGUGAAAUAAUCAAUGGUAACUACUAUGAAUUUUUUUUAAUCAGAUGUUGGAGGAAAAAGACCCAGUAUGUCAAUUUUUCAUUGUGCGAAGGGCCAUAGUGCAACAAUUGAUGUCAACUGGCUGGUCGGUUGAUGUUGUACAUUUGCAUAUUUCUGAUAUGGUUCACAUUUUCGGAUAGGUUCAGCUACAUUUUUUUUCAUGGUGGGCUAAUAAUAUCUUUGUCGUAAGACUUUGUAAGCCAAAGAUUUAUUCCUUAAGUAAUUUUCACAAAUCUUUUCAUAAACUUUUUGGAGUGCAUAGUCGGCACCUACUGGUCUCAAAUAUUUUAGUAAGAGAAGAAAAAAUAACCUUUUAUAAAAUUGGCCAUUCAUCAAAAUAUAUUGCGAGACCAUCCAUCUGAGUCGUUUGAUUUCUAAAUGAUAUGUUGGUAGAGUUCUAUCAGUCAAAUAUUGGAUGAUUGGAUCCAUCCAGCUUGGCUCAUCAUUGACUUGUAGCACUUCUUUGACUUUAUCAAUACUCGAUUAUUCAAGGCAUUCGACGAAUGUCUGACCCAACAAGUUGAAUGAAGUAGUCGCAAGUCAGGAGUGCAUCGGUUCGAGCAUUUUUUGUUCUCGAAAUGUGAGAGAUCUCAAAAUAUUUUAGGAUUGAUACAAGAUCUCUCAUCUUCUGAAGAUACUUCAUCAUAACAGGGUCUCGGGCUUCAAACUCGUCCUUAAUCUAUCGAUAAUCCACUGUGAGUCGAUGAAGACCUUCAGAUUAUCAAUGUCAAGCUCUUUGGUAAUCUUCAAGCCGAUUAGGAGAGCUUCAUACUCAACUUGGUUAUUUGAAGUUUUAAAAUUGAAUCAAAGGACAUAUUCGGUUAUAAUCCCUUCGAAAUUAGUGAGGAUGAGACCGACUCUACUGUCUUGUAUAUUAGAUGCUCCAUUAAUAUGCAGUACCCACGUCGAUGUUAAAUCGGGUUCAGGAGUUAUAACUUACUUUAUUUUGUUAUUGGAUUCAUCUUCAAGAUUAUUGUCAGGUCUAGUAUACUCGAUGAUGAAGUCGGUCAAAACUUGUGCCUUCAUCGAUGGAUGUAGACGAUAUUGUAUAUCAAACUCAUUGAGUUUUAUUAUCCACUUUGCCAUUCGACUCGAAGUAUUCGGUCAGUAUAAAAUUAUCUUCAACGGCUGAUCUGUCAAGACGACAAUGGGAUGUGCUUGGAAGUAUAGACGAAGCGGCUAUGAUGAUAUGAUUAGAGCGUAGAUCAUCUUCUCCACUCUUGAAUAUCUUAUUUUAACAUUGUGAAGCACCUUGCUAGUGUAAUAAAUAGGUCAUUGAAUUCGAUUUUCAUCCUCUUGAAAAAGUAUCGAACUAACUGCUUCUAUUCAAGUUGCCAAAUAGAGAUACAAAUUUUUUUCAAUCUUUGGUUUUGUAAGUAGUGGUGGAAAUGCCAGAUAUUAUUUUAGAUUUUCAAAUGACUGUUGACACUCGUCUGAUCAUGUGAAGUUCUUUGCUUAUCUCAAAGUCUUGAAGAAAGGCAAGCAUCUUUCUACCGACCUUGAGAUGAAUCGAUUGAGUGCGAUGCUCCUUCCAUUAAGCUUUUAUAUCUCUUUCUUAGAGCUUGGAUGCUUCAUAUUAAUGAUAGCUCUAAUAUUCUCGAGAUUGGCUUCAAUUUCUCGUUGUGGCAUAAGAAAUCCAAAAAAAUUUUCAGAAGUUAUCUCGAAUGCACACUUAGUCGGAUUUAACUUCAUCUGAUAUCAUCAAAAUAUGCUGAAGGCUUUUUCCAAAUUUUGAAUAUGAUCGAUAGUUUAAGAAUUUUUUAUCAGUAUAUCAUCCAUGUAACCCUCUAUAUUCCGUUCAAUUUAUACCUUGAAUAUUUUAUUGACUAGUCAUUAGUAAGUAGCUCCAACAUUUUUUAAACUGAACAGCAUACUUUGUAACGGUAGAUGCCUUUAUCAGUUACGAAAGCUGUGUGCUCCUCAUCUUCAGUCAUCAUUCGAAUCUGAUUUUAUCCUAUAAAGGCAUCCAUGAAGCUUAAGAGUCAGUGUUCCAAAGUCACAUCAACUAGUUGGUUUAUUUUUGAUAAAGAAAAACUAUCCUUUGGACAUGUUUCAUUUAGAUUUGUAUAGUCGAUGCAAAUUCUUUAUUUUUCAUUUGUCUUUCUCACCAUCACUAUAUUGAUGAGUUAAUCAAGAUAAUUAGUUUCUUUGAUGAAGCCAACUACGAGAAGCUUGUCGACUUCUUCAUCGAUGAUUUUCUACCUUUCAGGAGCAAAAGGCCUUUUCUUUUGUCUUAUUGGUCUAACUUUUGAAUCAAUAUUUAGUCAGUGGGUUAUUAUCUCUAAAAAAAUGCCUGGCAUAUCAGUAGCCGACCAAGCAAAAAUAUCGAUAUUUGCUCUUAGUAGAUUUAUUAGUUGUCGUCGCUCCGGAUCAGACAGCUGCGAUCCGAUUUGGAUCGUUUUCUUAAGAUUUUCUUCUUUUAGCGGGAUGAAAAUCAGUUGUUCGACUGGUUCAUCAUUUUCUUCAUUUUCUCUUUGGUCUAAUUUAUCAACGGACAAAGAGCCUUCAAAUUUAUUAUUUUAUGUGGAGACGGAAAAGCAGGAUCGAAUAAGUUGUUGAUCUCCACGCAUUUCUCUGACUCUACUUUUUGUUGGGAAUCAGACCAGCAAAUGGUAUAUUGAAACUACUACUCUCAAGACAUUAAGUCCAGGUCAUCUGAGUAUGGCGUUAUAAGUUGAGGGAACUCAGAUGCUCAUGAAUGUUGAGAGAAAAAUACUCUGUUGUGGAUCUAUUCUUGCAGUUAGUAGAAGAAUAAUUUUUUCUUCUACAGUAACUGUAUCUCCAAUGAAACCGAUUAAUGACGUUGAGACUCUUCUGAGUCGAUCAGUCGGUAGUCACAUUUAGAAGAAAGUUGAGUAAAAAAGAACAUAUGUUGAGCUUUCAUUAUCAAUUAAAAUUUUUUUUACAUCAUAAUUUGCUAUCAUUACCGAGACAACGACAGCAUCAUCAUGGGGAGUUUGUAUUCUCCAAACAUCAUCUUUUGAAAAAAUAAUUACAUUAUCGAGUCAUCAUUUCUUCUUCGAAAGUUACCCUCCAGUUUUUUGGUCGUCCGAAGAUCAUGUUAAUUACUCCCAUCAUUGAUCGAUUGUUAAUUGUCUCCUCAGCUUGCAGUUGAGGUUGUUGGUCAGUGGGAGGUUGAGUCGGAUGAUCGCAUCAAAAUUUUCUGAGGUAGCCUCAUCGAAUCAGGACCUCUAUCUCAUCUCUGAGCUAGAUGCAUUGUUCGGUAUCGUGACUGUGAUCAUGAUGGAACCGAUAGUACUUCUUCCUAUUAUAGCUCUUCGAUGGUGUUUUCAUUGGCAGGGAGUGUCGAAGAUACUCCUCUCUCUCGAUCUCCAUCAAGAUCUAUAUACGAAGAAUAGAAAGAGGAGUAUAGGAGUCAUACCUGCCAUAACUAUUCGAUUUCAGACUCCAUCGUCGAGGUGAAGCUCGCUUAUUGGUAGUCGGCCUACUUGAUUCGGCUGGAGCUCCACUUUUCUUUUGUUUCUUUUUCUAACCUUUUUCAUCGGUUUGGCGCCGGUCAGAAGCACCCUCAUCCAUACAGAUAUACUUGUAUACAUACUCUAAAAGUUUAGCAUUGGUCUGGGAGAGAGUUUUGUCCAGAGAAUAGGUGAAUUUGGAUCCUAUUAUAUCCCUCUUCAUAGCCGAUAUGGCCAUAUCUUCAUUGAAAUCUCUGAUCUCAAGUGUGACCGCGUUGAAACGAGCCACAAAAUCUCUCAACGUCUCUGUCUCAUCCUACUUAAUAGAGAAAAGACUGUCUGAUGUCUGUGAUACCUUUCGGCUAGUCUGAAAUAGACCACGAAAGAAUGCUCGAGCUACUCAAAAGAGUUAAUGCUCUUCGACUGAAGCUCGAAAUACCAAGCUCGAGCAGUCUUUCGAAUAGUUGUCAAGAAGACGAUGCAUAAAAGGACGUUGAUUGCCCUUUGAAUCAUUAUGAGAGUCUUAUAGCUCUCCAAAUGGUCGAUUGGAACAGUGGAGCCGUCGUAUGGCUCCAUCUGUGGUAUUUUAAACUGAGACGGAAUCAAUUCAUCUAGGAUAUGCUGAGAGAGAGGUUGGGCAGUGCGAAAAUCAUGUCACUGAAAGAUUUUCGAUCUUCCACCUGAAGUCGGACAAGCUGGCGGUCGAUCUCUUUGAACUUACGUUCAUAGUCGUCAAGUCACUGUUGUCGGGACAAUCCGAGGGUAGAACCCCCAAAAAAAUUUGAGGAUGGAGAAGCAGAAGGUGUACGCGGCCUUUUUCUUUUCCUGAUACUAUAUACACGGGGAGGAGGAGAAGAAUACGUGAAGAGUGGGCGGCACGAUGGGAGUACUGAGAAUAUGGUUGCCUGUCUCGAUGAGAGUGUCGAGAUGGUCGUUGCUCUGGAGAUGAAGAGGGUGAGCACCGUGGUGGACGACGGCUGUGCUUAGAUGGCAUUGAAUGAGCCACCAACUCCUCCACCGGCAGUUGCUGCUAUCGUUAUGUUUGUUGCUGCUGGAGGCUUUGGACCGUUUCCAUUAAUACCUUCAUUUGCUGCAUUAAUGCAGUAAUUUAUGUGUUUGUGGUAACCACAGGAUGCGAAGAGCUGGGCUCUGUCAUUAGAGAUGGGAGAGGAAUAUCUUCUCGACGGGAAGACUGCCUCGCAAAUUCUGUUGAAUGUUGAACUCUGAUUUUUGGCAUAGUUGCUUGUAUCCUUUUUCUACCUGGUGCGUCAAUCUAUUACGGCCAAUCUCUUAUUGCACUUGUCAUCGGUGAAAAGAACCUACAAAAUGAAGUCCACACUGAUCAAAAUUAUGUCUGGCGGGGACCCUCCAAUGCUUAAGUCAGUGGAGAGUGAUGAACAACAGAUGAAGAAUAUUUAAAAUGAUAGAGUUUCAGCCCAGAAUUAUUUUAUCAAUGCUAUUCAUUUACCUCUCUUUUGAUAGAUGAUUCAGAUGUAACCGUUGAGCAUGUGAUUCCGCAUCUUAUGACACAAUUAUCGAGCCAUAAUCAUAGAGUUAAUAGACUGUUUAUGCCCACUAAUAAUUGCGACACGUAAUUGAUAACCGUUUAUAAUGGUUAGAUAUGUAGGUUCCGCAUAUUCCGGCAUCAUGUGAUCAUAAAAAGAUAAGCUGACUAUAUGUCGGUAGUUGUGAAGAUCCGAAUGAGCAUCGGUAGGUAAUUCUGAUAUGUCGAUGGUCAUCGGUCGGAUAUUAACUCAGUUGUUAUGGUUGUCUGUUGAUAGCUGAGAAUAGCUGACUGUCGGUCGGUCAACUGAUUGUGAGUCGGCAUACUGUGUUUAUGAAGUCGAUCUAUGGUCGGAAUUGGGGGUCGGUUAAAUUAUUCCAACAGUUACAAAACUUUCAAUAUAUGGAGUUCUAUUCUCGUGUGUGGUGUGUUUUUCUUUUUUUUUAAAAAAAAAAUUAUAAGCCGUAGAUGGGAGAGUCUAGAAACCUUCUGGUUUGGAUUCCAAAAGUAGAGGAAAAAUCAGGGAAAAACAUAGGAGAAAGCAAGGAAUAUAAAGGAUUGAUCAAUUUUUUUCCCCUCCAUUUUCUUUUUAUUUAUUUCUCUUUUUUGGAGAUAUGUGGGAAGGAAAGCACCUAAAGGAGGUCGGAGGGGAAAGCCAAUGUCGGUGACGAUAGGGAGGAAGGCAAUGGUGGAGAUCGAUGGAAGGGGUGAUGGGGAGAGCAAGAGGAGGUCAGUGUCUCUCUUUUUCGGAGAUUCGAGGGAGAUUGGAUGGAGAAAGCUGAUGCGGGUGAUGAUGGGAAGGAAGAUAAUGAUGGAGAUUGGUGGGAGGUCGUGAGGAGGAGAUGGGCGUAAUCCUUUGCGGACCUCGAAGCUAGGAACAUAAAUUUGACAACUUCUAGUAAGUUCAUAUGAAAUAUCAAAUUUAGGGAUCAUAAAUGAUGAACGCUCCUUCGGAGAACUGUAAUCAAAUUUACAGCAGUAAGUCGGCAUGAAAUUUGACGACUUCACUUCAAAUUCAUUACAUCUGCGCGGAUAAGUAGCUUGGAGAAUGGGAGCGCAAGUAAUUUGUUUUGGAUGUACGGCAAAGUCGGCAGUGACCGCCGUCAUACGAAACUGCGGAUGCGAACCAAUCGAGGGCCACGACAUUGGUGAUGAUUUUAUAUCACGAGCGCUUCGGCACUGCUGCUAAAUUAGAAAUCCAUUUAGGGUUCUUGAAAUAAUUUUUCCAUCGAGCCUCUUUAUCCGAGCAGUCGGACCUUUCGAUUCUCUCGUUCCCUGUUCCUCUUUUUCUCCUCCGUCGCCUUCUUCUGCAGUCCAUGGCGAUCCCCACUCCCACCAAAGUCGGAGCCGUCUCCAAGGGCCAAAGCUUCUCCUCUUCUUGGGAUCAGGUAGCCCAUCCGAAAACCUAUCUCUCCUUGAUUUUCCUCUGCGUCUUAUAAACCCUAAACCCCUCAAACCCCAAAAUAUUCUAAAGACCUGUCGCUUGUUUGUUUGUGAAGAAAAAAUGAGUACAUAGAUGGUGAUCAGGUUGCUUUCGUCGGUUGUUGUUUGCCUUUUUUUUUCGUUUAAAGAUGGCAAGCUGGCUUCUUGAAACCAGUGGAUACCCUCUUCCCCCUUCGGUCUUGCUUUGGAAGUUUCAAAUCCCAAUCUUUAUUGAGAAUUCUUUGCUGUUUGUUGGGGGGUAACUCCUCGGCCACUACAAAAUAAUAGAAGUCGGUGCCCUUGGCUUUGUCUAAUGUGACGUACCCUGAGUACUGUUUGGAUUCCAUUGAUGGCUGGCCUGAAAGCUCGCUGGCUAGGUAUUCCAAAGGAUCGUCUAAGAGAAGAAGAGACUGGAAUAAUACUAAGACUGUUGGGGGUAAUGCCCUGGCUGUGCCGAAGACUGGCAUAGCGGAGGCUGAAGUCGGAACCUACCGACCUAAGAGGUGCUAUGAUUCAGGCUUCUUCCUCGAGAAUCGUUGGCCAAUCCUUACUCCUAAUUAUAUUACUCCUAAUUAUAUGUCAUGUCAGUGACUAUAUCAAAAUAUUCUGGGGUGCCCGGCUUCUCCCCACGGGUGCCCGUAGUCCCCAUGUUCAUUCGGUCUACAAGCCCCGUGGUGAUCUUGGCCUUUGCAUCGGCUGCCGAUCCACUUUCUGCCCCAGCUUUAUCAGGGAACCGCGACCCAAGUGGGUGGCUUAGGGAAUCUUCCAUCGGUCGAUCCUCCAUAGGUUGAUUAUUGGGCUCCUGAAAAUAAGAAGAGAUUAGAGGCUCAGCGUGCAACAGAUUGACCAGCCCAUUAACAGUGCAAAAAGAUCUUCAUCGGCUAUGCUGUUCCAUGCACCUCCGUAAUUCUCGAUUGUACUUCACUAUGCAUAUGCUAUAAGGGGAGCUUUGAGUCAUUUGAAUCUAAUUGGAGGCAUUAAAUGCCUCUUCCACUCACGUCCCAUUCUCUCAUAGGCCAUGGGCAACACAACAAGACAAUAAGAUAAGAGAGGAAGCAAUGGAGAGAGAAAAGAUGGCAGCCCAAGGGAAGAAGAAAGAAUGUGCUCCCUAAUGCACUUUUUAGGGUCGAAGCUCCUCCCCUACAUGCACAUGGCCUCCGAAGAUGCCGGGCUUUGCUAGAUUUAUAAGUCCGAAGUCCCCUUGUUUUGAGCACUUCGGGUGACCCCAGAGCCACCCAUGGCGGCUCCAUGGUCCCCGCUUAUAUAGACUUCAGCCAUGCUGAAGUUGCUAAUAGACAGCCCGAAGCUCUUUUCUUAUUAAAUGGUCCAUAUUUGCUGAUCCAUCUCUGGUGGCGCCAAAGUGUCAUUGACAUUGUGGCCUAUCAUGAUGGCUAUAGGAGGCCUUUUAUAGCCCAUCGCAUCCCCCCAUUAAUAAAUAGGGGUAAUCAUGAGUAGGGUGAGCUCUCCACAUCCUUCAGCCACCACCGCUUGUCAGCCUAUGCCAUAAAUAUGGACGGCUACCUACGUGCCAUGAGGCAAUAUUGCUAGGCACGACUCUCAAGGACAUUUAAUGGGAUAAAAUAUUAUCUUUGAUUAUUCAUGCUCUCUCACGGCUCCAGCCUCCCUAUAUAAAUAAAGGUAAAGCGGGGACCCAAAGGUAUGCCUCCUCGCCCUCUUAAAAAGACUCGCUCUUCCUCUUCUGUUGCGAGAAAUCUGACUUGAGCGUUGGAGGGUCUCGUCGGAGCCACCUGCGAUGAGGACUUUUCUUGCAGGUUCGGCCGCCGUCGAUUCGCUAGGCUUCGUCAUGCUCCAGCGCUUCUGGCCCGGGACGAAUUUCAUCCGCAACACUGUUUAAUAAUCUUUUCCUUGCCUAUGAUUGAUUGGGUUUUGUAGUAGUCUUUUCUUGCUGCAUUCGCAAAUGUUGAUUGGUUGCCCCUUGCGUUGAAGUUGAGGUCAAUAUGGGGUAAUAGUCAUUAGGCGGUGUCUUGAUUUCUUUCCAUGGGAACUCCUAUGUGCCUCUGGCUGAUGGCACAUAUUUGUUUCAGAAAAGUUGAUUGAUUUAGUUCUGAAAAGGUGAGAAUGGUGCCUGAUGGUAAUACUUGGGUUUCAGCUGGGGAAGAGUGUCUGAGAAAGGAACAUAUUUCCGUUAUUUCUUGUUUUCAAGCUUUUAGAUCUUUGUUUAAAUAAUCUACUGGCUUAGUUGGGUUGGGAAUGAUCUAAUCUUGGUUCUUAUUUGAUGUUUGUUUGUUGAUUUCUAGUUUUUUUUUUUUUUUAAAAUAUAUUUCUGCUCAUGUAUACAAACUUUUGAUAGGAUUGCUUUAGAUCAUACUAAGGAGAUGGUUGAAUUUGCAACAGUUUUACCUUUUUUCCCCUUAUCUUUAGGUGCAUGUGCUUCACAUUGCCACACCAUGAUAGUAUCCUCAAAUGGCACCACUGGCUACUUCAUUUGCACAACUAUGCUGCAAGGUAUUUUUGCAUCUUUCCUCUAUUCAAGUUUCAUUUGUGCUUUUUGUUAAUGAGUGUCACGUUCAAAUACAUGGAUGUACUUUCUUUAAUAUUUAUCAUAAAAUUAUAAAGUUUUUUCUUAAAAUCAUUCGUUCCUGGAUUCCAUCAGUUUUUGAUUUUUUCCCCCAUUUAUUGAUUUCAGUCUCUGGCAGAAACACGGCCUGUUACCUGAACUUAAUAUAGAUUCCCAUUGCCUGAAUUCGGGUUCAAAUUUCAUUUGAUCAUCCAUAUUCUGGGAAAUAUGGUGUUAAUCUGCAAUGGGAGUUAAAUUUUGAUAUGAUUAGUCUGACCUGAUUCAGCAUUAUUGAUUGAAUAAUGUGGAAAUUGGUGCAUGUCUAAUAAUUCUUGUGCGGUUUUGUUCCUUCCUACCCAAAAAGUUUUUGGUUAUCUUCUAUGUGCAAAUGGUAGGUUCAUAAUUUUUGCCACUACCGAAAAACUUAAUAUGAUGUGGACACAAUCCAUUCUUUUCUUCUCUGAAGAUUUAUUUGUUUAUUUAUUUUUAAAUACACAUUUUCCUCCAUUGUUUUGCUAUUUUUAGGGAACAAUUCUUGGGACAAUAAUAAUAUGACACAUCGCCGUAGAUGGUUUUCCAAUUUAACUUUGUAAAUGCUCUGUUUUGACAUCCUGUUUCAAUGUCAGACCAUUAAACAUGUAUACUUUGCUACCAAAAAGAAACAUGGAUCCUUGUCUUAGUUGCAAAUGUUUGCCAUUUUAGGAUCUUAGUGUCAGGUUUAUGUUUAUUUUUCAAUCAUGUUGUGCACGAGAGCUUAUUCUUAUUUAUAUGAAAUUCUUUGCAGGGUUUUAGUGAGAGGCAUCUAACAAGUGCCAUAUGUUUUGAAGUUGAGAGAGGAUACUGUAACACAUUUGUUAGGACCAUGAGGUGAUCCCUAUAACUCACACAUGCUUGUUAUUUUAUCCAUAAUUCAGAAUAAGUUGUGAGAGGAACAUUUUUCUUGAUAAAGCUAUGUUGGUUCACAGGUUUAGCAAAUUUCUCCACUUCAAGCUUUUAAAAUGGUGUUCCCGGUCCAAUCACAUGUUUUCUCAAAAGCUAUUGGAGGAAGUGGGUGGUUACAGCACUGCAAGCAUGUCGGAGCGGUCAAAAUUUCUAAAUAAGGUAUGUCGCCUUUCAGAUGUUGUAUCAGAUAACUUCAGCUGCUACUCUUUUAGCAACUAUUUACAUGUCCAAAUGAAUCUUACUUUUUUAGCAACUAUUUACAUGUCCAAAUGAAUCUAUGUAUAUGUAUAUUAUAGACACAUCAUAUUUUUGAAGUUGCAUAUAGCACUUUUGGUAGCUCUGAGAUAUGCUAGAACAUGCCUAUUGAAGGAAUCUAAAUAGCUAAUCAUUAUUGCAUGAUAAAUAUCAUAACAAAAUUCAUUUUUUUGGAGGCAUUCACUAUGUUCCGGUAAAUAUGUUUGGACUGUAUUUUGUGUGUAGGUCUCCGUUUUAAUGGGUUAUGGCAACAUACAAGAUUUAAUUGACCAAGAAAGAAAUCGAAGAGAAUCUGGGGCAGAUGUCAAAGGCAUGAUUGAAGAUUCUGAUUUCUCAUCGACUUGUGGAAAGUUUCCAUGCAUUAAACUGGGCGAUUCUUCACUUAUCGAACUGUAUGAUGAGGUUCCACGUCCACAGGAACAAGUUAAUUUUUUGCUGCCUAAAGCCUGUAAGAGAUAUUUCUCUGAGUCAGAAGAAAAAUGGGCAGGAUCUGAUAAAUUCAAUGAAACAUGGCAGUUGUUGGUUCCUCCACUCUCAAAUGUAACCACUCUCUCAUCUGGUGAAGGAAGUUCCUAUGUGAUAUAUGAUUCUCAUGAAGCAGAUUCACAUGGUGAAGCAAAACUGGAUGCCAAAGGCUCCAGUGAGGCACCAUCAAUACAAACUAUAAUGCCUGUUGAGUUAGUGUUGGACAAGACUGUCAGAUGUAUACCAGGUACAACCAGUAGGCAGUGUCGUCAACUUGAAGAUUGCGGUUUCCAUACGGUGGGAUAUCCUUGGAUAUUGUAGAAGAUCGUCUUCAUUAUUUUUUCUUUCAAAUCUUAGAAAUUGCAAUUUUUCUAUUUGUUUUCAAAUAGGUGAGAAAGCUGCUCCACCAUUUUCCUCGAACAUAUGCUGACCUGCAAAAUGGUCAUGGUGAAAUAGAUGAUGGGCAUUAUGUGAUGUUUGUUGGAACAAUUUUAUCGUCCAGGUAAACUAUAUUCUUUAUCAUGUAUAUGCAAGGCAAGCUUUGAUGGCACAUAGAAUUCUUUUUAUUCCUUUCAUAUGCAGAGAAGAUAUUUUAAGUGUGUGAUUUUUUUUUUCUUCUUUCUUUCAAUAGAAUGUCUUCCUAGAACUGUAUCUGAUAAUCAAAUCAGAAAACUCGUGUUAAAAAAUACAAUAUGACAUAUACCUGAAAAACUAAAGAUAGUGAUCUGGUCAAAUAUAAGAAGUUAAUAUCUUCUUGAAGAAACAAUCCAUUUGUGACAUAUAACACGGGCAAGUAGCAUUUAAUGUUACAACAAAAACAAGACCAUAACAUGCAUAUGAAUUAACUAGCAAAAGUCAUAGGAAACAAUGAAAAUUCUGGAGAAAAUCAGGGCUUGAUAAUUAUUGCAUUAGAAAUCACCUUAGAAGUUUGGCAUGUGGGGAGCAUACUUGUUGCUGGAAUUACGGGGUCCAAAAGCAAUUGUGUGGAAAAAGGUUCUGAGUUAGGUAAUAACAAAGAAUAAAUGAUAAUAACAAAGAUGGAAUACUUAUAAAACCAAGGAAGCACUAGAGUUGCUAAGUUGGAUGUAUGGUUUAUGAUGAUCUAUGUAACAGUUAGCCUCAAAGCAAGGAUUGUAGAAACUGGUUUCAACGGGCAUGCUGGUUGGUGAUUAGUAUGGUAUGGUGCUUGUCUGUACCAUAUUGAAUUGCAACGUAUUGAAACUAGGAGGAGGAAGAGGGAGAGGGCCGGAGUGGAAGAAGGAGAGGGAGGGAGAGGAAGAUGCCAAAGGACUUACCAUUUUGAAGCCAAGGAGAGAAGGGAGGUGAGUGCUUUGAAGCCGUUGGGAGUAGUGGGGGAGAGGUGAAGGCUAGGAUCGAUGACGUGGUCGAGGCCGGAGGAUUGCGUGGAGGCUAUGCCACCUGUCGAGGUUAGUGAAGAUGUUGUGGCUAUUGAUGGUGCCAAGGUCGACCCCACGGUCCACUAGGCUCUCCAGCUCGUGCUAUAGAGUGGCAUGCAAGGGGUUGAGGGCCAUGGCAGUGAGGAUGGACUCACUAUGUUGAAGAGAGAGAGAGAGAGGGGCUGGAAGACUUAUAAGUUACAAGGGUUUUGAUUUGAAGCUAUCGAGAGGGGGUUUUGACUAGAGGUGCAAGUGGAUUGGAGAAAAUCCAAAAUCCAAAACGAUCCAAACCGAACUAGAGGAUUGGAUCGGAUUUUUGGACUUUGGUUUUGGAUUUGGAGUCAAUUUUUAAAAAUUUUGGACUUUGGACUUAGAUUUGGAUUUAAUGUUAUAAAAUCCAAAUUCAAUACAAAGUCCAAACUAUGGGUCCAAACCAAAUCCAAUCCAUUCUUCUAGUUUGGAUUUUACAUACAUACAUGCAUAUAUAUGUGUGUGUGUGUUUCAAGUUUAGUUUCUUUUAAAUGUUUUGGAACUUAUUAUAUUUUGGCAAUGUAGUUUUUCUAGAAAAUCUAUAACUCAUGUUUUUUAUAUGAUGCUAUUAUAGCACGACUUGUUGAGAUCCUUGGUAUUGAAAUUUAUAUUUUUUAUUUCUUAUCCGUUGCUAUUAUAAUAUUAAUUGUUAGAUGUAGGGCAAUAUUAUAGAGUACCUAUAAGUAGUAUAUGUUUUGAAUUCAUAUAACUUUUGAAUUAUGUCCAAAUUGCAGUCUAAUGUAUGUAAAAGUCUAAAAAUCCAGUUCCACCCAAUCUGAACUUUUUGGAUUGGAUUGGAUUGGACUAGUAGAGUAUUUGGUUCGGUUUUGGAGCCAAGUUUCCAAGUCCAAAAUAUUUUGGAUUGGAGUUGGAUUUAGGUAUAAUUUAAUCCAAUCCAGUCAAUUUACACCCCUAGUUUUGACUUACUGUUUCAAAUAUAUAGGCUGAACUGUGUCAGUAACCGGCUGAUCUGUUUUAGCCAUCUCGAAAAGAGAGAACUCGAGAAGAUAGAGAGAGAGGAGGCAUUGCUGGUGAUGGUGGCUAGUCAUUGGGCAUGUUGGUGGGAGGGAGAGUGAUGGUGAAAGGAGGACAAUGCACGAUGCUGUCCAUUAGUCCAUGGGGCUGCUGGUGAGAGUUAUACAGGGUGAGAAAGAGGAGAAAGGAUCAUUGUAGUUCGUAUUAGCUCCCCCUUGUUUUCCCUUGUGCCGAUGGGAGGGACAACGAGAAAGAGGGAAUGAGAGGGAGGAGGCGAGGAGAUGGGGCAACGAAGAGAUGGGUUAGAUGGAGAAUAGAUUGGGAGGUUUGUGUUUUUCUAUUUCUUAUCCUUUUUUAUUUUAAAACCUUAAUAUUGUAAAAAAAAAUAUAAAAAUAGAUAAGUUAUGUGUAUUGGGCCAGGCCUUGUGGCCUAAAUUUGACAAGCCCAACACUAGCCCAAUUUUAAGUUGGCCUAAAAAUAUCAGGCCUAGCAUGGCCUACUGGGCUCAAACUCUGUACUCAGGCCCUGCCAAAUUCCAGGAUGGACUGGCUGGGCCAAAUUUGCUAAGGUUUGCUAGGAACUAAAUUGGCAAUAUACAUCCAAUUAACUAAAUCGGAAUGCUAAGAAAUAAAGUCAGCAAUGGUGAGACAAUGGAAAAAUGGAAAGGGCAGUUGUAAAUGUGACUGAAUUUGUAUGCCACCGUAAGUUUCUAUACUGAUGAACCAAAAUUAGCAAGGAUAUAUUUAUAGAACCUGUCCAGAUAUUAGAAGCAACAACUUUCUAAGGAAUGUAAAUCCAAGCUGCGAGGACCAUAUGAUAUACUAUAUGUGGUAUGCAGAAUCUUUGGUCUAAGUUGGUUGUCUUAGUUGGCUAGCUGAUAAAUUAGUGCUUUCGCUGGUUUAUCUUUUUACCUUGGUACACAACUUUGAUUGCAAAGUUAUGAAAGACAAUGCUAGUCCCAUCUCAUAAAAGUGGUUUACAUUUCUUGAUCUAUUUAAAAAUUUUACUCCUAUUUAUUUUGAUAUCGUUACAAGAUUUAUCCUAAUGCUGUGGUAAGAGGUAUUUUGCUCUUAAACAUGAUUCAUUUUUGUAUUAAAAUCAUUCUAAUGCCUUAAUGGUUUUCAGGGGAAUCAAGGCUAGCCGUUCUUUCUCAUUCCUUGAAGUUGUAAUUGGCUGUGAGCUUCAAAAUAAUGAGUCAGUUAUGGAAAUUAAAAAUGACAGCCGUGGCACUGAAGAACAGAAGAUGGUUUACCUGCAUUUGAAGAAGUUUUUCCGUGGCACGCGUUUUACGUAUGUGCCUUUUCUUAAAAGUAUUCAGUCAAAGUAUAGAGAGGGAGAUCAUGUACAUGUUAGUGGGAAGGUGGGUAAUAAUGUGAUUAGUGUUUUCUGUAUGGUUAUUUAUGAUUUUUCAUUGCUCAUUAAGGGUCACUGUAUGUAAAUGAGAUUUUCCUUAUGAAAAAUUACUUUUUGAUUAUUUUAACUUUAUAAGCACAAUACUUUUAAGCAUAACAAAUGACAAUGUUUAGAACUCUUAAUAUGAUUACAUAUAUCUGACUGAUGUGCAUAUGUCUAUCUAUAUAGCUCAUAAUGUCCCUUGGUUCGGUUUUCCCCUGCUAGACAAUAAUUCAGCCUUUGUUUCUUGACCAGCAUGAUCAUUUUCUUAUGUACACACACAUCCAUACAUACAGGAUCACCUUUCAGUUACUCUACAUUUUCUCCAGACAACCCCCCUUCUUUUGUAAAGUGUAAACUUAGUUGCAUCCAGAUGAUCCAUUUGUAUUUUCCAAAUCCCCUUGGUCUAAUCUCCAUGAAUAUCCUUUAAUUACCAUAGACCAUUGAUGCUUAGUUUCAGAGGGUCAGGUUUCUUAGCUUCUCUGAAAUAGGGAUGCUUAGGUGGACCCAUUUAACCUUUAUCCAUAAAUGCUGAGCCUUGUCUGAGGCAGCGCAUUGACUUUUUAAGAUUAUAUUCUUUAUACGUUUGCAAAAAUGAAAGGAAACACAGACCUAAGGGGUGUAUUUAGUAAUGCAAAGGAUCUUAGCUGCUUGGUUAUUGUUGGGGUUUUAAAAUUAGAAUUGUAGUUUAAAACUGAACUUGCUCAUGUUGUACGUAUAUAGCAACAAAGUUGUGGUUGUAUUAACAACUACUUGUAUGCUGCACAUUAGGUCACAUUCUCUUGACCUAUAUAAAUACAUAGCUUAGUAAUUACAUGUUGGGAUAAGCUGCUAGAUCGUUUUCAGUUUACAAGAAGCACACAACCAAUUUGUUCUUGUGUUGCAUAAAUCGCAGAGCUAGAUAUCUUUGUAUGCCUUAUUGCAUCAUAGCUUAUGGUUGUGUGUGGUAAUGUAGGUCAAGAAGAUGCGCAUGGAAAACCACUAUGAAAUAAGGGAAUACAAUAUUGAUAUGCUUGAAGAGGAGGAAGAACAACAUGCACAUGUAGAGAGGAGGCCAUAUCCUCUAUACCCUUCUAAAGCGGGACUGAAACCUGACUUUCUUAGGGAUAUCAUAUCAAGGUUACUUAGCUUGUUAAUCUAGCUGGAAAUCUUUGUCUAUUGAACUUUAUUUUAUACAAUUAUUGUUGCUAGGUUUAUUUUUUUUUCUGCCUUUUAGUUGUUGUUAAUUAUUCUCCAUAUAUUAUAUUUUCACAUGUUGUUAUCAUCUGUUUAUUUUAAUUUGUCAGUGUCAGUAAAUUUACGCAAACUUUCUGGAGCUGAUAUUUCAAAUUUUAAGCAUUUUUAUGACGGUUUGUCAUUUAAUUUGCUUAUAUAAACUCUCAUCGGUAAUAUAUACUUAAAGUAUUUGAUUAGUGUUUGCCAAAAAAAAAAGGUAUUUGCUUGCUAUCAUGGCUUAAUAUUUAUCUCUUGUAAACUAUGUGUUCUGGCAAAAGGAUGCUUUCAUGAUCAUUGCAUCAGGAUGCAUAGGUUUCUGUGGUUGUUGAUUGGAUCUAUGCCAGUGUCCUUGGUUGCAGGAUAUUUGUGGACAUGAAGCUCAGAGACAAAAUCAUCUAUAUGUCUAGUGUUCUUCUAUGUACAAGAACCAGGACCAUCAUAAAGAGCUGUUGUAUUAGGGUACUUUGAUAUGACAAGCCUUUUAAUUCUAGUUAACAAUCAAAAUGGCCCUUUAUCAGACAUAGCUUUUCCCUUUUUCAGCUUUUAAGUGUGCUAGUGUUAUUUACAUGCUUGACUUUGUAGUUUCCACAUUAUGAAGUGCUUUUUUCUCUUUUAUUUUAAAUGAAAAACUACGCUCACUAUUAUUCUAAUUGAAAGCUAAAGCUUGCAUUUGAUUUUUCUUCCAAUGAUUUUUUAGGAUACAGAAUGGAUAGAUUUCUCCAUUGGAAUUCAAAAUGAGAGGUUUGCAAAAACGACAGGUUAUUGAAUAUGAGAAGAAAUAGUGAUUCUUCAAUAGAUAACGGUUCUCUGAGCAGGAGACUGGACAAAGCUGCUACUAAAAGCUUUUGACCUUUCCUCUUGCUAAAGAUACCAGUUGUUAAAGUCAUCAUGGCUAGAUUUCUAUUUUAGGAGGAAUUUUGGUCAUAGAGGUAAAUGAUGCUAGGUGAGGUUGGGGUAGUCAGGCUAAGGUAGGUGGACUUGGUCCUUUGUUGAGAUCUGGGUGAUGAUGGAGAUCCUAUCCUUUUCAUGUACCACUGGUUAAAAAAUUGUGAAAAUAGUAAGGCUUCCUCUUUUUCUUGCUUGAUUUGAAACAAUUCUAAGGGAAACUUACUUUGAGUAGCUGUGCUUUUAGUUCCUUAGGUGGUGAUAGUUGUGAUGAAUUUAGAUGUUUUGACAGUAAUAAUGCUGGGAUUGGUUGAGAUUUAGGGUGAACUUAUGGUAGUGCUCAUACUUAAGGUGGCAGAAUGAACCGUGUGGUUGACAAGUACUCCAAUAGUUUUGUCCAACCUGAUUGGGCCAAUCAAGCUACAGACUCGUGGAGUGGAAUUUUGGUUAUUUCUAGAUGUGUAGGGUACGACAAACACAUUAGGAAGAAUCCGAGUUGAUAUUUUAUAAUGUGUACAUAAUUGGUAUGAAGGGUGUUGACAUGCUUCUGUCUCAACCCGUACUGCCCAAUGUUUGCUGUAUUUUUACCAUACUGAUAUUGUACUGAGCUCUAUAUGUCGCAAGGCUAGACCAGUCCAUAUUAUUUGGAAUUGACUAGUUAUUUUCGCUUUCGUGUUGUAUCAACCCAUACUGCCUGGUUUCGGGUGGUACCAUGGCAUGAGUAAAGGAUUUCUGGUCCUUGUUGGUAUAGAGGUUGUACCAUUCUAUUCCGAGUGUACCAUACUAUAUCAGGCAUAUUGUACAAUGAACCUUAGUUAUGGAGAUCCAUAAUAUCGAUGACCUCUCUUUCUUUGCUUAUUUACAUAUUUUCUUUAUCUUUCCUAUUUCUUUAUUUUGGGUCAAUCAAACUAUUUUUUGAUUUUCUUGUUACUUUCUCAAUUAGAAGUUUUGCUGAAAUGGCUAACCUUAUUUUUGUCUCUGUAGUUCUGAAGCACUUCUAUUUUUUUUUGCGGGAAUGGCCCGGUUUUGAAGUUUUCAGAUGCUUUUGCCCCUGGCUACAUGAAUACACUCCAGCUAAUGAAUUUGCAUUGCAUGAUCAACAAUUGUGUGCAUUAACUUUAGAAACAUGUGAGCUCACUACGAGAAAUAUGUGCAUUCAACUUUGCUUAGGCAUGUGGCUGAAAUAUAUCUGUGGUGUUGAGGUCUAAAAGCAUCUGAAAAAUUUUAAAGUUGGGCUACUUCUACGCAUGCACGUGAGCAUGCAGAGAGAGAGAGAGAGGCCAUAUCCUGCAAAAAUGUCAAUAAAGUGGACUACUUUUGCAAAAUUACUUACUGAAUUUCUCCAGAUCCCUUUGUUUGCUGCUAGUAGGAGAAUGCUAUCACCCUUUUCAUAUAUCUGAUUCCAUUUCAGUUAACUUCUCAGUUAAAUGCUAAGGUUUGGGUGAUUGCAUUGGCAACCUAAUGUAUGACCUAAAAUAUGUGCAGAGCCUUGAAGAUAUUGACUUCUAACAUAGAUCCUAUGCCAAAUGUGAUCCUCAAGGAGUUCAACUUGCUAAACCUUUAUGAUGUAAGUUAAUUUACUGAUCAUAUUCAUUCACUUAAGAAUUUGCUUGCCAUUAUAGCAUACUAUAUGUAUUGAGCAAGAGCUUUGUUGGGUGCCCUCAAUCUUUUAUAUUUAGAAAUCACCGGAUCAAAGGCUAUGCUAUAGCUAUCUAAAUGUAUUCUUCAGUUCAUUUGUCAUGAGACCAGUUAAUAUUAAUUCUUACAUUGGAGGAUUGGCUGUGCUUGUUGCCAUUUUUGCAACUUUUUGGACCCUUAGGUUACAUGGCACUCAAGAUGUUUGCUUAUCUGAUGACGUUACAAUCAUUGAGCUCGAAUUGGAACUCAGAUUGGAUGAUGAUCAUCUGCUUUCAGACUGAGCCUGUUACUAUCUGCUCAUCAAAAUUUGGUUUACUUUUUCACUAUAUUGCACAGUGCUUGUGCUGUUGCUGUCCUGGAAGUUGUAUGUUUUGUUCAAGAUAUCACUGCUCACCCUACCUUAUCACAUUUUACUUGCAUUAGUAAACUGUAUCUCAAGUUUUGAAUGUAAGUAUAGAUAAGUAGGAGGGUGGAUCUUCAACUUGCUUUCAUUCGCCUCUAAUUUCUGGACAUGGAAUUCAAUAGGUAUAGAUUUAUUGUCUGUUGUUUUUGCACGUAACAGAUACUUUAAGGCUGCCGUUGGUCCUGCUUAUUGUCUUCUAUAGAUCCCUGAUUACUAGUAACGUCAUAGGUCAUAUCAGAAUUUCAAAAUCACUGGUGUUUUGCACAUCUGUAUGCUCAAUAAUGCAGAUUGGCCACAUUCUCUUAGCUAUUUAAUGUAUUGUUACCGACUCUUGUAUUCUGAACUUUUAGAAGCCGUUUCCCCAACAUUUCUCGUGAUACUUGUUAUCCUCUUUUGAUGUUAUCAUGUUGUACCAAUCUUUCUACUAAAUGCAGGCCUACAUGGGAAUCCACCAUCCAAGGAAUUUAAAUGAAGCUGAUUUAGCUCGCAGAAGACUAAUAUUUGAUGAAUUCUUUUACCUUCAAGUAAGUUAUGAAGCCAUAAAAAGUAUUUCCUUUCAUUGUUUACUUCCUAUGGGAUUUGCUUUUGUAAACUGCAAAUACAUUCUCUCAAGUUUCAGACUUGGAUCUCAUAGCAUGAUCUAAGUUCUGCAACUCUGCAAAUGCAUGCGCUUCCCAAUUUUUGGUUUGCUGUCUGAAGAUAUUAUUGUUGCCAAAGAGUACAAGAAACUAGCAAUCUAUGCUCACAGAGACAGCUGUCAAAUGAAAACACACGAUAACCAUAUUGUUCAGCAAAACAUUAGCCUUGCUUUAAUUUUUCGAGUCGUACAUGGUGCAUUAUCUGAUACAAUUUACUAACAUAAGAGUUAUAUAAUUAAUCCUGCUUUCUUGUUCUGUAUCAUUAAUUGCCACCUACCCCAAGCAGCUCUUAGAAGUUGUCUGAUAUUCUUCAAAAGACACUAUUAGCUUAUUACCUGUUCGAUUCCUCUAUUUUAUCGUAUCCUGAGAAGGGAAGAAAGAAGUGCCAGCAAGGUUUGCCAAUGUUUCUUUUAAGUGUUUAUGAUGUUAGCUUCUUUGAAUUCUGUGAUAUAUUCUUUGUUACUAAAUUUUUCAUGUUCCCUUUCGUCCCCCCUCCCCCCUAAUUUUUAUCUUUUGUCAAGUCUUAUGUGUCUCGAACUCAUGAAAAGGACUGAGUGGGAAACUAAAGUUGAAGUACUAUUGGUUAAAAGGUUGAUGUUUUGCCUUGAGCAUGUGCAAUUGUUUAGAUACAGUGUUAUUUUUAUUUUGAGAUUUAGAUCACAAUACGCUUUGAUCGUUGGUGAAACUUCAAUCAUCAUUCUUUUGAUGUCCCUACCUUAGCAUCAACUUCUCUAGAUUAUUGCUCGCUCUAACUAGAUUGCUCACUUCUUGAACAUAUUUGCUGCAUUUUCCAAAUACUUCUACCGGAAAACUUGUUAGAAUUACAAUCACGUGAUGAAUAGUUUUAUAUCAUAAUAAAGUUAUUUGUUAUGCUCAAAGCAAUUUGUAAGCAUUCUAAAAUUUAUUUUUCUUUUGAGGGCAAUACUUUGCUGCUGGCCAUGUGUGCAUGGUUCUAAAUAUCUGGAUGCAGGAAUAAUUGAAAAUGUCCCAUUUUGGCUUUGUCAAAGGUUUGGUAUUUUGACUGCUAAGAGAUUCCACACCUGGAAAAUGGACUAAAGCAACAGCAAAAACAGCAAAAUGCAUCCAAGUGAUAUCCCAUAAAAGAUGUGGUUUGUUGUGGGACAAAAUGUUAAAAUUAGAAGGCUCCACAAAAAGGAUUGAGAAAAUAUUUGUUGUGGGCUUAGUGUGAGACUGCUUAUAAAUUGUGCCAUAGUAUCUGGCUAGUAAUAAUUAUGCAUGCUACACUUCUUUAAAGCAACAAAAAAGAAAAUUCUUGUGCUAGUAGACUAUGCUGUGCAUGUAGGGCUGGAAGUGGAUCGGGCCCAGUCCGGGCUGCCCCUUGACUAAACCUGGCAAAUUUCUUUCUGGGCUUCUUGUGGGGCUUAAGCCUAAAAUUUUUUAUGACAUUUGGCUUGAGGUCGAGGUUGAGCUCAUGUUCGGCGUAGAGUCCAAAUGGGCCCGAACCUGAAAUAGUCCUCAUCAAACUUAGAUACAUCUAGCCCAAAGCUUGAACAUUUGGAUGUCCUUGUCUCUUUGCCUUUGCACAAUGUGUGUGUGUGAGAGAGAGAGCGAGAGAGAGAGAGAGAGAGAGAGAGAUGGAGAGGAUACAUAGUAUAUGGAGAAGGGGCCUGGCUAUGGAGGAAGAGAGAGGAGAGCAAAGGGGAUGAUCUUUUUCUCUCACCUCGUGACGAAGGAGGGGGCAAACUGGCAAAGGGAAAUAGGUGGAGGGAGAUUGUCAUUACCAUCGAGCAUAUGGUUGACGAGAAUGGAAUCAAGUAUAGGGUUUGGAUUUGGGUAUGAUGAGAGUGAGAGAGAAUGGAUGGGGUUUUAGAUGGUUACCUUCUAUUAGAGAUUUGGAUAAAUGAUAACCAUCGAUCAAAAAUUGAUGGAUUGGAUUAAGUGAGUGAAAAAAAAAAGGUUUUAAAAACUGAUACUUAAGGGCAUACCAAUUUUUUGAAAAACCGAUACAAUAAUGGGACUGACACAUAAUUUUGGAUUGUGUCCCCUACCAGCACACUAUGUACCAGUGCUGAUUUUCUAUCAGGAUGGUGCACUACCACUCAUAUGGUCUCAUUUCGGUGGUUUUUAAGACUUUGGAAUGAUAUUUUUAUAUGAUGUAUAAAAAUAUUAAUGUAUAACAUAUUUAUUUUUCAGGAUUUAGGUCGGCUGUUAGGUGGAACAUGGGUUGGCUAGCAGUUGCUUGAACCUUGCCUGAAAAACUUUCGGCUUUGGGAUUUAGGCCAAAUCUAAUGUGAAAUUCUUCGAGUGUGACCCAAAGCCUGACUGGAAGCUGGCCCGGUCAAGGUCCAUUUCCAGGCCUAUGUGCAUGAUGCCUAACUUUAUGAAUGGCAUCGUAAUAUCUAUUUAAGAUAUCAUAAGUGCUUGAUGUCAGUGCUAUAUGAAACUCCAAUUCAUAUUUAUCCUGAAUGAUUUUUUUUUUUUGUUUUAGUUACCUGAACAGUCCUGAAUGGUAACUUUGUAAACUAGGCUAUAAUAUUUAAUUAUGAUGUCAAAGUUCUUGGUGUGCCUAGACUACUUGGUUAUAUUUAUCCAGAAAUAGAUUGUCAUAUAGCACGCAGCUGAUAAGUUAAUUCUUAUUAGCCAGAAUCUUCUAUUUAGUGUACUUACCCACUUUGGAAUUUUUGCAUAACCUUGAAGCCGCAUCCACUUUGUAAACGCUUCCUUACUAAAAUUAUUUCUAAAGUAUCUGCCUCCCCACCUGCGCUCAAUUCUAAUCUAAGUGCUAGCUUUUGAAAUUCUUGUUUCACCUUCAGCUUGGUUUGAUAGUACAAUAUUUACAAUGACAUUUGAAAUUCUUGUUUCACCUUCAGCUUGGUUUGAUAGUGCAAUAUUUACAAUGACAUAAGAGUUGUCUGUGACACCAAUUUUGUUGCAUGAGAGCAUUUCAUAGUAUACAUCAUGCUUUUCUUUUCGAUCGUUUUUACAGUCUAUGAAUUUAUGGAUUUUAAAAUUCUAUGAUUGGUUUUAUUCUCAGUUGGGAAGACUAUUUCAAAUGCUCGAGGCACUUGGUACAUGGAUUGAAAAGGAAGAAUUGUUGGACAAAUACAAACAGCAUGGGUUAAAUGCUGUUUGUAUGGAGGAAUGGUCCGAUCUUACUAAGAUGUUGUUAAAGGCUCUUCCUUAUUCUCUUACUCCUAGUCAGUUGAAUGCAGUUUCAGAGAUUAUUUGGGAUCUCAAGAGACCAGUCCCUAUGAACAGACUUCUACAGGUACUUUUUUUUUUGAUUUUUUUAAUUUUGGCUUUCCAUAUGAUUGCUGGAAACAUGCCAAACAUGUUUUAGUAAGCCUAUUUAGUUGAUGGUGCCUCAAUUUCAUACUUGCUUCUCUGAAUCAACAGCUUCCUGCAAGUUCUAGUGCAUUAAAAGUGGGUCAUUUCAAGAAUAUAAUUUCUUGGAUCAUACCUGUAUGUACAUAUGUAUGCAUGUGCAUAUGUGUAUUUACAACCUUCUUUUAACAGAACGAGACAGAGGAAAUGUAUUCAUAUCUGACCCUCACAAUUGCAACCCCGAAAUACUAUUGCUAAUUAGCUUAGAGAAGAGAGCUUUUAAUGAAAGAUAGGUACUACCGAAUGUUAGCAACCGAGUUUAAUAGGAUAGUGAUUCUUGAUAAAGCUGCUGCUUUGCUGCAAAUUGGAAGACCAUCCUGUUAAGCACUCAAAGCCUUCGAGUCAGUAUGUUGACCAGCUGCAAGUGAACCAAAAAUUGGCAGAGUGGCUGCACAGAGUUAUCUUAACAGAUUGUGUAGUCAUCAUAGUAUGUUCUUUUGAGCUUUCAAUGCAGAAAAUCUCAGACAUGCCUACAGAUUAGAACUUAGUAAGUAAGAAUGGUUCAGGAUCUAACCCUGUGGUGGCUCAAGCAAAAAUGUAUCCCUUAAAAACUGAAUCAGUUGCUGAAAAAAAUGGUGUUCCAGAAAAGUGGCAGAGAACAUAAAAGGAUGUUGAAAGCUCAAUAUCUGUUAAAUUAAUAGUGCAUUGAGAUUCACAGCUGAUUGACUGCUAGUCUCUUGUGAUAUUAUUGUUGAUCAGUCUCGUUGUCAUGGAUGUUGCCCUGAACAUCAGACCAUGGUAAAUGGUAUUGUCAAGCUUGCUAUGACGGUCAAAAGUCACAUUGUAACUAUGUUGAGGAAAUGACAUGGGAGCAGGGUGCUUCUAUUUUGGCUUCUUCACCGACAAGCCC
rnacentral:lncRNA from 1 species